AGAAGCAUAAGCUAAGGUACUUCAAAGAGAUUCUUCGUCGUAGAGGUGAGAGUGCUGAGAUACAUCAUAGCUUUGGCUGAUCUUCAAGAUCAAGCUCGAAGGUGUUACGCAGAAGAAAUCAAUCUUAGUAAUGAUGAUUUUGUUGAAAUGCUAUGCCUUGAUGGCUGCUUUAUCAUCGAGUUCUUGAGGAAAUGUGGACAUUCAGGAUCACACUGGCAGAAUGACCCCUUUUUCAGAUGCUUUGGCUACGCACAGCCACUGUGAAUGACCUAAUAUUAUUUGAGAAUCAGUUGCCCUUUUUUGUCCUGCAGAAACUGUUCGAUAUGACCAAGUCACCAAGAGGAGAAGGGAACCUUAUUGACCUAGCUAUUCAUCUCUGUCGGUUGGGAACUUGCCCAAUCCAGGUCUAAAUUCUCAUUCUGAAAUCUUCGAACUUUUUAAUGCGGUUCAUCUUCUUGGCCUCGUGCACAAAAUUCUGUCUGCCUCAUUUUCUGAAACACUUUCCUCAACCAUGAAUUCCAAUCGUACGGGCUCAAAUCUGUUCGUAAAAUCAGCUGGUGAGCUCCGACAAAGUGGAAUCAAGUUCGAGAAGGCAGAGGAUGGUAAAUCCUUGUUCCAUAUCACUUUCGAAAAUGGUGUAUUUAAAAUCCCUCCUUUAGUUGUGGAAGAUCAUACAGAAUCCGUCUUCAGAAACUUGAUUGCAUAUGAAGAGUAUAUGUCUAAUCCAUCUGAGACAUGGAAGUGCGUAACUGAUUACAUAAUCUUCAUAGAUUGUCUCAUAGAUUCCCCAUCCGAUGUUGAAACGCUUCGCAGACAUGAUACCAUCGAGAAUCGGUUAGGUAGUGAUGAAGCACUCUCUACAAUGUUUAACAAGCUAAGCAACCAUGUUCAUGUUGGGGAGAUUUGUUACACCAAAAUUUUUGAUGAUGUGGACAAGUACACUCGCAGGCGCUGGCAUAUUUGGAGGGCGCACCUACUGAGCAAAUAUUUAAUAACCCGUGGGCUUUCAUUUCGUUUCUGGCUGCAUGUGCCUUGCUUCUCCUAACAAGUGUGCAGGCCAUAUUUUCCAUCCUACAGUAUACUUCGGCUUAACGAAAUAGAAGUAAGCUAGUUGUGUAAUUUGUUAGUCAUUGAACUUAAAAUACGAAUAAAGUCAUUGUACUUGUAAACAAUUCUUGAUCUGUAUGAUGUAAAGAACUCUGCUGUCUUGUAUAUUACAUGAACUCCUAAAUGCAUGUUCCGCUAAUAAUAAUGAAAAUGAUCUUUUCUGUAAUAUAAUCUACAACCAAACAUUAGAAUGGCAACGCCACAGCUGCCUCAUGGACCAUAGUGAGUAUCUAUAGUGAGUGUGUCUGUGUAUGACCAUAGUGAGUGUUACUAGCAAAUGCAAAGGAUGAAGAUGAGAACCCAAUAAAGCACGAAAGGUUAAGCGCACAAGAUUUUAAGCAAACUGCAAAGAAAGAGUUAAAGAAUGAACCUUUAGCAUUCAUCUGGCAAAAAAAUCCUUGGCAUACUAUUGUAAAUAAUAGAAGUUAGACACCGUUAGAUCGAAAUUCUACCAAUAUUAGUGUACUGAAAACAUAUAAUACUGCAGGAUCUAAUUGUUACUCCUGCGGCUUAAAGAAGAAAACAGAGAAAAGACUCGGUUGAUUUUCAAACAAAACAAACCCAUUAAAGUGCACUUCAUUAAUUGCUUGUUAAUUGUGGUUCCUGAAAUCUUAUUUAAUUGAGAAAUUUCUAAUUUGUGAUGAAUUUUAAAAAAAUUCUACAAAAUAGGUGAUUUUGGCAAUGAAUUCCGUCCGGGGGUCUUCGCAUUCGUAGAGCUCGCAUUUCACGAAUGCGAGAUUAGAAUAGAGCUCGCAUUCGCGAAAUGCGAGCUCUACUUAUUGAGCUCGCAUUCCGCAAAUGCGAGCUCUAAUUUAAUUUUUUUUACUAGCUCCCCAGAGCUCUCUAGCAGCCUCUAUAUUCGUAAAAAAAGAAAGGAACUCCUGGGUCAGAGAAUGAAUUCCACUUCCCUGAUUAGCACCAAUCGUCAUGAACUGGAAAGGCUAGCUCAGAAGAUGGCUAGGCCCCUGUUAGCACCAAAAGCGUUAGGGGGCCCGCACUGGAGGCAUCAGAGACUUCAAUGUUAGUUUUCUUGAACUGCAAAUCUUCCAAAAGAAAAAAAAAUUACACUUGACUCUAUUUCUUUCAGAAAUAGCGGGCAGGCAAAGCAAAGAAACGAAGCUGACUCUCAUGAAUGGAUGUCCGAGCUAGAGAAUUUUUUCCAGAAAAUAGUAAGAGCUAAAUGCGAGCUCCUAAAUGUUUUUUGUUUAAAUUUUGCAAAUAGCUCGCAUUUGAUAAAUUUGUCCUCCAAAAAUUGUAUUUAACUUUUUUGUUAGAUUUCGCAUUUAUAAGUAUGACUUUCAAAAAAUUAAAUUCAAACUUGUUAGGAAAAAAUUUUAAAUGAAAUUUACGAAAUUUAAAAUGAAAUUCAAACUUAAUAUAAUUUACUAUACAUGCAUAAUUCUUUUAUAAUAAAAAAAAUUGGUAAUUGUAUGGUUGGAAAUACGUUAUUUUAUUAUAAUACAUUUAAAUAGGGGAAAAAGUACACAUGCAUAGUUCUAUUUGUUACUUUUCAUUAUUAUUAUUAUUAUUAUUUUUGCUUGCAGGUGCUUAUUGUAGCAGGAACUAGUACCACAUCAAGGGCGUUGAGCUGGGUUAUCUCCUUGCUACUGAAGCAUAGGCACGUUUUGCAAAAAGCCCAGGAAGAGAUUGACUCUUUGUUGGUAAGAGAGAAUAGAAGAAUCUGAUAUCAAGAAUUUAGUCUACCUACAGGCCAUUGUCAAAGAGACAAUGCGACUACAUCCACCAGCACUUGUACCUAUGCACGCCAAGCCUGAGCUCGCAUUCCCGGAAUGCGAAGACCCCUAUUUGCAGAACACACUCCAAGAACCGCCCUCGUUGUAGAAUUCUUUUUUUUUUUUCCAUCAUAAACUAAGAAUUCACCCUAUUUAAUUAGCCACUGCUUCCACAUUGGAUAGAAUGCUACGUAAAGCAUAAAGACUAAGGGUCCAUUUGUUUCGGUUUCCAGAAAAAUAUUUUCCUAAUUUCCCGUGAUUGGUUGCACAAAAGUUACUGAAAACAUUUUCCUAUGUAAAAUAUUUUCACUCAUCUUAUGGAAAACAACUUCCCUUCCAAACUUACUGAAGUAGUUUUCCGAAAUGCAUGCAUCCCGCCUGUAAUAUGUUCCAAACUUACUGAAACAUCUUGUAGUAUGUUCUUUUUUUUUUAGUGUAAACAGGAGGACUCGAACCCAAAAUCUCUUCCUUACACUCCCCCCCGUACCACCUAACCCAACCCAACCCUCCCCCUAGUAUAUUCAAAAAAAAAAAAAAAACCUCAUCCUGCUCAUCCUAUGCUAGUAAUUAAUUAUGUAUAAUAGAGACAUUCUGUUCUAGAGAAACUUUCAGCAGUGAGAGUGCAAGAUAUAUGUCACAAUAAGCAUUGCAUGUGAUUGAUAUUUGACACUAAAUGGCCAGCAAUUUGUUUAUUGCUUAAGGAGGUAUUUUUAUUCAUAUAUACAUUUCUCCAAGAUUUUUUAAAGUUAAACAAUGAGAUAAAUUUUCUUAUUUUGCAUGAGAAGAAGUAUGUAGUUAUAAUGUGUAGAAAGUAAAGAUAGAGAUAAAAGUGAAAAUAUUUCAAAAGUUAAACAAACACCAGAAAAAUGAAGUAAGAAAAUAUUUUUAAUAAACUAACCAAACACCUGAAAAUGAUGAAAGGGAAAUGAUUUUCAUGGAAAAUUACUUCCACAGAAAAUAUUUUCCAAAGGAAAACAUUUUACUUCCAACCAAACAGACCCUAAAUGAAAAAAAGAAACAAUACAAUAGGUAAAUCUUUCAUGCUUGCUAGUACCAAAAUUAAGUACUUGCGCAAAUUUUAAGUAGUUUCUUAGCUGCAAAUGAGAAGGUUUUAUCUAAGAAAUUUUGUCUCCAAUGUUCUGACCUUUGUCAUGCUCUCACUUCGCGAAGCAAAGCAUAUGCUAAGGAAUGAAGGGCUGAGACGUGUGAACUUGUUUAAAGAAUUAAAGGGCUUAAACGUUGGCUGUUCUCUUCUCUUUUCUUCAUUGGACUCAGUCGCUCACUAUUUUCUCUCUACAAACGAAAAAUUUCCAGCCAUAUUAAAUUUAUUGGAGAAGAACAGCUAUGAACUUAUAUAUCAAAAUUCGUGAAAAUUAAAAUGUUUAAGAGUUUAUACGUCUUCUAUGAAUGAAUACCUUCAAGUACAGAUUAUCUUCUGCUGAGUACAUUAAUAAGUUCAAAGUAAUUUUUUGUACAAGUGUGGAGGAAAAUAAAUUGUUUUUGUAUAUUGUAAUAUUGGAGAAAAGAACAAAGUGGGUAGACUAUUAAUUACUAAAAAAAAAAUCAUUUUUCAACUAUUUAAAUUUGUAUACCAAAAGCAGAAAAAAAAACUUUUAUUCUUCAUCGCGAGCAUAAGAUAACAGCCAAUGUUCAAUAACGCCACUCUUAAAUUUUCUUUUAAUACGAUUUACUACAUUUUUCUACGUAAAAUUAGACUUAUGCCACUAGAUUAAUAUAUCCAAAUGGUGACAACAUGGACUACGUAAGUGCACCAUAAUAGUAUAAAGUGGUCUUACCAAUAAAAUAACAAUAAUAGUAUAAAGUGGACUGCCUAUGAGCUUCCCAUCCCAAAGGAUAUAAUUUCCAGCGGCUUUCGCCAGCUUUUUUUCUGUGUUUCUGAUCAAGAUCGCUACACCUUAGACUCUCCUCUUGUCCAGGUAAAUUUUUCGAGUAUUUCUCUGCUGUGAAAUAUAUUGGAAAUCUGACUAGCGAUCGAGUUGAAAAAAAGGAAAUGUGGAAAAGAGAAAAAGAGUGCCCAUAAAAGCAAAAAAUUGUAGUGAACCUCUGUCUCAACAUCAGAAAACUGAACACUCUUUUCAGGGAUUGACAUAUUUCAAACUCCCCAUUGUUCCAACUUUGAAGUGCUUGAUGUGGGAGCCAACAAGAAAGUUUCACCAAAACCUUAACACGAAAACAAAGAUACAGCGAAAUUUGAGGGGAAAAUAAUUUAAUCUCCUAGAAAAGGGAGGAAAAGCAAAAUUCAAAUGCUUACCCAUAAAAAGAAAAAACAAAUCAAGCAAUUACAAAAAUAAGGGGAAAAAGAAAAAAAAAAAAAAAAAAGAAGUUACCUGCCAUGCCAUUAUAUUAUAUAUGGCCUUUUACAGAUGAAUUUAUUUUUGUAAACUUUUCUGCAUGAAGAUUAAGAUGUAGUUCAAAAAGUCAAAACCCCAAAGUCGAUGAGUGAAAACCAAAAAAUAGAAUCUGGUUGCUGGAGGGUGAAGAGCAAAAACAAAAAGAAACCUAUCCUUAUAGCUUCAUCAGUGACGAUCACUGACAAUAUGAUGAUCACCAAUGUAUUGUGCAUGCCUGUUCGUAUUUGUGUGAUUUGUGACAAGAAGUUAAAACAAUUAUAGCUGAAUUCUUUGGUUGCCAAGAGUUUAUUCUAUAUAGAUAUAUUGGUAUUUGAGAAAAAUGAAAAAUGGCUAAAAAUAUUUUCAAAACAAAAUUGCAUAACAGCUUAAAAUUGUGCCUGAUUUCGUGCUCAUCUGAGCUUCUGUAAAUCUUUUGACUCGUUCCUCCUCCUUCACCCAGCCGAAUCCUUUUAUGCGUUCCCCCUUCCUAAUAUUCUCUUCCUAAUAUCCUUUUAUGCUUAUCGAUGAACUAAUAUCGGAGGAAAUCUAGAAGGCUUCACCAAAAUAUAAAUAUAAAUUUUAGAAAGGCAUGUUCAAUAUUAGUAUCCGAAAUGACUUCUUUUGCUAUUUUUGCUUUUCCUCCUAUCCUUCUUCUUUUUAUGUGUCCAACAAAAGUCAGUAUCAAUUCGUCUAAUAUUUAUAUAGAUGAAGUAGGUAAAGAGUAUUCGUCUAUUAAUUUGAUGAAAUGCUCAUUUGAAUGUGCUCUUUUAUAUCAUUUAAGUAAAUUUUUCCAGUUAAAUCAUUAAUUGGUUGUUCUCCUUUGUGUGACUUUAUUAUGGUUAUUUAAUUUUCAGUUUUAAUAUUUUCUUCUUUCUUUUCUUUUCUAUUAAUGAUGGGUGCAAUUAAUGAAUGAUAGUGCUAUUUCAGUUAAAAGCUAUCUUUUAAUGGCUUUAAUUCUCGAGGUCAUAUAUAUAUAUAUAUAUAUAUAUAUAUAUAUAUAUAUAUAAGGGUUAAUUGCAUUUACCUCCCCUAUAUUUUGACCAAACUACUAAUAGACGACCCCAAAAGCUUUGGAAUAUAACAGUCGCCUCGCUUUGACUUUGCAUUCAUAUAACACAUAACCCCUUCCCGUUAGUGUACAAACGGUUGUUAAUCCAAUCGCUUAAAAGAAUAGUAUGAAAAUCCAAUAUAGCCCUUCCAGAUAUACCGUGUGUAAUUCCUAUUUAAUGUAAUUCCAUUUUAACAAUUUUAUAGUACUAUGUAUUAAACCAUAAUAAAAAGCAAAAUCUUCUAGAAAGAAAGGAAAGAUCAUAAUGAAAUACACCACUAGCCACCCUUAGAGAAUAGAUUUAAAAAUAGAGAUAUCUAGCCACCGACAAAGCACAGAUGUAGAAAUAGAGACAUAGAGUGACGAUGACAAAAAGUUGUUGCACUCUCAAUAUAAACACCAUCACCAUAAAAUUGAAAACACAAUUUCACAAAUUCUCAUUAAAUCCGGAUUUGAAUCAGAGGAUCUGGUUUGCCUGCUACAAUCAAUUCAUAUUCACUCUAUCAAUACUCAUGUUGUGGGCAUACAUAGUCAAGCACUAUAUAUUCUUCUAGAGUUUAAAAACAAAAAAGGAAGAGAAGAUAAAUCCGAUGGUUGUGGUCUUGUGGGUUAGAAUGGGGAGGAAGAAUAAGACUGGGAGAAGUGCUCAUAAUUAACAAUGGAUUUUGCAAAUUAGAUAAGAUUAGGUAUUUACAUGAGUAGAGAAUAGGUAAUUCAUGGUUAGAAGGGAUGAAUGGUAGAACAGUCAUGGUGGAUUCUUUUGGUGGUGCUGUCAUGUACUUGUGGUGUCAUUUUUGGUGGUGUGGUGGUCUAGGCAUAAUUGGUUUUCUUUAGCCAUUUUGUUUUUAAACCUUGGCCACUUAUUUAUUCUUUUAUCUGGUCAUCAACUCUCCCAACCUCCCGCUGGCAACUCAAAGGAACCCCCCCCAGAAUGUAAUGCAUAAUGUAUUGUGUGAGUACUGUUUAAUUGGUAAUUGUGUGAGUACUGUUUAAGCAAACAUCUCAAGAGUAAUGCUCUCACAGAAUAGAGUGAAGUUCAAUUUAAUAGUAUCUAGUAUAAGCUGAUUUUGUGAGUAUUAUUAUUAUAUGCACUUUUAAGUGUAAUAAAAUUGUUCACUUGCCCUUCUAGAUUAGUGGACUUAAUCUAAUAAUUUAGUAUUAAAAACUACCACAAUCCAACCGUUGCAACGGCCAACAUGUGCUGACAUUCUCUUGUGUUGGUAACGGGUGAAUAUACAUACAUAUACAUAUACAUGUAUAUAUACAUACACACAUAUGUAUGUGUACACAUACAUACAUACACCUGUAAUCAUCACGUGCUUUCUCAGGGAAACUUGACUUACACAACAUUCUGAAGGAACCGGUGAAAUUGUUGAAUCGGUAUCGAACCAUUCGAACCGUUAAAUCGCAGUUUUCAAGCUCUUCCCCAAUGGCUCAAGUUUGGACCUUUUCCUAACGGGCCUCAAAUGUGAUUUCUACUUAAUCAAUUAUAUUGAGCAGACCCAAGUCCAAAACAAGGUGGUGUUGACUUUUAGUCCAAUUCAUAUCCCAACUACCGCUAAUGUGUAAUUCGUAACAUUAAACAAACAUAAAAGAUUUCAAAGAAACAAAUUGGAGUCAUGGUGGAAUAGCAAAGGACAUGAAUAAAUUAAAUCUAAUCAAAAUUUCGUACAUAAUACAAUUAACGAAGUCAAGAUAUUUUUUGAGGAAAUAUGUUUUAAUUCAUGGUGUAGUUUAAGUUGUAUUAGAAACUAAAAUAAUCUCUUCAUAUGUGUGUGAAUUUUUCAAGGUAUAAAUUUUUUUUGCUUUUGUUUCAAUACAACUAAAAUAAAUAGUUUACGUUAAAAAAUUUACACUUUAUAAAAGUUUAACCUUAUUUUAUUUUUUAUUGUUGUUAUAAAUUUCAUAAGUAGGAUAAUAUAAGGGUAGUAUUGGAACAAAAGUUUUAUCUUUCUUGUAUUUCCUCCAAAGGGGUUAAAAUGUUACAAGAAAUAUCAAUUCAAGAAAGGUAAGUGAGAUUUUAAAAAUCUCAGGGGAACUGAAUGAUAUUAUAAGAAACCUCAGGGGAGGUUUCUGAAAUUAUCCCAUGAAUUUUUCAACUCAUUAUAUUAAUUUGCUGCGAAUUUCCAUGUCUCUGAUUUCUUGUGAACAUCCAUACUAAAUGCAUGAUGCUAUCUGAUUUCUUCGAAUGGUUUCUAAUUUUUUUUUCCCCAUCUCGGUUUGAUUUGCAUUCCAUCGAAGAUGCAUCCCAUCUGCUUCUAAACAACCAUUACUCAUUAAUUUAACCUUAAUGAAUCAAAUACCUUCUAUUUAUAAAGUACACGCAUAAUAGAAAUCAGAAGAUCAUAAACUAAUCUAAUGAUAAUUGCAUAACUCUUGGAGCCAUGUAAUGCUAUGCAUAUAUAUAUAUAUAUAUAUAUAUAUAUAUAUAUAUAUAUAUAUAUAUAUAUAUAUAUAUAUAUUUAUAUAUAUAUAUUUGGUGGCACAAACGUAGUGUAAUAAUACACUACUAUUGUUGAGUUCAGUCAGUUGCCUUGCUGGUUUUUAACCACAGUCACGGCAGGACUCGUGAAUCGUGAUCUAACUUGGGCAACUCUUUCCUAUACGUUCUUGGGACGACUCUUCCAUCAGGGUCCACGGGUCCUAGAUAGCCCUUUUUUCUUUUUCUUUUGGUACUGAAAGGAAAUUGGGUCCUAGAUAGCUUUAUUAUUUGUUAACUUACAUCAGGCUUCUUAAGAUGCAUUUUCUAAUUAAGUGAGACAACUGAAAAAUGUUCUAACAAGUGGACUAAUAAAUCAUUUUGUGACGACAUGGAAUUAGAAGAUCAUUGAUAGGGUGUAAAUUGUUGGUUAUUUUAUUGUUAAUUUUCCCUUUUAUCCUUGCCAAAUAUUGUUUUAAUUAUUAAUAUUUACUUAUAUUUGGUAUUGGACCCAAUUUCAGAGAUUGAAGCAGAAAAUUACCAAAAAGGAGGGACUUGUUGGGAAAAUGCAGACUUCUAAGGGCUUCAACCUUUGGGUCCUUGAAUUGGUGGGAACCACAAGCUAGUGCAAGGCAUUUAGUCAUUUGGGCUUUUCAAAGAAAACAACGUAGAGAGACUUGGAACAACAAGUACUUUGGAGGCUUUGUCCACAUGUGUGGGGACCACAGGAAAUAGCUUUUAGGCUUCUUUCUUUUGGCUUUUUAAGGAAGACGUACAGAAGCAAAAAGGGAUCCCUAGUUUUAGUGUAGUUUUUAGUUUAGUUUUAGUUUCCUUUCUUUCUUUCUUUUGACUGGCCUCUGACACACGCCAGGUGUUCGACAAUAUUCCCCAACGGGAAAAACAUCUUUUAUUCCUUGCUUUCUAGUAAAAACCGCCAUGCCUUUGCAAUCCAUUACUUCGUGUGGUGAUUUAAUUAUGCGGCGUGGCUAAGCCUUCCUUCUAGUCAAGGGGACAACUGACGAUUUGGUUCGACAAUUAUUGUGAGAUCGAAUCUGUUUUAAUUAUUUUCUUCAUUUAUUGGUAUUUGUAUGUUCCUUGAUUUUAAUUGCUGUGGCCUUGUGUAUGAUUGAUUAGUGCGCAAUAAUUAAUUAUUCAUAUAGGCUAUUUUCGCUAAAUAGGGGUAAUUGAAUCCGUAAUUGUUCGUUAUCUCUAUUUCAGUAGCAACUGGCGUAAUUGGGUUUAUGUCAGGGGAAUAUACGAUCUAGCUUAAACAAACCCUCGUAGCGUGUUUGUUAGUUAGGAUUGGGCCUUUCUAAUUAUUAAUGCAAUCUAGAAAUUAAUUCCUACGGUCGUACCUAGGGUUGUUUUUUGGUUAGAGAAAUAACUAACGGUCGUACCUUAGCUAUCGAUAAAUUAAGGAAAGGUUGGUUGUUUAUCGCGUGCAUGACAACUAUAACCAAUCUAUUAAUAAAAGUUGGAAUUAUCUGCGAAUCAAUGAUCAGUGCAUGAACCAUUUCUGAAGUGUACCCUUGGCUAGAGUUUCUCUUAAUUAUUUCUUUGAAUUAAUUACUUUCUGCAUUUAAUUUGUUUAAUUGACAUUUAAUCUCAAAACCCCCUAUACUUUGAACUCUAGAAGAAACGAACUAUCUCCAGUCCCUGUGGAUUCGACCCUGCUCACCGCUAUAUACAAAAUCUGUAUUUUUCUUGAGUAGGUAAUUAUUAUUGCACAGGCUGACGACCUGUCAAUCAUCUUGUCCUUUUUCCGGUGGACCGACAAAAUGCUAGCUUCAAAUUAGGACUAGGUUUUUCUUGAAAAGGACUAGGUUUGGGAUUGGGGCCAAAGAUAUUACUUAACCAAGUAAACAUUCCCCUACCUAGAAUAUAUGUUGCUUAAAAGACCAAGACAAACCUGCAAGACGUUCUUUCAUAAUAUGCUAGCCGGACGAAGUUCGUCAAAGUUCCUCUGUCUUUAAUAUACGAAUUAUCCCACACGAGGGUAGGCAAUUAAAUGGUGGACAGAUAUUACAAGCUAAAUUAUGCCUUAAACAUGUAAACUACCAAUCAGUCACAAAUGUUACCCAAAAAAAAAAGGGAAAAACAAAAGAUGUGCAUGGAAAAGCAAAAAGCAAAGACAUACAAUUGUUUAUUACUUUAUUAACUUUUAAUGAUCAAAGACCAUAAGGGUGGAUGUAUGAGAUAAGCCAAGAGCAAAUGCAAAUGAUUGCACUGAGUACUCGACUUUAGUCACCAUGAGAGUUUUUACAAAAACCCAAGCCUUUACUUUGAGAGUCUUGAAGUAUAUAUUCCAACUUUAGCACAGCAUAAGACAAAAUCAAACACAAAAGAUUCCUCUAUUUAACUUUUUUUAACUUUAAGAUUCUUGAAGUAUUGUACUUGAGUCAGAAGCUUAAGAUAAGGAUAAAAAAAAACAUGAAGACUACAACGUCGAAAUUGCGAGCGAUUAUAUAUAUUACAUAUAGGGCAGUUGUGAUUGCUAGCUAGAGGAAAUAUAGGAGCUCAAACCACGCAUUGGUAACAGGUUAGAGUUAAACUUAAUUGCUUGUUAAACUUAAUUAUUAAUCUAAAACAGCGGUACUAAUGAUUUUUUCCUUAAUUUCAGCAAGAGAUCGAUUGUAUUACUCAACACAAACAAAGAUCAUGUCCACCGACGCCAGAACUGCCCGAAUUUCUAAUUGUAUCCGUGAAAAGCUUUCUGGGCUAUCAGAUACUGACAUUAGGGUGGCAUCAAAUGAGCGAUGCAUAUUCAAGGUCCGUGAGAGAAUACAAAGUCAAAUUGAAGGGCCAUAUGAACCACAAAUGGUUUCAAUCGGACCUUAUCACCGCGGUAAGCCGGGGUUGCAAUUAAUGGAAAAGUAUAAGCUGAUUUACUUGAAACAGCUUCUUGAGCGAACAGGUGAGGAAAAUCUAGAGAUUUGCGUUGUGGCCAUGGCAAAUCUUGAAGGAGUAGCUCAGAGGUGGUACUCCGAUGAAAGGAUCAGUCAUGAUGGUGACGACGGCUUUGUGGAGAUGAUGCUUCUUGAUGGCUGCUUCAUACUCGAGCUGGUAUGGAAAAUUAAUCACCCCACACAAUCUACAGAUGGCAUUUUAUCGGACGCACUAUUCAUAGACCUAUUAGGAAUCGAAAAUCGAGUCCCUUUCUUCAUCCUUGUUGAAUUGUUUCACAAGACCAACUCUAACUCUGGUGCCAGCAGCAAAUUUAAUGAUUUGGCUCAGCGUCUAACUGAUUUCGUAAUUCUUGCUUGUGACAGCAAAGAGAAUGAAUAUGUUGUUGAUGAUGGUCAGGUCAUUCAUCUACUUGACCUUGUCUACAAAGCCCGGAUCUCUUCGUUUGCUGCAAAAUUUAUUGCUCUUGGUGCCAGGAUUGGUAUUCCGGAGGAUGAUCCUUUCUCACUGUAUCAUAUAACUUCUGCCAGUGAAUUACAAGAAAUUAAUGGGUUGAGUUCGAAUAGUGGGAAGGACCAUGGCUUGAGAUUACUUGGAAAUGGUGUGGUAAAAAUCCCUCGUUUUAUGGUUCAUGUUGAUACAGAACGUCUGCUCAGAAACUUAAUUCGCUACGACAGCAUUACACCAGCCAUCAUGAGGGCACGAGGAGCAUGUCUAUGAUUAUGCAAUUAAUGGAAGUCUCAUAAAUUCUGCUACGGACGUCGAGGUGCUGCGUCGCAUUAAAAUUAUUAUCACAAGUUGAAUGAUGAUCAGGCUGUGUCUACCAUGUUUCGUCGGGUCAGCGGAGGUAUUUACCCGGCAAAGGCUUUGUUACGCCGGUGUAUUCAAUGAAGUGGAAAGUAUGCCAAAGCCGUUGGCAUAUCUGGUGGACGAGCUCAGGAGGACCUACUUCAACACCCCCUGUGUCCCCCAUUUCAUUUGUUGCUGCAGUUGUUGCGCUUAUCCUCACUUCUCCAGACCUUUUAUGCCAUACGGCCUGCGGGAAAAAAUUAGUAGUAACAAAACUACUAAACUAGUCAUAUCGGCCACAUGCUAAGUGCGUUUGUUUGGUCUGAAUAUUGUUUGUCUUUCUUUUUCAACACAACCUAAAAGAUUCCAUCACAUCCAUAGUUGUGCUAUCAGUCAAGUUUCUUGCAUUUUCAGUAUCUCAUGGAGAAGAAAUAAAAAAUGUGUGUUUGUUUGGUUGUUAAUAAUGUAAUGUUUUUAUUAAUAUUAAUCCUCGAUAAUAUACUCUGCUUUCACUGUUUCAAUGUCAUCAGUUCGCCUGGCUUGGUAUCAUCAGUUACCCAAUAUGACUUUUUCUAAAGUUAUUUUAGUUCACAGAUUGUGCAAGUAUCUCUAUUUUGCUGCAUGCAUGGAAUCAUUUCGAUCAGAGGCAGGAGAAAAUUGAAGAAUCCUCAAAGUUUCUGCACUAGCUCCUUAAUUUUCUAAUGUCUCUAGUUGCUUUUCGUAAAGAUUUACACCAGCUCACUUCUCCAAUAAACAAAUCUUGAUACAAUAAUGCUACACCAAAACGAAAGCUGAUAUAUACUUUCUUUUCUUUUUUUUGGAGCAAAGGCUGAUAUCUACUUACAACUCUAAAAAAAGAAGAAUAAUGAAACUACCUAUUUUUUAGAUUUUGUGUUUGUUUUCCAUAUAAACACAUGCAACCCUAUACAAAAAAGUAAUCAGUUAGAUGUUGACAAAUACACGCUUAGUGGGCUAAGUUUUCAAAUGCUCUCCCGUCCCAUUAAAAGUGUCAUCCUUUUCAUUUUAAAAUGUCACGAAAUAUUUGUCAUGUUAAAAAAGUUAGAAUACCUUUUAGUCCUUCUUUCAAUAGAACUUUUCUUUUUAAUCAUAUGCAUAUUAUCAUUCAAAUUUAAAUUUAAAUUGAAAAAAAGUACAAACAUCACAAUCAAAUCACUAUUUUUAAAAAGUUAAAUUCUCGAAACAUGACUAAAUAAUUGGACGGAGGUAAUAAUGUACAUGUUUGAAUCGAACAAGAAGGGCAACACUGAAAGCGCAAUAUUUGCUAGGAAAAGAAAAAAUAAAUAAAUGAAAGCAUUUACAUGUGCGGAAAUACUAAAAAUUAGGACAAAAAAUACUAGUUGGGAAGGUGCAAGCUCCAAUUUUCUUUAGACGUAUUUGGAAGUACUCCUACAAAAUAUAUACUAGUUGGGAAGGAAAUCCGACCCUAAUUUAUUUUACCACAAAACACAGUCAACAAGAAACUACAGCCCGUUUUCAAUUUCCAGAGAGAGAGAGAUCUUAAUUAUAGCAUUUGGAACGGAAACGCUUAAAAAAUGAAGAACUAAGCCCACCCCAUUUGUCUUCUUAUUGUCUCUCUGCUAGCCAUGCAACAAAGUCCAAUAUAAAACGAAAAUUGGAUGUCAAUGACCAAUAACAUAUUAGCGACAAAUUGAGUUCAACUGCAUUCUCAUCGUUAAAUUUCCCACUUAACAAAGAAUUACUCCUACCGAGAUUUCUGAAGAAAAUUAAGGCCUUUAUGUAGACCCCAAUUUUUAAUUUUUAUUUUUAAAAGUCUGACUAAGAAUGUUGCAAUUAUAUUCCUCAGAGAUGGCCUUGGCCUAGAAAUCUAGAGUACAACGAUCAAAAAACAUAAAUUCACCCACCCGUACAAGUUUUAUUUAUUUAUUUUUUUUGCCUUCUUCACGAAAUUAGAUCAACAAAAAGGGUUGUCCCUCCUUCCUUAAUCUAUGAACAGGAGAAUAACAUCGAAGCCAUACUAACAAUGUUUUUUAAUUCCUUCCCCCAAAAAAGAAAAAUUUUGGCAGUUUUUUCUUUUAAAAAUUCUUUAAACUAAAGUCAUGUUGCAUCAUAUUUUUCAUACCUCAAAUGGAUUGUGGAUCAUUCCAAUUUAAACCCUUCAAUUUCUUUUGUAAUUUCCACUUUUCAGCAGGAGUAUUUGUUUUAGAUAUUUAGGGUCAGAAAAGGAUGCCAACUUGAGCUAGUAUUUACCUGCAUUAGUCUAAUGAAAAUGAACAUAUAGAAAUCCAUGCAAAAUAACUAUAUACGCUGCAUAAAACACCAACGAGAAACUUAAACUGUCUCAAAAUGCAAUGGAGAUAGCUGAUAAUCAAAACUCGAUUUAAGCACGAAGAUACCCAGUGAACCGGAAUUAUGAGCAAGCACUUCCAAACUACUUUGAUCCUUGUUGAUUGGUUAGGUUUGCUAAAUGUUCAAGAAGUUAAAUGAACACAAAAAGCUAUGACAUGCCACUACUAAGAAUGCAACGCAUAUUUAAGAAUUAACUGAAGCCUUUUCAAAAUUCAUCUAUAUGGGCAGAAAAUCUUUCCAUGUACUCAUACGCAACCAUAAACUCCACGAGACCACAAGGCAGAAUAUUGGUAUCAAGAUAUACCUCACCUACUGAAUGAAGGCUUCUUGAUGCGAUAAGUUACCAUGUGAAAUUAAUUAUUUGUUCACCAGAACUCUGUAAAGUAAUUAAAGUUAACAUUCCAAUGCAAAACACGAAAAGUGUUACAUAUAUUCCUAGCGUUGUCUUCCACUGGGCUAUUGGUACAUUGCUUGCUGUGAAAUCAUGAAAAGUGUUUGUAGAGUACAGCACAAACCAAAAUCACACACACACACAAUUACAAACUUGCUACUAGGUAUCCGAUUAAAUAAAGAUAAAACUGGAUCUCAAACUCGUAAAUUUCAACAACAUUACUAUGCAUAAAGAAUUAGAGUCUCGAAAAAUGCGGGGGGAGUAUUUAACUUUAUUUACCAUGACUGUCUUUACAAUCUAUUAUAUACUAAAUUCAAAUGCUCAAGAAAAGAAUAAAAUAAAGAAUUGGAAACCUUGAAGAGUAGGACGUUGCCAAGAAACAAUAUUCUCAAGGAACAGCGAGUACAUAUACAAGGCAUGCACGGGCAGUUUUGAUUGCUAGAGUGCAUAGAAAAGUUGAAAACCUUGGUGCAAGGGCUAACAUGUGCUGACAUUCUUCAGUGUUACUAACAGGUUUGUGCGUGUAUUCGUCUUCUGUAAUCAAGUGCUUUCUUUUUAUUUAAACCUAAAUCCUAGUUGCAUGCUGAUAGAUAUAUGUUUUUUAAUGAUUGCCACAUACUCUCUCUCUCUUGCUCAUGAACCAUUGGCAAAUCUAAUUAACCAUGGCAGCCGAGACUGCCCCCCCUCCUCCGGGGGGGGCUGUCGGCCUUUCCUCCCCCUUUAGGAAGAAGGCCUUCUCUGCGUUGUUUGAGCCACAACCGACGUCCGAGGUAGUACAAGUUCAAGCGAGGAUGACAACACACCGUGGAGAGCCUGCGGUGGUCUUCAGUGCGGCUGACAUAGCAGUGGUUGCUGCUCCAUUCCGCUACACUUUGGUUGGGAAGUUCUCUAAGGGGCGGCCGCUGCUGCCUGACCUGAGGAAAUUCUUGUCGACUCUUGAUUUGAAGGAUACGGCGACUGUGGAUUGUUAGAUGCUAGGCACGUGUUGCUGAAAUUUCAAUGUGAAGCGGAUUUCCUUCGCGUUUGGGGACGAAGUUUGUGGUACGUGAAUGGAUCCCCCAUGAGGGUUUUAAGUGGACAUCUAAGUUCCAUGUGAACAGAGAGUCUUCCCUUGUUCCCGUCUGGUUUAGAUUGCCCAAACUCCCAUUCACUUAUUUGCUAAGCGAUUCUAUUUCAUCUUGUCUCCUGCUUGGGUACGCCGCUAUUCGUGGAUGCGGCUACGUCUUCGUUUUCGCGACCGAAUGUGGCACGGGUAUGUGUUGAGGUGGAUCUACUGAAAUCGAUUCCGUCGAGGGUGUGGGUCGAUAUGGGAGAUGGGGAUGGUUUUUGGCAGGUUCUUAUCCCUGAGAACCUCCCUAAUUAUUGCAGCCACUGCUAUCGUCAAGGGCAUGGCGAGGAUCAUUGCCGUGUGAAGCACCCUGAUUUGCGCUUGCACAAGACGCGGGAGGAUCUGGUCACAGGGGUGAUGGGCGCAAAGGUUCGCUCCUCACCAGCUAACACGCAGCGUACAGAGGAUGAGGAGCGAAGGGGGGUGAGUGAAGGAGAUGGGGUGAAAUCUGAUGCGACACAGAAUUCGGGUAAGAGCCAUUCCGAGGGGUCACUGCACGUUGACACCCCUACUACUGCUGUGGGAGAUGCAUCAUGCUUACCGAACCAGCUUGGAGGGUCUACGGUUGUGCUUGUGGAGAAGGGGAUAGAGGCUGCUGCUGAUGCCAUUCUUCACGCUAUGGCUGACCGCGUGAUUGGCGAACCAGAGGGAGUGCUGGAAGGGACUGCUAAUACGGGAGAAUUGGCGCUAGUGGAGCUGAACGUGGUAGCAGGCCCAGGCAUGAUGGAGCCCAUAGAGGGGGCUGCUGUGCCAGGGCAAAACUGCAACGAAAAAGCUGUCAAGCAUGACCAAAGGGAGGGACCAUGCGAUCACAUUGCAGCCCACGACCAAGGAAAUGAUUGUGAGGAGUCCCAUAUUCUAGUGGAGCAAAUAUUGGGAGAUGGUCAGCAGCAAAUGGCCGACAAUACUUCAAUUAGAAAUCAAAAUGCCGAAAAUUCUAAUUGGAAUAAAAGUGAUGGGUCCCAAGCUUUUGAGAAGCAGAAUUUGGGAGACGAUAAUCAUAAAAAAGUCGACACCACUGACCCCGACAUUCUUUAUGUUGCCUUGAAUGGGGGUGAGGAUGUACCACCCCUUGUGGUUCCAGGAACAAGUACAAGAACAAAAACGAAAACCACGGUGCCUCAAAAUCUAGUGCCACCUUUCAAAGAUGUAUUCGAAGAGGUUAAAUGGGAAAAAUUACAUGGUACACUUUCCCGACCACAUCAAAUUAGUUUUAUUCGUUCAAGUAUAACAUGCAAUAACGACAAAAAAGAAGAAGAAGAAGACGAUUCACAACACGACAAACACAAAGAUCAAGACCAGAAUCUAGUACAACAGCAAUUUACCCAAGUGAUUUCAAAGAAAGCGAGGAAACAGCUUUCAAAAAAAGGUAAAACAAUGCAAACACGUCAAGAUCUCAAACCAAAUUCCAAUGCUCACUCGCAGUCACAAAUGUGGAGCACCCUCAUGUGGAUGAUUUCUUUGGAUUGAUCUGUUAUGUCUUUACAAUUCCUUUAUAUGUGUGUUAUAUUUUCCUACAUUACAUGUUUCUUUUCUUUAACAGAGGUCAGGUUUGGCCCCCCUCUAAUUUGAUGUAUUUUUUUCUCGGUUUUUAAUAUAUUAAGGGAUGGUAUCCCUAUUUAAAAAAAAAAACAAAAAAAAAGAUAUAUGUGUUUAAAUAGAUUUUGUUAGCUUAACGGAACGUCUUCUAUGUUUACGCCAAAAAGUAAAGCUUUCUAUUUGUCUUUAUCAUUUAUAUACAUAUCUAUAUAGCCAAUCGAGCCAAUCGAGCCAAGAACUAACAGAGCUACCAUGCCAAAGAAAAUUUUCAAUUUUCUACAUAGAAUUAUUUUUUAAAAAACCACAAAGCUUUAACUCUGUAUCUACCAAAAAGGGAUUAAAUGUGAAAAAAAUUCAAAAGCGGUGUCCAAACACUCCUUUAGUCUAAUCGAAUUUGUAUAUCUACUAAUCCUUUAUGUAGUGUUUUUAGACUUCCCUUCCCUGUAGACUAAGUUGCCCUUAUAUAUUUGUUAGCCCCAUAUACAAUCUCAUUAGAUUUUUACUCCCUAUAAAAUAGAAUAUAUUAGUUAUAGGAAUGUUAUCGUACUCGGUAAAAUAUAUAUAUAUAUUUAUAGGAAAUUUUUAAAAAGUUUUAAUUUUAUCCCAUUAAUUUUGGUCGGGAAUAUAUAUAAUUUUUUGAAUUAAUCAUGCACAUAAAGGUUGAGCCUUUACUUCUAGAAAUUCAUUUCGGCCAAUUGAACCUUCUCAAACUGUUCUUGCUAAAGUCAACUCAUGAAGUUGGCAUUACGCGGGAAUCAUCUUCGAUAUGAACACAUAACCUAUGCAAGUACGUAUAUUCUUACAUCUUUUUCUCCAACUUUGGUGGCGGCAUCUUCAUGACUCCUAACAACAAAACUAGCAGUGUAUGUUUGGGCUUCCCACAUGGGAGUCAGAUCAUUCAUGUUUCCUCCAUCUUUUGAUACGAAGUCUGGAAACACAGAACGGUAAUUAGUUAACCACUGACAAUUUCUGAGUUUCAUAAACUUUUCUUCUUGGUCUUUAAUUUGCAUACAAGAUAGAAAAUCCAACAUAUAUGUCCUCAUUCUGAUUCUUAUAAGUAACAGGAACAGUUUUCCAGCUAAUACCAUACAUUCUUGGUAAAUGGAAUUUGACAAUUUUUUUUCCACAUUUUUAAGGUACGGACUAUACAGGCUCAAAUUAAGUUUCUAAGCAUGAAUAGAUUCCAUGUAUAUGUACCAUCUUGUCGAAGUGUUGAUCAUCUGACUUCUAUGCUUCAUAGCUUUCAUAUAUAUCUUGCAAAUUAACUUUGGUGUAUGAAUAAGAUUUUCCUUUUCUUUAUCUAGGAGUGCUUCUGCAUUCGAUUUGGUUAGGAACUAAUUUUGAGACUCUUCUUUAUUAUCAUUCAGAGAAUUUUAAUCUACUAUCCGAUCAGAAGGUAUGUUGUGGUAUAGGUCAACUAUACCCAAGAAACAACAAGAUUCACCAGGCACUCAAAAUGCACAAAAAAAAAAGGAAUUUUGUGAUAGUCAUGUAGCGCUUGGACCUCAAGAUUCAUUCCAAUAGGAAUCAACCUAAAUGCUUAAAUUUGCUGAUCCUUCUUGAUGUUUUCUGCUGCAGCAAUUUUUCCUCUUGUUUAUACGUACUCAACAAAGAUGUUAGGAGACAUAUCUGUUCGCAUUGAUCGCAUUGAUCAAAUGCGUUCUGGCCUAUCGGAUACACCAAGGACGCAAUCGAUCUUCAAAGUCCAUAGUAAACUACGAUGUGAAAAUGAAAUGGCAUAUGAACCACAAGUCGUCUCCGUCGGACCUUAUCACCGCGGUAAGCCUAAACUGAAAAAGAUGGAGGAGCAUAAGGUAAGGUACUUGAACAUGCUUCUUCUUAGAAGAAAAGAGUCAAGUGCUAAGAAAUACGUCGAAGCUAUGGCUGAACUUCAAGAAGAAGCUAAAAGUUCUUACGCAGACGAAAUCAAUCUUUCAGAUGGUGAUUUUGUUGAAAUGCUAUGCCUUGAUGGCAGCUUUGUCAUCAUGUUCUUGAGGAAACUUUAUUAGCUUGAAGAAUACGACAAGAAUGACCCCAUUUUUCGGAUGUCUUGGCUAAUAUCAGCCACUAAGAGAGACCUAAUAUUAUUGAGAAUCAGUUGCCCUUUAUUGUCCUGCAAAAACUGUUUGAUAUGACCAAGUUGCAGGACGAAGAAGAGAAGCUUAAUGACCUAGCUAUUCCCUGUCUGUCUUCGCUCAUGCCUGGUUCUUAUCCAGGUCAAAGUUCUUAUUCUACAAUCGCUGCAAGUCAUAGGGCUGUUCAUCUUCUUGACCUCAUGCACAAAAUUUGACUGCCUCAUUUUCCAACACACUUACGUGUUCCAAACGUGAACCGACUAAACCUUAUUGCAGAAACCAGUUAUUGAGCUACUGUCUAGUGGAACCAAGUUCGAGAGGGCAAAGAAGAGUGUACCCUUGCUCCGUAUCACUUUCAAAAAUGGUGUAGUUAAAAUCCCUCCUUUAUUUGUGGAUGAUCAUACAGAAUGCAUCUUCAGAAACUUGAUUGCUGAUGCGACUGCCGAAGUAAAGAUCCGAACUGAACUGGGUCUGGAGAGCGAGCUGGUGAGGCGCCCGACCUGCACGUGAACGAGCUACGGGGCUAAGUCCCCUGUAGCAACUCCGACGAUCAAGUCAGAAUGAAUUCGUAAGUUACCGAGUGGAAUUUGCACUGUGAAUAGCGUACCUUGUGUUUCCCCUUCGCGUGGUAUUUAUAGAGCCUCAGGUUGUAGUUUCCUGGUAGGACAAGGAGUCCUUAUUGGAGAGAGUUGGUUCCUAGGGCUCCAUGACCCAGAUCUGAAGACGCGGACUCCGCGGCCCAUCAGACCUCUCUGCCCGAGAGGCGGCGCCCGCAAGGGCCAGCGAGCCGACCUGACACUCCGGCCCAGCUCCUCCAGUCCGAGCUCAUGGGCCGGAUUGACGUGUGUGCGGACCGGGCCGACGUGCUCCUGGGCCCCACUACACUAGCCCCCCUUGUAGUCUAGAGUCAUCGAACGUGCGCAUGAAUCUAGCCGACUUUCUGGGCAUCGUGUCAGCUCGGUGUGGGGCCCUCGCCUGGGAGUGGUGCACACAACCAUCACGUCGGUUCGUGUCUGUCCUCUCAACCGUCACGUCGACCAGUUAUGACGGUUAGGAACGGUUCCCCAUAAACGGUUCAAUUAAUGCGCGCCCCUUCAUUUUCCCGCCCUGCGGAUCGCCUAUAAAUAGGCCUCUUGGGCGUCAUUUUCAUUCCUCCUUCCCCACUCUAUCAGUUCGCUCUUUCCAUCCUUAGCUCGCUGCUUUUAUCCUUUUCCCUUCGAGAACCCAUCGGGUCGCCCUACCUUAGGAGCCCAGAGUCAGCUCGUGCAUCACCUAGAUCAGCCUUUCGUCCGAUCUCCUACUUCCACCAGUAAGUUCCCCUUUCCUUUUAUGUCUUCUUACAAUUCUGAUAGUUCUGACGUUACCAGUUCGGCCCCUAGGCACAGAGCAGCUAGCCCAUACUCCUAGAUAGCCCCUCUCCCGACCCUUUAAGUUCUUCUCCUUCCACUUCAUCUGGGUCAGGACCCGCGUCUUCUCCCAUCCAAUCUCCUGUCCAAAUAAUGAGCCCAGCCGAGCAAACUGCCCAACCUCUAGUCGGGGCUGCGGAACAGGCAGCUCCAGCUCAGAUGGCCGCAGGGACCUCGGGGGACCUAGUGGCGACUUUGGAGAGGUCGACACUAUCCCCCCAGCCCUGGGACAGAAGGAUGUUGACGGGCUGGCCGAAAAAUAUGAAAUCCCAACCCAGUUUGAACCUAGGGCUGCCCAACCGGGGAGGUCGCCAGCCGACCUCCUCCCGGUUUCGUGGCGAUCUACAGGGACCAGCUGAUGGCUGGCCUCCGCCUGCCUAUUCCCAACUUCUUCUUCUUCAUCCUCACCUUCUGGGGCAUCCGCAUAACUCAGGUCAUCCCAAAUGGUGUUUCGCUCCAUUAUAGGCUUUUUCAUCCUCUGCGAGCACUAGAAAUUCCCUUUUCCCAUGACCUGUUCCAAGCCUUCUUCCAGAUGAAGGUCAGCGGGAAGGUGCCCGGGUGGUUCUACUUUGCCCGUAGAAGUGGAGCAAAAACCCCCACCCGCGAGCUGUUCACGGGGGCACCUUCCUCCAUCAAAGACUGGAAGCGUUACUUCUUUUUUGUGAAGAACCUGGGCUUUCCCCCUCUGACCUGGAGGGCGGAGACUCAGGUUUCGAAUCCACUUCCAGAUCCGCUCCCUGUAGCCGAGCUCAGCCGCCUACUCAGCUCAGACGAGAAGCUGGAGUGAAAGAGUUCAGCAAUGCCCAGCUUUGGGUGGCGGGGCUGAUCCGAGCUAACCCCUCAGAUCCCUCGCCAGAGAAUAGGCCGCUCUCGCCAGACGAGCUGACCUCUUGUAAACGACCUGGCCUUCCUUUUCUUUCUUCUCUUUGUUUUAUGUAUCUACUGACCUUCUGGUCUUCUGUUUUUUGCAGUGAAGAGGUUUUCUUCCCUUCUAACCAUCGGAGGAGCCAGCAAUCCAGGUGCUACUACCCAGCCCUCCUCAGCCAUUCCAGCCAGCUCGGCACCAGGUCCAACGCCUCAGCCAGCUCCUGCCCAAUCCGCCAAGGCUGUCGAGGCUGGGAAAAAGAAGAAGAAGAAGACAACUGCAAAGAGGACUAGAGUGGAGACGACCUCCUCCCAAUUCAGGAAGAGAGGUCGACGCUAAACCUGGUCAGGGCGGUCACUACGGCGGAAUACCGCCGAGGAGCAAGCUGGUGCUGGCGCUCCUCCUAAUUUAUGGCAGCGCCAGAGCUCCACCCUGCUGUUCGACCCGCAGACGCGGCUGAUCACGCACCAACACCCAUGCACUUCUGCCCCAGUGGAAGCUUUCCAUAAACGACCGAGCUCAAUUCCCUGAGGUGGCCAGGGAGCUUGCUCAUGGGGCCAUCCUUCCACGGGACCACAGCUUGAUUAAGGCCAUGGAGGCAUCUGACCUCCUCGACUACUAUUACACAGGCGCGGCCCAAGUGAACUUGGUUGGGUCCGAGCUGGCCAAGCUGACAGGUGUCGUGCCUGUGCAAUAAUAAAUACCUGCUUAAGAAAAAUAAAUUUUCUGUGUAUAGUAGUAAGCAGGGUCGAAUCCACAGGGACUGGAAAAAAAAUUUGAUUCUUUUUAAAUUCGGGACACGGGGGAUUUUUAUCAGAAAUAAACUAAAAAUACUUAAACAAUUUAACUAAAAAUAAUUAAAUAAUUUAACAAAAAAUAAAUAAAUAAUUAAUACAAAUGUAAAUGACAAUUAAAUAAAUAAUAAAUAAAUUCUAGCCAAGGAUACAACUACGCAGACACAGUCCAUUCAUCCGAUCAUUGAUGCAAAGAAGGUUCACUUAAUUUAAUUAAUAGGCUAGUUAUAGCCGCCGAUAAACUCUAAAUACCAGCUUUUCCUUAAUUUAUUGAUAACCAAGGUACGACCGUUGAUUACUCUAACCAGAAAAUACUCCUAGGUACGACCGUAGGAAUUAAUUUCCUAAUUGCAUUAAAAACUAGAAAAGCCUAGCCCAAAUUAAUAACACGCUACGAGGGUUAUUUAAAUCAGAUUGCAUGUUCCCCUAGUAUGUGAAAAUACUAAUUGUCACUAAUAUUAAUCAACUAAACAAUUACGGAUUAAUUUUGAUUAAUUUGACAAGAGAUUAAAAAGUCAAAUUGCACAUCGGGCCCUUGAUAUCCAAUUAACAAAAUAAUCCAUGGAAAUUAAAACAGAAAACAUGCAAAUAUUAACAAAUUAAGGAACACGUAAAAAUUAAUUAGAUCUCACAGAUAUAUGGGACUGCGUCGUCGCGUUGAUCCUUGACUAGAGGAGAAAAUUAGCCACGCCUCAUAAGAAAAUUCCCACACAAUUCAAUUGAAUUUAAAGACAUCAUCUUUCUUCGAUAAUUGAGAGAGUGAAUAACAAAGCUUUCGGAAGAGAAUAAGAAAAUUGCACACUAGAACUCAACAAGCCAAAACAACUCCUUAUUCUCUCCCCGGAACAUCCCUCGGAGAGAAAACUAAAACUCCUCUUCCCAGACGGAAGAGAAGAAGAAAAACUAACUCCCCAAAUGUGCGGCUCUCCCCCCGAAUAAAAACAAGCCAAUUCCAAACUUCACUCCAUGCUCACAAAAGAAAACAUUCCUUCCCUACCUAAUCAACUCCACCGAAAUUAAAAGCAAAGCCAACUAUGGUUUGUCGGUUUUCUUUGACCAGGUGCACACUUUCACCAACAAGAAAGCAAAAUCACAAAUGUGCAAAGAAAGCACACUUUAGACAAUACAACUUAUUUGCGGUCCCACCAACUUUGACAUGUUGUCUAGCCAAAUUGAAUUCCCAAAUGCAAAUUCUCCAUUCUUCUACGUUGGUUGCACCAAAAUUGUGUAAAGCUUCACAAUAAUCUUCUCAAGAGGUUUCUGCUCCAAUUUCUGAAAUUAUAUCCAAAUACCAAAUAUAAAUAUAUAUUGACAAUUAAAGCAAUAUUUGGCAAGGAUAAAGAGGAGAAUUAACAAUAAAAUUACUAACAAUUAACACCCUAUCACAAGCGCUACGAGGGCCUCCUCCCCCUGAUGAGCGAGACGAGGGCGGCCAACGAGAAACUGCUCAGCCAGAACGAAGAAGCUGUGGCCGAAGCUGAAGGUCUGAGGAAGCAGCUCGCCCAAGCUCACUCCAACUUCGAACUGGAGCUAAAGAAGAACUCCGAUCUGACCUCUCAGCUGAAUGAGGAGCAGAAGAGGAGCGCCGAACUAUCUGCUCAAGUCGAGGCGGCUAGGACUGAGGGAGGCCAAGAGGGCGUGCGGGCCUUCCUCAGGUCGGAGGAUUUUAAGGGUGACCUGGCCAUCUUGAAUACCCCAAUGCUGCAACAUGGGUAUUCCCAAGCCCUGGAGGAGGUGCAAAAGCUGGGUCUGCCUGGGUUUGAUCUAGGCAAGUUUCCCAGCUACAACCCCCUGGCCGUGGAGCAGCUCGACCGCCUGGUAGAGGGCUACACGCGUGGACGGAAGUUGGCCGACCUGGUCGCCGAUCCUCAGCUGCCAGUGACCACUCCUGAAACCGAGCAAGAGGAAGAAGAGGCGGGAACUAGAGCAGGGCGGGAACUAGAGCAGGGCCUUAGGAUAGGAUCUGAACUGUCAGUAGGCAGUUCGUUUUGUAUGAGCUCUGCUCUUCCUCUGUGCAAUUUCUUUUGCGCGAGUUUGGCUCCCUCUUGUACAGUUUUAUUGAAUGAAAUGAAAAAGCCUUUCCUUUGCUUCAUACUUAGUCUCAAUUGCAAAAAUCGUCACAAAAUACAUCAGUUCGGCCCUAUGCCGACCUAAGGGAGCUAUUCUCUAAGACAAAGCAAUUUAUUAGCCAAGUACAUCAAUAAUAACGAAAAAUCUUGACCUUGGAAGGAACUGAUAACGCGCGAGUUUUAACGAAAAAUCCUCAAGUUGGAAUUGUGCCAGGUACGCGGGACCUCUUCCCCGCUGAGGUGAGUUAACUUGUAGUACCCAGCUCGAUCUGCUUCUUUUACCACAUAAGGACCUUCCCAAUUCGGAUCCAGCUUGCCUGUGCCCUGAAGCCGACUCACACUGUUCUUCCUCAAGACCAGGUCCCCCGGUUUGAAGGACACUGGCCUCACCCUAGCAUUGUAGUGCCGCGCGACCUGUCCCUUAUACUUAGCCAUACGUAUGGCCGCCUCUUCUCUCCUUGCCUCUAGCAGAUCCAAAUUGAGACGUAGCUCGUCCUCGUUGUCCCGAGCUAUGAAAUUCUGAAGUCUGCCCGAAGGAACGCCUAUCUCCGCAGGGAUCACCGCCUCUGCUCCAUAGGUUAGAACAAAAGGAGUUUCCUGGGUAGCAGUUCGGGGAGUGGUUCGGUAAGCCCAUAGUAUGGUUGGCAGUUCGUCCAGCUAGGGGUGGGCACGGGUCGGGUACCCGCCCCGAACGGCAAAAGGCUGACCCGACCCUAAGAUGUCGGGUCACUAUUUUUUUGACCCUAAUCCGCUCCGAUUGUCCUCGGGUACCCGAUCCUCGGAUACCCGAAAAAUAGGGGCGGGUCAUCGGGUACCCGCCCCUAUUUAAAGAAUGCAAAUUCUGCAUUCAUAAGAUGAACCUGCUGUAGCCUGUACGUCCAGAUGCUGGGGAGACUUAUUGUGAAAAUCAAAAGCAACCUUUCUAUUGUUAUUGCUUGAGUAAAAUCACUGGGCAAAAAUUCCAAAACAACAACUUAGUUAAAUCCCCCAUAAAUGAAUACUAUGCACAAAACCUAUGAGCUAAAGCCUGAAAGUUCAACUGAAUAGAUGUUGAACAACAAGAUAUAAAAUCAAAAGUCCUCAGAUUUGAUAGCUAUUUUAGGACUAUAUUUAAUCAAAAACCAUCAUUUGCAGUUUAAGGGCAGUUUAAGGUUACUAGCAGUGACAUUUAUCAAGCACUUUUGGUACCAUCUGUAUGGCAACUCUGAUAUGAUUUAUCAUCACAGCUAGAUAGAUAGAUAGAUAGAAGAUCAUCUGGAUCAAUGGAUGGAUGAAUGGAUAAAUGAAUGAAUAAAUAAAAAGGGUUAAUUACGCUUUGCUCCCCUGAGGAAAUCAGGCAAUGGCACCACAAAAGGCUAACAAUAAAUAGCAACCAAAAGAACUGCUCUUUUGCCACAAAAUUUUUGUCACGGGGCAAAAAUCAAGAAUUAUUUAAUAGAUAUACAUGAAAAGAAUAAAUAAUCUCAAUUAUAUAAAAAACUAAAAAGAAUCAAAUGCUUGAAAGCCACCACAACUAAAUAAGAAACUAAAGCAAUAAAUAUCCAAAAAUGCAAAAAAUUUCAAACAUAUUUCAUAAGAAGCCCUCAGAUCUCAUGGCUUCAAUGAAUCAUAGACGGAAUUUGACGGGUAAUUCAACAGAUGCCUUUUACAGAUCACCGACAAAAAAACCAGCCAAGCCAUGCACCAGUGUGUGUGUAUGUGUGUGUAUAAACUCAAGCAAUUUUCCCGGAGUAAAGAACAUAAACAAAAGGGCGGAGCCGCCGAGGGAGGAUUUUCAGCAGGGGAAAAUGAGGGAAGGCUUUAGCAGCGAGUCUAACCAUGGAGGCAAGGCUUCAAGAUCAGAUCAGGAGCGGCGCAAAGGGAUUGCCUGGACAGAGGUGGGUGGCGGCUAAUUUUUCCGGUGAAGUGCAAAGGCAACCGUUGAAUUUUAAACCCUGUCAAUCCCCUCACUAUUAACAAUUUUUUCCAUCAUUGGCUGCAACAGAAAAUUUGAGAAAAAAAACAAUACUAAUCAACAAAAAAUCAAAUGAUAAUACAUUAUAUAUAAAAUCAAGCAAUUUUCCCGGAGUAAAGAACAUAAACAAAAGGGCGGAGCCGCGGAUGGAGGAUUUUCAGCAGGGGAAAAUGAGGGAAGGCUUUAGCGGCGAGUCUAACCAUGGAGUGAUGGAGGCAAGGCUUCAAGAUCAGAUCAGGAGCGGCAAAGGGAUUGCCUAGACAGAGGAUGAACACAGGCAAAUUAUGUUGCACUAGAUCAGAAUGUCGGCUGAACUCUUUAGGUUAGGGUUAAUAACUUAUAAAAUUAUAAAAUUGCCCCUAUAUUUUUUAAUAGUUACAUAAUAUACCCCGGGUCGGGUACCCGCGGGUUUUUGCUUUUACGAUCCGUAUCCGUAUCCGAAUAUUCCGGGUACCCGACCCUAUCUGAUCCGCUGAGAGAAAUCGGAUCGGGUAUCCUAUUUUUCGGAUCGGAUCGGAUCGGAUCUCUCGGGUUUUCGGGUCAGCGGGUAUUUUUGCCCACCCCUACGUCCAGCCACCCAGUUCGGGCGAACUCCAUCCGCGUCUUCAAGCCUUGCAGGAUGGUUCUGUUGACGUUCUAGACCUGCCCGUUUGCUUGAGGGUGGCCUACCGAGGUGAAGUGCUGCCGGAUUCCGAGCUCCGAGCACCAGCUUUGGAGAGCGCCGUCAGCGAACUGGUGCCCGUUGUCUGAGACCAGUACAUGGGGUAUACCAAAUCGGCAAACGAUGUUUUUCCAGAGGAACUUCUGCACCGACCUGCUGCUAAUGGUGGUAAGGGGCUCGGCCUCCACCCAUUUGGUGAAUUAAUCUAUGGCCACCACCACAUGCUGAUAACCCCCAGGAGCUCGGGGAAACGGACCCAGCAGGUCGAUUCUCCAUUGGAAGAAAGGCAAAGGGCUCUGAAGAGGGAUCAUCUCCUGAGUUGGGGCGUGAUGGAUCGGCGCAUGCAGCUGGCAGGACUUGCACCGAGCCACCAGUUCGGCAGAAUCCAAGAAAAUGGUCAGCCAGUAGUACCCAGACAGCAUUCAUUUCUUGGCCAAAACCCUUGGACCGACGUGGUUUCCACAGAUACUUUCAUGCAACUCACGCAGGAUGUAGUCUCCUUCCUCUGGAGUUACGCAUCUCAGCCACGGGCGGAGGUAGGAUUUCUUGUAAAGUACCCCAUUCGAGAGCUCGUAUCCCCGCGACCUGAGGAUGACCCUUCGCGCCUCCACCCGGCUUGGAGGGAGCUCUUCGCUGCUAGGUACCGUACGAUGAGAUCCAUCCAUGAGCUCGUUAUUUGAAUAACAGAAGCGUUUACCUGGUCGUACGCCCGAUUUCUGACGAUUUCCACCAAGACUUCUUUGUUCAACGUACCGACCGAGGUGGAAGCUAGCUUGGACAGAGCAUCCGCUCUCUUAUUUUGGCUUCGCGGGACCUGCUUGAGCGUGAAUAAUUUGAACUGAGCUCUCAGCUCAUGCACUUUGGCGACGUACCUUCUCAGGGGCUCUUCCUUAACCUCGUAACCCCCCGACCUGGUUUACUAUCAUCUGUGAGUCGCUGUAGACUUCUAUUGACUCGGCCCCCAAUUUCCGAGCUAUCUCCAUCCCCGCGACCAGGGCCUCGUACUCGGACUCGUUGUUAGAGGCCCUGAAAUCAAACCUCAAGGCGUAGGCCAGUUCAUCCCCCAUAGGGCUAGUCAAGAGAAGCCCUGCUCCGCAUCCUUCCUUGCUUGAAGAUCCAUCCACGAACAGCGUCCAGGUCGGGAUGGACUGAUCUGCCUUUUCGGCGUCUUGGCCGACUUCCACAGCAUUUCCGACCUGUUCGGCCUCCGCUGUGCUCAACCUAUCCUCGGCUUCCUCAGUAGCCUGUAUGACCACGGCAGGUUUUUCGGCCUGCUUGGCCUCAACUGCACCUACGGUCUGUUCGGCCUCGGAAGUCUUAGUGCCUUUCAUGACCUCGACAGCUUCUCCGGCCCGCCGAGCCUCAGCUGCGUCUUGGGUCGGUCCGGACUUUGCGGCCUGCGCGACCUUGGCAACUCCUCCGGCCUGCUCGGCCUUGGCUGCGUUUCCGGUCAGCUCGACCUGCGAUCCCUGUUGUCCAAAGGAAACCCCUUCAGCUAUGAAAUCUGCCAAUGCUUGGGCCUUAAUGGCCGUGCGAGGAUGGUAGCUGAGAUCGUACUCGGACAGCUCCACAGCCCAUCUUACCAUUCUUCCUGAUGCAUCAGGCUUUGAAAGGAUUUGCUUGAGAGGCUGAUCGGUCAUAACGACCACGGGAUGAGCUUGAAAAUACGACCUGAGCUUCCGGGCCGCGUGAACUAAUGCCAAAACAUACUGCUCAACCGAGGUGUACCUUGGCUCCGCGCCCUACAGAGCUCGGCUGACAUAGUAUACGGGCCUCUGAAUUUUGCCUUCUUCCCGAACUAGUACCGCACUGAUUGCCUCCUCCCCCGCGGCCAGAUAAAUAAACAAGGUCUCUCCUUGUGCGGGAGAGGUCAAGGCCGGCAACCGAGCGAUGUGGGCUUUUAGUUCGUCAAACGCUCGUUGGCAUUCGGGUGUCCACUCAAACUGGGGGCCUCUUCGCAGUGCUCUGAAGAAGGGGGAACCCCGAACUGCAGAUUUCGACAAGAACCUGUUCAGGGCAGCCAUCCUGCCAGCUAGCCGUUGGACCUCUUUUAUAUUUCGAGGUGGAGCCAUGUCCAUUAUAGCUUUUAUCUUGUCGGGAUUAGCUCUUACUCCGUCCUUGGAUAUCAUCUACCCAAGGAACUUGCCCGACCUGACCCCAAAAGUGCAUUUCUUGGGAUUCAGCCGCAUCCGCGAGCUCCGCAGGACGUUGAAGAUCUCCCUGAGGUCGCUAAUGAACUGCUCCUGAGUUCGGCUUUUUACCAGCAUGUCAUCUACGUAUACCUCCAUGUUUCGGCCGAUCUGGUUCCUGAACAUCUUGUUGACCAGUCGCUGAUAGGUCGCGCCAGCGUUCUUCAAUCCAAAUGGCAUGGUGGUAUAACAAUACGUGCCGUAUUCGGUGAUGAAGGCAGUCUUCUCUUGAUCCUUCUCGUCCAGAGCUAUCUGGUGAUACCCUUUGAAGGCAUCCAAAAAGCAGAAAAUCUCGUAUCCAGUAGUUGAGUCGACCAGCUGGUCGAUGCAGGGGAGGGGGUAACAGUCCUUCGGACAAGCUUUAUUCAGAUCGGUGAAGUCCACGCACAUCCGCCAAGCUCUGUCUUCCUUUUUCACCAACACAGGGUUAGCCAGCCAGGUCGGAUAGUAGAUCUCUUUCACAAUUCUGGCUUCCAACAGCUUGCCUACCUCCUCCUUGACGACCUCGUUGCGCUCAGGAGCGAAGUUUCUCUUCUUUUGCUUCACUGGCCGGAGGCUCGGGUCGACGUGCAACUUGUGAACUGCCAGCUCGGGAGGAACUCCGGGCAUGUCGUCAGCACUCCAAGCAAAGAUCUCAGCGUAUUCCUCCAGUAGAGACUCCAGAGCUCUCCGUGUCGGCUCGCUUAGGCCAGCUCCGGCCCUCACCACGCGAUCGGGUCGCUCGGUGCAGAUGGGCAAUUCGACCAGACUCUCAUCUGUCUCCAUCCUUUCCUCCUUUUCAGCAGGCUCCCAGGGUUCCAAACAGGUUGUCUGGGCCACCAUCUUCUCCUUACCUUUGAGGGUUGCGAUGUAACAGGCCCGAGCUACCUCCGGGUCUCCCAGCACCUCGGCCACUCCAUCGGGCGUGGGGAACUUCAUGCUAAGGUGCAAAGUCGAACAGACAGCUCGGAGCACGUUUAGGGUUGGUCGCCCAAGUAUCAUAUUGUAGGAGGAUGGCUCCUUUACCACCGCGAUAUUCACCGGGACAGUUCGGCACUUCGGCUACUCCCCUACAGUGACCAUGAGGGUUAUCAUUCCCUCGGGCCUUACCGGCGGACCUGCAAAACCUAUUAAAGGAGUUCGGACGAGGAUGAGCUGCUUAUCUUCCAGCUGCAACUCUUUGAAGGUUUUGUAGUAUAGCACAUCGAUGGCACUCCCAUUGUCGAUGUAUACCUUCUUUACCUUGUAGUUACACGUGAUGACCUCUAUUACAAUCGCUUCAUGGUUAUUGGAGGCUAGGGGUACCGCGUCCUCCGGCCCAUAGAUGAUCUCUUCGUACAUCUUUAAACGCUUGUUAGAGCUUUCCCCACUGGGGGAAGGCCGGUUGUUUCGCCGAGCCGUAUGACUGUCUCCCCCACAGGUCCCCCUGCGAUAGUGUUGAUUACCCCAGCUAGAUUCUGAACCCCCUGCUCCGGAGUUCGAUCACGGGGACCCGAGGUCGGUCGCGCGAGCUAGUCGCCCGUUCUCGGUUGAACCCCCCUUGCUUUUGAUCGGCUCAGCCGUCACGGAUGAACUGCCCGAGGUGGCCUCUCCGUAUCAGCUUUUCAAUCUCCUUCUUGAGGUGUCUGCAAUCCUCAGUAUCGUGCCCGACGUCCCUGUGGUAAGCACAGUACAAACCCUGGUCGCGCUGGUUUUUGUCCCCAGCCAGUGGCCGAGGAGGGCGCAAGAUCCCCUGUUGUUCCAUUACGGCGAGAACCGAGCUCGGGGCGCGGUGAGCGAAGUCCAAGCCUUUUCCUUCUCCCAAGGUCGGCUCCGAGGUAAGCGCUCGGGUACGCUCUUCCGUGCCUGACCUGGUCGCGACUCUCCCAGGUCGGCACCCCUCCUGCGCUUGUCGUCACGCAGCUUCUCCUGAGCGCCUUUCAAUCGGUUGGCCUCCUCGGCAUUCGCCUUCUCGUGAGCUCGGUCUAGCAUCUCCCGAACGGACUUGGGAGGUUUUUCCACGAACUCCGUAUACAGCUUCUGCUUGCGCAGCCCAUUGACAAAGGCAGCCAUCACAACCUUGUCAUCCCGAUCCCGUACCUGGAGGGAUUCGUUGUUGAAGCGCACCAUGUACUCGCGCAAUGACUCCUCGGGCCCUUGAUGAACAGUCAUCAGAUGAGCCGUGGUUUUGGAAAAAGCACGCGAGGAGACGAACUGAGCCACGAACAACCGCGCGAGCUGGCCGAACGACCUAACCGACCUGGGGGGCAACCCCUGGAACCACUGCCGGGCCUUUCCUUCCAGGAACAUCGGAAAGGUCUUGCACCUGACCGCGUCAGCAGCUGUCUGCAGGCGCAUCUGAGUCAGGAACGCGAACAGGUGAUCUUCCGGAUCCGUGGUCACGUCGUAAGACUUCAUGGACGGUAUUUUGAACUUUGCGGGCAGGGGAUAGUCUUCGAUAUCCGGUACGAAGGGCGAGGCUGUGUACCUGUCCGACUCCGGAUCCAGCAUGAGGUCCAGUUCGUCCUGGAUCUGGUAUUCCUCCUUCCUGCGGGGAACCUCCACCCGCGAGGGCCUCGGGACAGGCUCCGGAUGGCUAGUUCGGGAGUUCCUGUGAGAGGGCUCGGGAACCUGGACCUGCUCACGCGUGAGCUCCUUUCGUGCCCUCUUCGGCCGAGGGACAGGGCUCCCUGAUCGGGAUUCCGAACUCCCUGUUCCGUCAGCUUUUCGCGCCCGGGGCUCCGGACUGGGGGGGACUCCGGAUUGCUCCUUCAGGUAUUUCACAAUGGCCUCGAAGGUGGGCAAGUUCGCCGCUACGGACUGCACCAGCUGUUCUGGCGAGAUCCGUGAGAGCUCAAUCCUCUCAUUUCCCACGAUGGUAUCCUGGUGGACGUGCUGAGGGUCGCCCUGCCCGUUUCCCUCAGAACCAUCCACAUUUUUCUGAGAUCUAGUCUUCGGCAUGUUGUUCGCGAAAGAGAAGAGAAUACGUUUCCCACAGACGGCGCCAAUUGAUGCGACUGCCGAAGUAAAGAUCCGAACUGAACUGGGUCUGGAGAGCGAGCUGGUGAGGCGCCCGACCUGCACGUGAACGAGCUGCGGGCUAAGUCCCCUGUAGCAACUCCGACGAUCAAGUCAGAAUGAAUUCGUAAGUUACCGAGUGGAAUUUGCACUAUGAAUAGCGUACCUUGUGUUUCCCCUUCGUGUGGUAUUUAUAGAGCCUCAGGUUGUAGUUUCCUGGUAGGACAAGGAGUCCUUAUUGGAGAGAGUUGGUUCCUAGGGCUCCAUGACCCAGAUCUGAAGACGCGGACUCCGCGGCCCAUCAGACCUCUUUGCCCGAGAGGCGGCGCCCACAAGGGCCAGCGAGCCGACCUGACACUCCGGCCCAGCUCCUCCAGUCCGAGCUCAUGGGCCAGAUUGACGUGUGUGCGGACCUGGCCGACGUGCUCCUGGGCCCCACUACAAUUGCAUAUGAACAGUAUAUGUCUAAGCCAUUUGAGACAUGGAGGUAUGUAACUGAUUACAUAAGCUUCAUGGAUCUUCUCAUAGAUUCACCGUCCGACGUUGAAAAGCUUCGCAACCGUGACAUCAUCAGGCAUGGGUUAGGCAGUGAUAAAGCAGUCUCUAAAAUGUUCAACAAGUUAAGCAGUGAUGUUUCUAUUGAAGUUCCUUUCUGUUACCACGAAGUUUUUGAGGACAUGAGGAAGUACUCCCGCAACCGCAGCCGUACUUGGUGGGCAAACCUCAUGCGGAAUUAUUUUCAUAACCCGUGGUCAAUCAUUUCAUGUCUGGCUGCAUGCGUUUUGAUUCUUCUCGCAUUGGUGCAGACCAUAUUUUCCAUCCUACACUAGACUUUGACUUAAUGAAAUUAAAGUGAGCUAGUUGUGCUUGUUUUGUAAUUUGUUAGUCAUUGUACUUAAAUACCAACAACAUCAUUUUAUUUGUGUUCCGAUUGAUAAAAAAUUCUUGAUGUAAAAGAACUUUCCUGUCUUGGAUAUUACAUGAACUCCUAAAUGCAUGUUCUGCUAAUAAUGAACAUGAUCUCUUCUGUAUUAUGAUCUACUACUGAACAUUAAAAUAGCAAUGCCCCGUCGGGGUCAUUGAUUCAUUUUAGUCAACCUGACAAUUUUUAUGAACAUGGAUCUGUCUACACAUGUAUUUGUAUGUCUGUGUCAAGUAUAACCACAGUACGAGGCUAACUUUGAGUGUUACAUGGCACCGGUUCGAUCUUAGUGAGAGUACUACUAAAUGCAUGCAAAGGCUGGCGAUGAGAACUCAAUGAAGCACGAAAAUUAAGUGCACAAGAUUUUAAGCAAACUGCAAAGAAAGAAUUAAAAAAAUGAAGCUUUAGCAUUCAUCUGGCAAAAAUCCUUGGCAUACUAUCAUAUAUAAUAGCAGUUAGAUACCAGUUGAUUGAAAUGCUAACAAAAAAGUGUACUCAAAACAUAUAGUUUUACAGGAUCUAAUUGUUACUCCUGUGAUUUAAAGAAGACAAUAGAGAAAAGGCUCAGUUGAUUUUCAAACAAAGAAAACCCGGAAGAACAAUUUAUUGGGAAAAUAGUUAUAAACACGAAUUGCUUGUUACUUAUGGUUCCCGAAAUCUUGUCUAAUUAGCCACUGCAUCCACAUUGGCUAGAAUGCUAAGUAAGGCAUAAAGACUGAAAGAAAAAGAGAAAAAAAAAGAAGCAGUACAAUAAGUAAAUCUGUCGUGCUUGCUGGUACCAAAAUUAAGUACAUAUGUAAAUUUUAAGUAGUUCUUGGUUGUAAAUGUGAAGGCUUUAUCUAAGAAAUGUUGUCUCCAACGUUCCGACCUUUCUCAUGUUUGUCACUUCGCGAAGCACAGCAUAUGCUAAGGAAUAAGGGCUGAGACAUGUCUACUUUUUUAAAGAAAUAGAGGGCUUAAACAUUGGCUGUUCUCUUCUCUUCUCUUCUCCUCUUUAUUGCGCUCAGUCACUCACUAUUUUCCCUCCACAAAGAAAAAAUUGCUAGCCAUCUAAAGUUUAGUGGAAAAGAACAGCUAUGAACUCAUAUCUCAAAAUUCUAGAAAAUUAAAAUGUUUAAGAAUUUGUAGAUCCUAUCUAAAUGAACAUCUUGAAGUACAGAUUAUCUUCUGCUGAGUACAUUAAUAAGUUCAAAGGAACUUUCUAUAGGUUUUUAUACAUUGGACUAUUGGAGAAAAGAACAAAGGGGCUAAAUUAUUAAUUAAGUUAUUUUUCAACUAUUUAAAUUGGUAUACCAAAAACAAAAAAAAAAUUUAUUCUUCAUCGACUAUAAGAUAAAAGCAAAUGUGUCAAUAAACCACUCUUUAAUUUUCUUUUUUAAUUUUUAGUAUCUUUUCCUAUAUAAAGUUAGACGUAUGCCACUAGACUAAUAUAUCCAAAAGGUGGCAACAUGGCUGGUAUGAUGUGGUCUUACAAAAAUAAAAGUAAAAAAAUAAUAAAAAAAAUAAUAAAAAAAUAAUAAUAGUAUAAAUUGGACUACCUAUGAGCUUCCCAUCCCAAAGGACUAAUAGCUUGUGAUACAACUUCCACCUGCUUUCUCCAGCUUUUUGUUUCUAUUUCUGAUCAAGAUUGCUACACGUGAGACUCUCCUCUUGCCCAGGUAAAUUUUUUGACAGGUUGUCGAAGCCUGUGCAAUAAUAAAACCUGCUCAAACUAAAAGUAAUUUCAGUAGAUAGUGGUGAGCAGGGUCAAAUUCACAGGGAUUGGGAGUAAUUAUUUCUUUUCAAAUUCACAGUGACAAGGGGGUGUUUUUAUGCAGAAGGUGACAAUAAAAGAAGUUCAAAUAAAAUCUAAGAAACUACUAAAAAUUAAACAACAAAUUACUAAAAUCAAAUGAAUGAUAAUUAAGGAUCUAGCCAAGGAAUAACUUCAGCAAUGGUUCACCUAGUUGAUCAUUGAAGCAAAGGCAAUUCCAAUUAUUCAUCAAUAAAUAGGUUAUAACUACCAAACAAGCGAUGGCAGUCAACCCCUCCUUACUGUGUCGGUGAUCAAGGUACGCCCGUUAAUCACUGCUCUAAUUGAGAAAUAAUCCUAGGUACGCCCGUAGAAUUUAAUUCCCCAAUUGCCUUACAUAUUAGAGGAGCCCUAUUCUAACCAAAUAACGCACUACCAGGGUUAUUUUAGAUUAGCCCGCGUAUUCCCCUGACACAAAUCUAAUCAUGCCAGUUGUCACUAUUUUGAGGUAAUUAAACAAUUACGGAUUUAACACCUUAAUUGACAAUAGAUUAUCCAAUCAACUAAUUAUCUGGAUCCAAAAUAAUUAAUUAAUUAAAUAAUCAUAAACAUAGCAAUUAAGAAAUAUGCGAAUACCAAUAAAUAAAAGAAAAAGAUAAAAUUAAAUCGAUCUCACAAUUUUAGGCGAUCCAAAGCAUCCAUUGUCCCUUGACUAGGGAAAGAAAAUUUAGUUCAUGUUUGAUGAACAAAACCCGUAGGAAAGUGAAGAAACGAUCCCAACCAUUAUUCUUGUUCACGAGACUUCACCUUGAUCGACUGAAUAAAGAAAAGCUUGGAAAACAAUGAUUGAUUCAAUUCUUCAAAGAGUCCCUGUCACGCGUGGACUGAAGCUUCCUAAGAGACAAAAGAAAGGUCAAAGCUCUCUAAGAAAGCUCCUCACCUACGUGAACUGGAGCUAAAGCUAAACACUAGUCUAACUACUAUGCUACAGGACGAAAAGAGAAAAAGGUAAUGCCCUCUCUCUGCAAUUACAAUUUGCCUGUUCUAAUCCUUCGCUCUCCUGUGCGGCGGCUCCCCUUCCGGAGAGGAAGAAGAAGACCCCCGCUUCAGCACUUCGUUCCUCCUUUUAAUGUUGCCCUCUGCGAAUUACCAAAAAGAACUUGUAUCUCCUUGUUCCAAAAAUGUCCUGGAUGCCUGCUACUUGAACUCUUUCCUGAUAACUGUCAAAUCGGCACUUAUUAUGAUAUUUUCGUUCUACUCCCUGAAAUAUGUGUAAAAUACUAAAAGUGAGUAGAAUCUAAUAAUUAAUUCACAUUGAGUUAAGUAAUAGGGAAAUUAAUAGUAAAAUAAAUGAUAAAAUUGCAACAUAUCAUUUUUCAAGUAUUUCCCUUGAUAAGUGACUAAUUUACGUAAUAAUUGUAUGAUAUCACUUUGGUUACAUUAUUGGAAGAAAAUGAUUCAUUUUGGCUAUAAUUGGUGUAAAAUGCUUUUGUUCAAUUAAAUGAGGUUUUUAUCACUUUUUACUUGGAUUUUGUGUAUUUUGAUAGUUUUGACACAUUUUCAUAUUUCGGCUAUAACUUGAACUCCAAUGAUCGGAGUGCUCGUGUUUUUUACUCUCAAGUCAAGAUUAAUUGUAAUUUUCCUCUUCAAAAGUCUAUGGCUGCUAAUUAAGCCGUGUUAUAAAUAUAUCCUGAUAUUAAUUCUCCAUUUUUCAUUACGCAGAUUGAACAUUUAAUUUGCCAUUUUACCAGCCAUGACUUUAUGAUAUUCUUACAAUCUUAAACUUAGUACUGGAUUUUCAAAUCUGGAAAAGUUGGAACUUUUGUGUUAUGACACGUUAGAACUAACUUUGUUACAGCAUUUAUUCAUGCUAAUUUUGAUAAAUAAGGAAUUCAAAUUAUUCUGCGAUAUUUGAUGAAAGUUCAUAUUAUGUUAAUUCAAGAAAUAGACCAAGACAUCUUCCUUUAGCUCCCUAAAAAUCAUUUAGAGUGUUAUGUAUGAUUUGAUAGGAUCCAUUUAAUUUUAUUUUCUCCAAAAAUAUUUUUUUUAGCAAAUGUACUUCAAGUCAUACCUUUCUCUUGGCUAAUAUCCUUAAACAUGGGUCUUUAAGCUACAUUUUUUUACACUUUUUUUAACCCUUUUUCUUUCUCAAUUUUACUGUAUUGUUUAAAAGAAUUAUGAUUAAAAAAAUUCAAGGACAGCUGAAAAGAAUAAGCGCCCCAGCACAACGCGCGGUUACCCCUAGAUUUAAACACAUGAACAACCUAGGAUUGACAUUAAAACCAUUAAAAGAUAGUUUUUUCUUUUAACUGAAAUAGCAUUAUUGUUCAUUUGCACCACCAUUAAUAGCAAAAAAGAAAAACUUAUGAAACUCACUGAAACGGAAAAUUAAGUCAUAAAAGCACAUAAAGGAGAACAAUUAAUUAAUGAUAACACCGAAAAAUUAACUAAUUCAGGUGACAUGAAAGAGAACGUUCGAAAUCCAUCAAAUAGACAGAGACUUUUUACCCACUUUAUACACUUCAUCCAUAAAAUGACAAACAAUCUAAUGUUAACUUCUCUACAACAAUUUCUACUCUCUUGGACACGAAAAAGAAGAAGGACAGUAAAAAAAAGUGAUUGCAGGUACCAAUCUUAUGCAUACUUUUCUUUUCUUUUCUUUUUUUUUUUUUGGGGUCUGGAGGGUAAGGGGUAUCUUGGAAUCACCGAUUCUGAUCCCCCAGGCUGAACAGAGUUCACCCCAUAGAUGACUAACAACAGUAGCACGUGGGGGUCGAAUCUGAGAUCUUGUUAUAACUAUAAACGACUAGUUACAACUGAGCUACCCAUGAGGGGCUUAUGCAUACUUUUCUAAAAUUGAUAUUUUGGUGAACCAUUCUAUAUAUCCUCUGAUAUUCAUCUAUUUUAGAUAUUAUAUUUAUACUCAGGGCCUUUACUUUGAAUCUUUUUUAAUUUUUUUUACUAAUCAAACAGUUGCAGUUUUUUCCCAUUCAUCUAUUUUCGGCUCCUAUGGAAACAUCACAGAAUCAGUUGAUAAGCUCAUUAAGGCCUGAUGAGAAAAUGUGGAUGCGUAGAGUCUUGCUAUUACUGAAAUUUGGCAUCGAGGCGUAUAUCGGUAAACAAAAAUCUGGAAAUCUUCAGAAGUUAAUUUUCCUAGACAGGCAGGUAAAAAAUCAUAAACUUUCACAUUUACUAUUGAAUCUAUAUUUUGCACAUUAUUUCAAGAAAAAUUCAAAAGGCAUAUAAAAAUUCAAGCUAUUAUGUUUGAUGACAUCAAGGAAAACUGUUCCUGUUCCUUAUAGGAAUCAACAUAAAAUGAGGACUUUCCUCCAUCUCUCUGUCUCAACCAUUUGGUCGUCACCUUCCUUUCCUCCUCUUCUAGCUAUCCUUAAUUUCCCCUCAAAUCCCAAAUUAAUUAUCUUCUCUAGGUUAUUAUGUCCUUCAUAACCAGAGCUACAAUCUUUGAAUGGCUAACUUGUAUCUCCCCAUUUUUAUUUUUUACUUUUUUCUGUCUUCUGAAAAUAAUAUUCAAUUAUCUAGACAUGUACUGCACAUAGAAGAUUAAGCAACUACGGUGAUGAUUAAAGGGAUAAUUGAUUAUGCUUGCUGGUGGUGGAUGGCUUGAGAUUUAGAUUUUUGUAAAGCUAAAUCAUGAACAUGAGUAAAAUGGUUGCUAAAGCUCACUGGUCAUCUGUCAGUAUAGUUUAUCAUCAAUGAGUUCGGUUGGCUUUCUUGUAAGUUGAUUCAAUUGCUUAUUGGAUAUGAAUAUUUUUCAUGUAAAAAGUGACUUUGAAUUUAUUAGUCUACUCAGCAGGAGAUAAUCUGUAAUUCAAGAUUUCAUUCGAUAGGAUACAAAUUCUUAAACAUUUUAUUUUUCCAGAAUUUUGAGAUAUGAGUUACAGCCACGGAUUUAAGGGGGGGCUGGUGGAGGCUUAAGCCCCCCCCAAGCCGCCGGAAAACCCCCUAUAUAUAGGGGAUUCCGGCGGCCAGCCCAGCCCCCCCACGGUGAUCCAGAUCUACCAUCCUCCAUGGCUCCAUGAAUGCUGCAGAGGAAGUGAAGAAGAGCUGGAAAGCCGCUGCCGUGCUGACUGCUGAGGAAGAAGAUGACCCAUUUCAUUUUGAAUUUUUUUUUUUUGCCCUCUAAAUACAAAACGACGUCGUUUCACUUUUAGUGGAACGACGUCGUUUUGUAUAAUGAGGGGAAAAAAAAAAUACAUCAGAUGAAGCCCUAACUCCUAAGGCUUCAUCUGAUGCAAAAGCACGCCGCCAGUGCCAAAGGGCAAACAAGACUCCAACUCCAAGAAGAAGACGCCAGGCUCCAAGAACUCCAAGAAGCUUCAGUUGAGAUUCUACCAUCCUGCUUCAAGCCUUCAAUUCAAGGCUCCAAGACUCCAACUCUCCACCAUUCCAUUCACAUAAAUCUUUUAGGUUAGUUUUUUGGUUUAAAUUACAAUAUUCAUCUUUAUAUUUUUGUUAAUUAUAUGUUUAAAUUAUUUUUGAAUUUUGAGUAUCUUGAUAUUAAUUUGAUUAAGAUUAAUUUUUAUUUAGUUUAUGUUAAUGUAAUUUAAGAAUUUGAAAGAUUACAUUAAAAAAUUUAAUGAUAUUAAAUUUAAAUUAGAAAUUAGUUUAGAAAUUGUAUAGAUUUUAGGUUGUAUUUAGUUUUUAAAAUUUUGUUAGUUUUAUAUUUGAAAUUUUAAGAAUUAAUUAUGUGAAUUAGAAAUUUUGAAUGUAAAUAUAAAUUCAAAAUUUUAUGAGAUUGAAUUAGAGAUUAUAUGGGUAUUUAGUUGUACCUUAUUUUAACUUUUUGAUAAUUUUAUAUAAUGAAUUUUAUAAAUUGAGAAAUAUAAGUAAUAUGAAUUUAUUAUUAAAUUAAAGAAUUAUUUAUAUGAAUUUUAAAUUAAUUGAUUAUUGAAUUGCAUAAUUUUAUUGAAUUUAACCACAAUUAUUUAAUUGUGACAGAAAAUGGAGAGAUUCUUUAAACCUAAACGAGUCCGUAGUGGUGAAUCUUCAAAUGAGCCUAAUAUUAGUGAACCAGUUCAAAAUCAAUCUUGUGUGGAAUUGAAUUUAAAUGAUAUUGUUAGUGAUCCGGGAUUACGAAAAUCAGUUGAGAAAUUUGAUAUUUCUCUUCGAGACCAUGUCCGAAGAGAGUAUUUGACUAGGGGACCUUGCCAACCGAUUGGCCAUAUGUAUCCAAAAACAUCAUUUGGUAAACAACAUAGAAGUUUCCAAGAUAGUUGGUAUCAAAAGUUUGUAUGGUUAGAGUAUAGCAUAUCGAAAGAUGCGGCGUUUUGCUUUUGGUGCUUUCUUUUCAAAACACAAAAUAAGGGAGGUCGAUAUGCAGAGGAUGCCUUUACAAAAACGGGAUUCAAUAAUUGGAAAAAGGCAAUGGAAAGAUUUAAUGAACAUAUUGGAGCUGUGAAUAGUUGCCAUAAUGAUGCUAGAAUACAGUUUGAAAGUUUUCAAGAUCAAAGGCAUAGUGUGUCAAAUGUGCUACGAUCUUGUGGGCGCGAAAUAGAUAUUGCAUAUCGCACCCGUUUAACUGCUGCUCUGGAUGUGACCCGCUUUCUUUUGAAGCAAGGAUUGGCUUUUCGUGGAAAUGAUGAGUCAACUAGUUCUUCAAAUAGAGGCAAUUUUCUUGAAUUGUUUGAGUGGUAUAGCCAACGAAAUACUGAGAUUUUUGAGGUUGUAAAUCAAAAUGCUCCUGCAAAUAAUCAACUAACUUCUCCAAUGAUUCAAAAAGAUCUGGCACAUGCUUGUGCCUCAGAGAUCACAAGUGUUAUAAUCAAUGAUAUUGGAGACAAUUAUUUUUCCCUAAUAGUUGAUGAGUCUCGAGACAGUUCAGUGAAAGAGCAAAUGGGAGUUGUUUUGAGAUAUGUGAACAAAGAAGGGCGUGUGAUUAAACGUUUCCUUGCAAUUGUACAUGUGUCUGACACCACAUCUCUUUGUUUGAAAGAUGCAAUUGUACAUGUGUCACAAAAAAAAUUUUUUAAUACACUUCAACCCCCCCAAAAAUAAAUUUCUGGCUCCGUCCCUGCAAAUAGACAUUGCAUAUAUGUACAUAUAGAAACAUAGAUUCAAUAUACGUAUAUAAAUUAUACUCCCUCCAUUCCAAUGUGAUAAAUAACAAAAAGUGGUGCUCAAAUCAAUGUUUCGUUUGGUUUAUUUCAUUUCCAACAAACUUUUUUCCACUCGUAAUAAAUUUCAAUCAUAUCUUUGCUAUCCAUAUAUAGUAACUAUGCCCAGUGAUGUUAUAAUUGUUAGAUUCAUAAGUUUAUUAACUUUUUCAGAAAUUGAAUAUUCGAUUACGAGAAAAGAAGAUGUUGCAUUUUUUUUGUAAUAGAGCACUUAGUUUUGUUUAGCUCUAGCUGUAUAACAACACCAAAAAAUCUAAUUACUAUCUCAAACAAUACUGGCUAAUUUUUACAAAACUUAUCGAAUUAUAAUCCACUAAGGUAUAAAAUUUACUGAAUCAGAAAUGAUUCUCGCUAACUGCAUUCUUGGAUGUUCCACGACCUUUCCGGGAGCCAUGAUUCAGAAUAGACCUUAUUGGUAAAUGAGUCGGUUAUCGGACUCUGUCAAGUGCCAUUUACCAAGUCUUAAAGGUUAGUGUAUUAGACAAAAAUAUAUUUGUUGAGAAAUCAGCAAAUUGAUGCCUUAGAAAUCUGAAUUUCAGGUAUGCAAGAGAUUUAACAUUGUGGACAUUGGGAACUUGCUGGCAAUGUAAAGGCCUACUCGAAAUGCAAAUGUUGGUGGCUUUCCCAUGCUUCUAACUCUAAGUAGCUACCGUUGGGAAACUUGUACCUGAUGCUGAACCCUCACAGCCAAAUUUGUUUGUUCAUGGAUUUGACACUAUUUUUUUUUAUAAUUUGUUUUCCUAACGGGGGAGGGAUGGGAUUAAGAAGCGGCGAGGGAGUUAAGGGAUUAGAACUUAGAAUUUCUACUUUUUGGGAUCUCAAUCUUGGAUUUGACACUAUUUACUUGUCCUAAACAAUAAGCAAAAUUACGGUGCCUUAGAAACAUGAAUCUAAAUAUAUAGCACCGUGUCAAUAUAUGAAUUUUGGGAUAAUUUCAGAAACCUCCUCUUAUAAUAUCACUUAGCUCCCCUGAAGUUUUUAAAAUUUCACUUACCUCCUUUGUCAAGUUGACAAGACUAAAUAUUCCUAUGAAAGGUCACAAAUUGACAAUAUUACCAUUGCUCUUAAUAACCAUUUAACCAAAAAGCCAAAACAAAAUAAAAUUUUAAAAGCAAAAAAUGUAAAUUAAAAAAACACAUUGCUAGCUAAUAAUGGUCCAUAUUUCUUUGUAUUGGAGUCAUGGUGGAAUAGCAAAGGACAUGAAUAAAUUAAAUCUAAUCAAGAUUUCGUGCACAGUUACAAUUAAGGAAGUCAAGAUAUUUUUUGAGGAAAUAUGUUUUAAUUCAUGGUGUAGUUUAAGUUGUAUUAGAAACUAAAAUAAUCUCUUCAUAUGUGUGAAUUUUUCAAGGUGUAAAUUUUGCUUUUGUUUCAAUACAACUAAAAUAAAUAGUUUACGUUAAAAAAUUUAACCUUAUUUUAUUUUUUAUUGCUUUAUAAAUUUCAUAAGUAGGAUAAUAUAAGGGUAGUAUUGGAACAAAAGUUUUAUCUUUUUUGCAUUUCCUCCAAAGGGGUUACAAUGUUACAAGAAAUGUCAAUCCAAGAAAGGUAAGUGAGAUUUUAAAAAUCUCAGGGGAGCUGAAUGAUAUUAUAAGAAACCUUAGGGGAGGUUUCUGAAAUUAUCCCAGGAAUUUUUCAACUCAUUAUAUUAAUUUGCUGCGAAUUUCCGCGUCUCUGAUUUCUUGUGAACAUGCAUACUAAAUGCAUGCUAUCUGAUUUCUUCCAAAUGGUUUUCUAUUUUUUUUUCCCCAUCUCGGUUUGAUUUGCAUUCCAUCGGAGAUGCAUCCCAUCUGCUUCUAAACAACCAUUAUUCAUUAAUUUGACCUUAAUGAAUCAAAUACCUUCUAUUUAAAAAAUAAACGCGUAAUAGAAAUCAGAAGAUCAUAAACUAAUCUAAUGAUAAUUGCAUAAUUCUUGGAGCCAUGUAACGCUAUGCAUAAAUUUUUUUUUUUUUUUGUUUUGGUGGCACAAAAGUAGUGUAAUACUAUUAUUGAGUUCAGUCAGUUGCCUUGCUAGUUUUUAACCAUAGUCACGGCAGGACUCGCGAUCUAACUUGAUUCAACUCUUUCCUUUAUGUUCUUGGGAUGACUCUUCCAUCAGGGUCCUAAAUAGUUUUUUUUUUUUUGUAAUGAAAGGAAAUUGGGUCCUAGAUAGCUUUAUUAUUUGUUAACUUACAUCAGGCUUCUUAAGAUGCAUUUUCUAAUUAAGUGAGACUGAAAAAUGUUCUAACAAGUGGACUAAUAAAUCAUUUUGUGACGACAUGGAAUUAGAAGAUCAUCUUGUCCUUUUUCCGGUGGACCGACAAAAUGCUAGCUUCAAAUUAGGACUAGGUUUUUCUUGAAAAGGACUAGGUUUGGGAUUGGGGCCAAAGAUAUUACUUAACCAAGUAAACAUUCCCCUACCUAGAAUAUAUGUCGCUUUAAAAGACCAAGACAAACAUGCAAGACGUUCUUUCAUAAUAUGCUGGCCCGACGAAGUUCGUCAAAGUUCCUCUGUCUUAACCCUUAAUAUUUACGAAUUAUCCCACACGAGGGUAGGCAAUUAAAUGGUGGACAGAUAUUACAAGCUAAGUUAUGCCUUAAACAUGUAAACUACCAAUCAGUCACAAAUGUUACCCAAAAAAAAAAGGGAAAAACAAAAGGUUUGCAUGGAAAAGCAAAAAAGCAAAGACAUACAAUUGUUUAUUAUCCUAUCAAUCUUUUUUAACAUUCCAUAUUACUUUAUAAACUUUUAAUGAUCAAAGACCAUAAGGCAAGAUAAGCCAAGAGCAAAUGCAAAUGAUUGCACUGAGUACUCGACUUUAGUCACCAUGAGAGUUUUUACAAAAACCCAAGCCUUUACUUUGAGAGUCUUGAAGCAUUCCAACUUUAGCACAGCAUAAGACAAAAUCAAACACAAAAGAUUCCUCUAUUUAACUGUUUUUAACUUUAAGAUUCUUGAAGUAUUGUACUUGAGUCAGAAGCUUAAGAUAAGGAUAAAAAAAAAACAUGAACACUACAACGUCGAAAUUGCGAGCGAGUAUAUAUAUAUAUAGGGCAGUUGUGAUUGCUAGCUAGAGGAAAUAUAGGAGCUCAAAACCACGCAUUGGUAACAGGUUAGAGUUUUCUUCUUCUCCUCUAGGCAUAUAAUCAUAUUCUUCCCUUUUUAUUCGAUGCAACAUCUUAAAUGCAUAUAUAGCUGUACAAAUAUAUUUUAGCCUGCUCCAAAUUCGUAGAGAAAUAAGGAUCACGGUAAUGGGUGAAAUUUGCAAUCAAUCUAGUUGACGAGGAAGAAGAAAGUAGCUAGUCGAUUUGGUUUCCAUAUAUAAGUCACCUCUAAUUAACUAAAAUCGUGUUGAUUUUGUUUAGUUCUGCACGUGUAUAGCCAAUGUUGAUUAAUUAGUCACUUGUCAAAAGUACUAACUAAUCUCAUCACCGAUCAUAUACGUGUAAGUUGGAUCACCAACGACCAACUAAAUUGCUUGUUAAACUUAAUUAUUAAUCUAAAACAACGGUACUGAUGAUUUUUUCCUUAAUUUCAGCAAGAGAUCGAUUGUAUUACUCAACACAAACAAAGAUCAUGUCCACCGACGCCACAACUGCCCGAAUUUCUAAUUGUAUCCGUGAAAAGCUUUCUGGGCUAUCAGAUACUGACAUUAGGGCGGCAUCAAAUGAGCGAUGCAUAUUCAAGGUCCGUGAGAGAAUACAAAGUCAAAUCGAAGGGCCAUAUGAACCACAAAUGGUUUCAAUCGGACCUUAUCACCGCGGUAAGCCGGGGUUGCAAUUAAUGGAAAAGUAAAAGCUGAUUUACUUGAAACAGCUUCUUCAGCGUGAGGGAAAUCUACAGAUUUGCGUUGCGGCCAUGGCAAAUCUUGAAGGAGUAGCUCAGAGGUGGUACUCCGAUGAAAGGAUCAGUCAUGAUGGUGACGACGGCUUUGUGGAGAUGAUGCUUCUUGAUGGCUGCUUCAUACUCGAGCUGGUAUGGAAAAUUAAUCACCCCACACAAUCUACAGAUGGCAUUUUAUCGGGCGCACUAUUCAUAGACCUAUUAGGAAUCGAAAAUCAAGUCCCUUUCUUCAUCCUUGUUGAAUUGUUUCACAAGACCAACUCCAACUCUGGUGCCAGCAGCAAAUUUAAUGAUUUGGCUCAGCGUCUAACUGAUUUCGUAAUUCUUUUUUGUGACAGCAAAGAGAAUGAAUAUGUUGUUGAUGAUGGUCAGGUCAUUCAUCUACUUGACCUUGUCUACAAAGCCUGGACCUUUUCGUAUGCUGCAAAAUUUAUUGCUCUUGGUCCAUGGAUUCGGGAGGAUGAUCCUUUCUCACUGUAUCAUAUAACUUCUGCCAGUGAAUUACAAGAAAUUAAUGGGGUUGAGUUCGAAGAUAGUGGGAAAGGACCAUGGCUUGAGAUUAUUUGGGAAAAUGGUGUGGUAAAAAUCCCUCGUUUUAUGGUCCAUGUUGAUACAGAACGUCUGCUCAGAAACUUAAUUCUCUACGAACAGCAUUACACCCGUCAUCAUGAGGGCACGAGGGAGUAUAUAAAUGAUUAUGCAAUAUUCAUGGGAAGUCUCAUAAAUUCUUCUAGGGACGUCGAGGUACUGCGCAACAGUAGAAUUAUUACCAACAAGUUGAAUGAUGAUCAGGCUGUCUCUACCAUGUUUCGUCGGGUGUAUUCAAUGAAGUGGAAAAGUAUGCCAAAAGCCGUUGGCAUAUCUGGUGGACGAAGCUCAGGAGGACCUACUUCAACACCCCCUGGUCCCCCAUUUCAUUUGUUGCUGCAGUUGUUGCGCUUAUCCUCACUUUUCUCCAGACCUUGUAUGCCAUCCGGCCUGCGGAAAAAAAUUAGUAGUAACAAAACUACUAAACGAGUCAUAUCGGCCACAUGCUAAGUGCGUUUGUUUGGUCUGAAUAUUGUUUGUCUUUCUUUUUCAACACAACCUAAAAGACUUUCAUCACCAUCCAUAAGUUGUGCUAUCAGUCAAGUUUCUUGUUAUUUCAGUAUCUCAUGGAGAAGAAAUAAAAAUCGUGUGUGUUUGUUUUGGUUUUGAUGAUAUGUAAUGUUUUUAUUAAUAUAUCUCUGCUUUCACUGUUUCAAUGUCAUCAGUUCGCCUGGCUUGGUAUCAUCAGUUACCCAAUAUGACUUUUUCUAAAGUUAUUUUUAGUUCACAGAUUGUGCAAGUAUCUCUAUUUUGCUGCAUGCAUGGAAAUCAUUUCGAUCAGAGGCAGGAGAAAAUUGAAGAACCCUCAAAAGUUUAUGCACCAGCUCCUUAAUUUUCUAAUGUCUCUAGUUGUUCACUUCUCCAAUAAACAAAUCUUGAUACAAUAAUGCUACACCAAAACCGAAAGCUGAUAUAUACUUUUCUUUUCUUUUUUUUGGAGCAAAGGCUGAUAUCUACUUACAACUCUAAAAAAAGAAGAAUAAUGAAACUACCUAUUUUUUAGAUUUUGUGUUUUGUUUUCCAUAUAAACACAUGCAACCCUAUAACAAAAAAGUAAUCAGUUAGAUGUUUGACAAAUACACGCUUAGUGGGCUAGGUUUUCAAAUACUUUCCCGUCCCACUGAAAGUGUCAUACUUUUCAUUUUGAAAUGUCACGAAAUAUUUGUCAUGUUAAAAAAGUUAGAACACCUUUUAGUUUUUCUUUUCAAUAGAGCUCUUCUUUUUAAUCAUAUGCAUAUUAUCAUUCAAAUUUAAAUUUAAAUUGAAAAAAAAGUACAAACAUCAAAAUCAAAUCACUAUUUUUUAAAAAGUUGGAUUCCCGAAACAUGCCUAAAUAAUUGGGACGGAGGUAAUAAUUGACAUUCAGGGCAACACUGAAAGCGCAAUAUUUGCUAGGAAAAGAAAAAAUAAAUAAACGAAAGCAUUUACAUGUGCGGGAAUACUAAAAAUUAGGACAAAAUAUACCAGUUGGGAAGGUGCAAACUCCAAUUUUCUUUAGACGUAUUUGGAAGUACUCCUACAAAAUAUAUACUAGUUGGGAAGGAAAUCCGACCCGAAUUUAUUUUACCACAAAACACAGUCAACAAAAAACAACAGCCCGUUUUCAAUUUCCAGAGAGAGAGAGAGAGAUCUUAAUUAUAGCAUUUGGAACGGAAACACUUAAAAAAUGAAGAACUAGGCCCACCCCAUUUGUCUCCUUAUUGUCUCUCUGCUAGCCAUGCAACGAAGUCCAAUAUAAAAUGAAAAUUGGAUGUCAAUGACCAAUAACAUAUUAGCGAGAAAUUGAAUGAGUUCAACUGCAUUCUCAUAGUUAAAUUUCCCACUUAACUAAAAAUUACUCCUAAGAAAAUUAAGGCCUUUAUGUAGACCCCAACUUUAAAAAAAAAAAAUCUGACUAAGAGUGUUGCAGUUAUCUUCCUCACAGAUGGCCUUCGCCUAGAAAUCACCCACCCGUACAAGGUUUUUUUUUUGCCUCCUCCACGAAAUUAGAUCAACAAAAGGGGUUGUCCCCUUCUUCCUUAAUCUAUAAACAGGAGAAUAAGAUCGAAGCCAUACUAACAAUGUUUUUCAUUCCUUCCCCCAAAAAAGAAAAGUUUUCAGCAGUUUUUUCUCUUAAAAAUUCUUUAAACUAAAAUCAUGUUGCAUCAUAUUUUUCAUACCUCAAAUGGAUUGUGGAUUCAUUCCAAUUUAAACCCAUCAAUUUGUUUUGUAAUUUUCACUUUUCAGCAGCAGCUUUUGUUUUACAUAUUUAGAGUCAGAAAAGGAUGCCAACUUGAGACAACAGCUACCUGCGUUAGUCUAACGAAAAUGACCAUAUAGAAAUCCAUGCAAAAUAACUAUAUACGCUGCAUAAAACACCAACGAGAAACUUAAACUGUCUCAAAAUGCAAUGGAGAUAGUUGAUAAUCAAAACUCCAUUUAAGCACGAAGAAACCUAGUGAACCGGAAUUAUGAGCAAGCACUUCCAAACUACUUUGAUGCUUGUUGAUUGGUUAGGUUUGCUAAAUGUUCAAGAAGUUAAAUGAACACAAAAAGCUAUGACAUGCCACUAUUAAGAAUGCAAAGCAUAUUUAAGAAUUAACUGAAGCCUUUUCAAAAUUCAUCUAUAUGGGCAGAAAAUCUUUCCAUGUACUCAUACUCAACCAUAAACUCCACGAGACCACAAGGCAGAAUGUUGGUAUCAAGAUAUACCUCACCUACUGAAUGAAGGCUUCUUGAUGCGAUAAGUUACCAUGUGAAAUUAAUUAUUUGUUCACCAGAACUCUGUAAAGUAAUUAAAGUUAACAUUCCAACGCAAAACACGAAAAGUGUUACAUAUAUUCCUAGCGUUGUCUUCCACUGGGCUAUUGGUACAUUCUUUGCUGUGAAAUCAUGAAAAGUGUUUGUAGAGUACAGCACAAACCAAAAUCAAACACACAAUUCCGCUAAUAAUUACUCCCUCCAUUCUAUUCUAUUAAGAUGUGCCAUACUAUAGUCACUUGAUUUCAAAAAAUUAAUUGAAAACUUGGUAGGCCCACUAAAGAAGUUUCUCUCAAAAACAGAGUAAUAUUGGUGCGCAUAAGAUUUCUCUCAAUUUAUAGAAAAACAUUGAGGCCUACUCCUUACUGUCCCUUAGAAGAGUUUGAGUUUAAUGGCUCUCUCUUUUAAAAUGGCCCCACAAAAUAAACAGACUUGACAUGACCUUACAAACUUGCUACCAGGUAUCCGAUUAAAUAAGGAUAAAACUGGAACUCAAACUCGUAAAUUUCAACAACAUUACUAUGCAUAAAGAAUUAGAGUCUCGAAAAGUGCGGAGGGAGUAUUUAACUUUAUUUACCAUGAGUGUCUUUACAAUCUAUUAUAUACUAAAUUCAAAUGCUCAAGAAAAGAAUAAAAUAACAGAAUUGGAAAUCUUGAAGAGUAGGACGUUGCCAAGAAACUUGACUUAAACAAUAUUCUCAAGGAACUGCGAGUCUAUAUACAAGGCAUGCAUGGGCAGUUUUGAUUGCUAGAGUGCAUAGAAAAGUUGAAAGCCUUGGUGCAAGGGCUAACAUGUGCUGACAUUCUUCAGUGUUACUAACAGGUUAGUGUGUGUGUGUGUGUUUAUGUGUGUGUUUAUGUGCAUAACAUGUGCUGACAUCCUGUAAGCAGGUGCUUUUUUUUCGUCUAAACCUAAAUCUUAGUUGCAUGCUGAGAGAUAUAUCUGUUUAAAUAGAUUUUGUUAGCUUAACGGUUUAUCUUCUAUGUUUACGCCAAAAAGUAAAGCUUUCUGUAUAGCCAAUCGAGCCGAGAACUGGCAGAGAUUCUAUGCCAACGGAAAUUUUCAAUUUUCCAUAUAGAAUUUUUUUUUAAACCACCAAGCUUCAGUUCUAUGGCAACCAAAAAGGAAUUAAAUCUAUAAAUUCAAGGUUCCGAGCCCACUUGCGCUGAAAAAAUUCAAAGGAGGUACUAAAACACUCUUUUAAUUUAGUCAGAUCUAUAUAUCUAUUAACCCCUUAUACAGUUUUUUUAGGCCCGCCCUUCUUAUAAAAUAGAAUAGUCUUAUACACUUGUUAGUCUCUUAUACAACAUUUUUAAACCCUCUCUCCUUAUAAAAUAAGAUAGAUUAGAUUAUAGGAAUGUUAUCGUGGCUAGCAAAAAGAAUUUUUUUUUUUAGAAAUUUUAAUUUUAUACCAUCAAUUUUGGUCGGGAUAUAUAAUUUUUUUGAAUUAAUCAAGUACAAAAAGGUUUGAGACUUUGCCUUGUUAAAGCCAACUCAUGAAGUAGGUAUGUUCUUACAUCUUUUUCUCCAACUUCGGUGAGCUGCAUCUUCAUGACUCCUAGCAACAAAACUAGCAGUGUAUGUUUGGGCUUCCCACAUGGGAGUCCUUUCUGAAAACAAAAAGUUGCUCAUCAUUCAUGUUUCCUCCAUCUUUUGAUAACGAAGUCUGGAAACACAUAACGGUAAUUAGUUAACCACUGACAAUUUCUGAGUUUCAUAAACUUUUCUCCUCGGUCUUUAGUUUGCAUACAAGAUAGAAAAUCCAAUAUUAGGAACAGUUUUCCAGCUAAUCUAUACAUUCCGGGUAACUGGAAUUUGACAAAUUUUUUUCCACAUUUUUAAGGUACGGACUAUACAGCCUCAAAUUAAGUUUCUAGGCAUGAAUAGAUUCCAUGCAGGGGCGGAGGGAAGGGGGGGCAACCGCCCCCCCUCCAAUUGUUAAAAAACAAAAUUUCUAAGUAAAAAAUUUUUUAUUAUAUUGUUUUGCCCCCCCAAAUAUUGAUAAAAAAUUUCACUUUGCCCCCCCUCCAAUUGUUAUAAAAAAAUUUUUUAUUAUAUUGUUUUACCCCCCAAAAUAUUGAUAAAAAAUUUCACUUUGCCCCCCUCUCAAGGACCCAAACAAUAAUGUUUGAAAGUUAUUUGGACUUGGUCCAAAUAAUAGAGACUCGCCCCCCUAAUUGCAAUUCCUAGCUCCGCCACUGAUUCCAUGUAUAUGUACCAUCUUGUCGAAGUGUUGUUCAUCUGACUUCUAUGCUUCAUACCUUUCAUCUAUAUCAUGCAAAUUAACUUUGGUGUAUGAAUAAGAUUUUCCUUUUCUUUAUCUAGGAGUGCUUCUACAUUCAUGUAGCACUUGGACCUUAAGAUUCGUUCUAAUAGGAAUGAACCUAAAUGCUUAAAUUUGCUGAUCCUUCUUGAUGUUUUCUCCUGCAGCAAUUUUUCCUCUUGUUUAUACGUACUCAACAAAGAUGUUCGGAGAAAUAUCUGACGAAAUCUCCAUUCGCAUUGAUCAAAAGCGUUCUGGCCUAUCGGAUACAUCGAGGAGGCAAUUGAUUUUCAAAGUCCAUAGUAAACUACGAAGUGAAAAUGAAGAAGCAUAUGAACCACAAGUCGUCUCCAUCGGACCUUAUCAUCGUGAUAAGCCUAAACUGAUAAAGAUGGAGCAGUAUAAGCUAAUGUACUUGAACGUGCUUCUUCAUAGAAGAGGAGAGUCAAGUGCUAAGAAAUACGUCGAAGCUAUGGUUGAACUUCAACAGCAAGCUAAAAGUUCUUACGCGGAAGAAAUCAAUCUUGAAGCUGUUGAUUUUGUUGAAAUGCUAUGCCUUGAUGGUUGCUUUGUCAUCGAGUUCUUGAGGAAACUUUCUCAGCCUGAAUUAUACAACGAGAGUGAUCCCAUUUUUCAGAUGUCUUGGCUAAUAUCAGCCACUAAGAAAGACCUAAUAUUAUUUGAGAAUCAGUUGCCCUUUAUCGUCCUGCAGAAACUGUUCGAUAUGACCAAGUCGCAGGACGAAGAAAAGAAACUUAAUGACCUAGCUAUUCUCGGUCUGUCUUCGCUCAUGCCUGUUUCUUAUCCAGGUCAAAGUUCUCGUUCUACAAUCCCUGCAGGUCAUGAGGUUGUUCAUCUUCUUGACCUCAUGCACAAAAAUUUGACUGCCUCAUUUUCCAACACACUUGCGUAUCCCAAACAUGAAGAGACUAAAACCACAUGGCAGAACUUUUAUCGUUUCAAAAAAAAAAAACCCUCAUUGCAGAAACCAGUUAUUGAGCUACUACAUAGUGGAACGCAGUUCAAGAGGGCAAAGAAGAGUGAAUCCGUGCUCCGUAUCACAUUCGAAAAUGGUGUAGUUAAAAUCCCUCCUUUAUUUGUGGAUGAUCAUACAGAAUCCAUCUUCAGAAACUUCAUUGCAUACGAACAGUAUAUGUCUAAGCCAUUUGAGACAUGGAGGUAUGUAACUGAUUACAUAAGCUUCAUGGAUCUUCUCAUAGAUUCCCCAUCCGACGUUGAAAAGCUUCGCAACCGUGGUAUCAUCAGGCAUGGGUUAGGCAAUGAUAAAGCAGUCUCUGCAAUGUUUAACAAGUUAAGCAGUGAUGUUUCUAUUGAAAGUCCUUUCUGUUACGACAAAAUUUUGGAGAAAAUGAGGGAGUACUGCAGCAAACGCCCCCGUACUUGGUGGGCAAACCUCAUGCGGAAUUAUUUUCAUACCCCGUGGUCAAUCAUUUCAUGUCUGGCUGCAUGCAUUUUGCUUCUUCUCGCAUUGGUGCAGGCCAUAUUUUCCAUCCUACACUAGACUUUGACUUAAUGAAAUUAAAGUGAGUUAGUUGUGUCUGUUUUGUAAUUUGUUAGUCAUUGUACUUAAAUACCAACAACAUCAUUUUAUUUGUGUUCCGAUUGAUAAAAAAUUCUUGAUGUAAAAGAACUUUCCUGUCUUGGAUAUUACAUGAACUCCUAAAUGCAUGUUCUGCUAAUAAUGAACAUGAUCUCUUCUGUAUUAUGUUCUACAACUGAACAUUAAAAUAGCAAUGCCCCGUCUGGCUCAUUGAUUCAUUUUAGUCAACCUGACAAUUUUUAUGAACAUGGAUCUGUCUACACAUGUAUCUAUAUUUCUGUGUCAAGUAUAACCACAGUACGAGGCUAACUUUGAGUGUUACAUGGCACCGGUCCGAUCUGAGUGAGAGUACUACUAAAUGCAUGCAAAGGCUGACGAUGAGAACUCAAUGAAGCACGAAAAUUAAGUACACAAGAUUUUAAGCAAACUGCAAAGAAAGAAUUAAAAAAAUGAAGCUUUAGCAUUCAUCUGGCAAAAAAUCCUUGGCAGACUAUCAUAUAUAAUAGCAGUUAGAUACCAGUUGAUUGAAAUGCUAACUAAAUAAGUGUACUGAAAACAUAUAGUUUUACAGGAUCUAAUCGUUACUCCUGUGAUUUAAAGAAGACAAUAGAGAAAAGGCUCGGUUGAUUUUCAAACAAAGAAAACCCGGAAGAACACUUUUUUGGGCAAAUAGUUAUAAACAUGAAUUGCUUGUUACUUAUGGUUCCCGAAAUCUUAUCUAAUUAGCCACUGCACCCACAUUGGCUAGAAUGCUAAGUAAGGCAUAAAGACUGAAAGAAAAAAGUGUUGGAAAAAUGGCUAUAUUCAUUGUAGAGUGAAUGAGAAAAUUGUUCUCAUAAUGGCACUCUUGAAAGAAUCAAAGGAUAAUUAUCUAUUCAUGUACAUAGGAUUCAUGUAUAUUAAUUAUUGAUACAUGAUUUUAUCGUUAUCUUAUUGAGAUACGUGUAUAUACAUGAAUAUGGUACUUUGAUAAACGUGAAGAUAAUUAUCUGGAAUUUAUUCUUGUUGCCAAUUUCGAACAGUCACCCUUGGCCAUCAUCUAUAAAUAUCUCAUCUGUUUCAAAAGAAUGAGCGCUCUCUCUCUCUCUCUUUUUCCUUCUUGCAUCUCCAUAUUUUAGUGUUCCAUAUUGCUCUAGUUCGAGUUCGCUGUGGUGAAGAAAGUUCGGUGCUGACAUAUUCACCUUUAAUCCAUUGUAUCCUGGGAGACAAACGCCUACUUUAUUCACCAUAUUCACCUUUCUCAUGUUUGUCAUUUCGCGAAGCAAAGCAUAUGCUAAGGAAUGAAGGGCUGAGGCAUGUCUACUUUUUUUUUUUAAGAAAUAGAGGGCUUAAACAUUGGCUCUUCUCGUCUCUUAUCUUCUCUUCUCUUUACUUUAUUGUGCUCAGUCGCUCACUAUUUUCCCUCUACAAAGGAAAAAUUGCUAGCCAUCUAAAGUUUACUGGAAAAGAACAGCUAUGAACUCAUAUCUCAAAAUUCUAGAAAAUUAAAAUGUUUAAGAAUUUGUAGAUCCUAUCUAAAUGAACAUCUUGAAGUACAGAUUAUCUUUUGCUGAGUACAUUAAUAAGUUCAAAGUAACUUUCUAUAGAAGUAUGGAGGAAAAUAAAGUGUUUUUAUACAUUGGACUAUGGGAGAAAAGAACAAAGGGGCUAAAUUAUUAAUUAAGUUAUUUUUCAACUAUUUAAAUUCGUAUACCAAAAACAGAAAAAAAAAUUUAUUCUUCAUCGACCAUAAUUAGAUAAAAGCACCACUCUUAAAUUUUCUUGUUCUACUCUUUACUACCUUUUCCUAUGUAAAAUUAGACAUAUGCCACUAGGCUAAUAUAUCCAAAAGUUGACAGCAUGGCUGGUAUAAUGUGGUCUUACAAAAAUAAUAAUAAUAGUAUAUAGUGGACUACCUAUGAGCUUCCCAUCCCAAAGGACUAAAAGCUUGAUAUAACUUCCACCCGCUUUCUCCAGCUUUUUGUCUCUAUUUCUGAUCAAGAUUGCUACACGUGAGACUCUCCUCUUGCCCAGGUAAAUUUUUCCAGUAUUUCUCUGUUGUGAAAUAUAUUGGAAAUCUUAGUAGCGAACUAGUUGAAAAAAAACUUCUUCUUUAAAUUGAGUCAUAUUAGUUCAUAUUGUCCUAUAACUCAGUUUUAUAUCUAACUUGGUAUAUAACCAUUCCACCAUUCCAUACUACUAAAAGUUGUACUGAGUGAGAGUGUUGUGUUGAUAUAUUCUUUCUUCUGUAUGCAUCCAAGAUUCCUACUGCCAAUAAACCCCUUAGGUCUUUUUGAAGCAUUUCAUCAAUUUCUCAGAAAAUAUGUCUGAUACCCUUUGUUUAGUAGCCUUUGCUUGUCUUUUGAUUCCGUUUACUUUUCCUCUUUUAUGUUCUAGGAUAAUUGCAUAUAUGUGGCUAAACUUGUACAAUUUCUAACUAGAUCAAUUGAGUGAGAUUGGAAGACAAAUGCCUAAACAAGACAAUAGAAUAGCCAAGAUUAUGUAUCCCUCCCAGCAAUACGGGCUGGUGACAUUGAUUUGUUUUCAGCCCUUACCUAACUUUACAUGAUGACUAGCUUCAAACGACAAAAACUUUUAAAAGUCAGAAUCAGCACCCGGAAAUCAGUAUAAACCUGGUUCAAGAAGUUGCCAAUCAACUUAAUUAGACUGAUUUUGUUAAUCUUUCCGCGCAGCAUUUUAUUCUCCAAAGAGGAUGCCCGGAGAAAUGCUAAAAUUUAUUUCUACUGUCUCGAUCGAAAGCUUUCUCAGAUAUCAGAAACAUCAAAUGAGAAAUGUAUAUUCAGAGUCCAUGACAGGCUACGGAGGCACAACCCUCAGGCAUACGAACCAGAAAUUGUUGCUAUUGGACCUUAUCAUCAUGCUAAAAGUAAAUUGCCAAAAAUGGAAAAGCAUGAGCUGUGGUAUUUGCAAUAGCUUCUUCUUCAAAGAGGCGAGUCAAGUGUGGAAAGAUACAUUGUAGCCUCGUCACAGCUUGAAGAGCGCACUCGAAGGUGUUAUGCAGAAGAAACUAUUAAAUCUAUUCUUUAAAUGUAUAAUUGCUCCUUUUCCUAUCUCAUUUUAUUGUGAUGAUUUGAAGUGGAAAAGAUUCUGAUAUUGGUGUAUUUACUAUGUUUUUUGUUACGGGAGUUAAGUGUCUGUGAAUUCCUCAAUAGAUUUAAUAGUUUUUUUUUAACGAUGUUAAUGUUGAAAUUUGGAUUUUUUUUUUUUGUUUUUGCAUCUAUAUAUACAUUUAUAUAUACAUGGGAUGAUUGCAUUUAGUAAACCUAACAAGUUGGUACAGCUAAAAAGUGCCUAGAUAUACACCAUUAUUGUUGAAGUUUAUUUUCUUAGGUCCUUCCGUUCGUACUUCAUGAGAUUAUAAUAUGUGUUUAUAAUAGCACUAUAUAAGGAAGCAAUCAUUCACCUUUUUUAUAAUCAACGGAGGAAUGAUUAAUCAUUAUUUAUAAGCUGCUUACAUACUUCUUGCUGCAUUGUUUUGUUCUGCUAGAGUGCUAGUGUUUUUUAACUCUCAAGUCAAGACUAAUAGUAGUUUUCCUCUUCAAAAGUCUAUGGCUGCUAAUUAAGUCGUGUUAUAAUUAUAUCCUGAUAUUAAUUCUCUAUUUUUCAUUACGCAGAUUGAACAUUUAAUUUGCCAUUUUACCAGCCAUGACUUUAUGAUAUUCUUACAAUCUUAAACUUAAUGCGGAUAGUACUGGAUUUUCAAAUCUGGAAAAGUUGGAACUUUUGUGUUAUGACACGUUAGAACUAACUUUGUUACAGCAUUUAUUCAUGCUAAUUUUGAUAAAUAAGGAAUUCAAAUUAUUUUGCGAUAUUUGAUGAAAGUUCAUACAUAUGUUAAUUCAAGAAAUAGACAUCUUCCUUUAGCUCCCUAAAAAUCAUUUAGAGUGUUAUGUAUGAUUUGACAGGAUCCAUUUAAUUUUAUUUUCUCCAAAAAUAUUUUUUUUGGCAAAUGUACUUCUAGUUAUACCUUUCUCUUGGCUAAUAUCCUUAAACAUGGGUCUUUAAGCUACAUUUUUUUACACUUUUUUAAACCCUUUUUCUUUCUCAAUUUUACUGUUUUGUUUAAAAGAAUUAUGAUUAAAAAAAAUUCAAGGACGGCUGAAAAGAAUAAGCACCCCAGCACAAACGCGCGUUUACCCCUAGAUUUAAACACAUGAACAACCUAAGAUUGACAUUAAAAGAUAGUUUUUUCUUUUAACUGAAAUAGCAAAAAAGAAAAACUUGUGAAACUCACUGAAACGGAAAAUUAAGUCAUAAAAGCACAUAAAGGAGAACAAUUAACUAAUGAUAACACCGAAAAAUUAACUAAUUCAAGUGACAUGAAAGAGAACGUUCGAAAUCCAUCAAAUAGACAGAGACUUUUUACCCACUUUAUACACUUCACCCAUAUAAAUGACAAACAAUCUAAUGUUAACUUCUCUACAACAAUUUCUACUCUCUUGGACACGAAAAAGAAGAAGGACAGUAAAAAAAAAGUGAUUGCAGGUACCAAUCUUAUGCAUACUUUUCUUUUCUUUUUUUGGAGUCUGGAGGGUAAGGGGUAUCUUGGAAUCACCAAUUCUGAUCCCCCAGACUGAACAGAGCUCACUCCAUAGAUGACUAACAACAGUAGCACGUGGGAGUCGAAUCUAAGAUCUUGUUGUAACUAUAAACGACUAGUUACAACUGAGCUACUCACGAGGGGCUUAUGCGUACUUUUCUAAAAUUGAUAUUUUGGUGAACCAUUCUAUAUAUCCUCUGAUAUUCAUCUAUUUUAGAUAUUAUAUUUAUACUCAGGGCCUUUACUUUGAAUCUUUUUUAAUUUUUUUUACUAAUCAAACAGUUGCAAUUUUUUCCCAUUUCAUCUAUUUUCGGCUCCUAUGGAAACAUCACAGAAUCAGUUGAUAAGCUCAUUAAAGCCUGAUGAGAAAAUGUGGAUGCGUAGAGUCUUGCUAUUACUGAAAUUUGGCAUCGAGGCGUAUAUGGGAAAACAAAAAUCUGGAAAUCUUCAGAAGUUAAUUUUCCUACACAGGCAGGUAAAAAAUCAUAAACUUUAACAUUUACUUUUGAAUCUAUAUUUUGCACAUUAUUUUCAAGAAAAAUUCAAAAGGCAUAUAAAAAUUCAAGUUAUUAUGUUUGAUGACAUCAAGGAAAACUGUUCCUAUUCCUUAUAGGAAUCAACAUAAAAUGAGGACUUUUCCUCCAUCUCUCUAUCUCAACCAUUUGGUCGUCACCUUCCUUUCCUCCUCUUCUAGCUAUCCUUAAUUUCCCCUCAAAUCCCAAAUAAAUUAUCUUCUCUAGGUUAUUAUGUCCUUCAUAACCAGAGCUACACUCUUGAAUAGUUAACUUGUAUCUCCCCAUUUUUUAUUUUUUACUUUUUUCUGUCUUCUGAAAAUAAUAUUCAAUUAUCUAGACAUGUACUGCACAUAGAAGUUUAAGCAACUACGGUGAUGAUUAAAGGGAUAAUUGAUUAUGCUUCGCUGGUGGUGGAUGGCUUGAGAUUUUGAUUUUUAUAAAGCUAAAUCAUGAACAUGAGUAAAAUGGUUGCUAAAGCUCACUGGUCAUCUAUCAGUAUAGUUUAUCAUCAAUGGAGUUCGGUUGGCUUUCUUGUAAGUUGAUUCAACUGCUUAUUGGAUAUGAAUAUUUUUCACGUAAUAAUAACUAAAGAUUGGUUUUCACUGCCUAACGUCAAGCGACCAGAUAGAUUACAUCAGGAAAAAGGAGAAAAAUGAUAUCGGGAGUCGGGCAACAAAAAGGGGUUGAUCAGUAGAAUCCAGUGGAGAAGAAAAAUAUUUUGGGUUUUUGAAUAAUUAAGGAACUAAAUUUGUUAAAUUAAUGAAACUGUCUUGAUAGGCGUUUGUGAGUGUGAAACUCCCACCGUCUGUCAUCUUGUUGUUUUUCCUUCUAUAAAAAGUGACUUUGAACUUAUUAGUAUACUCAGCAGAAGAUGAUCUGUAAUUCAAGAUGUUCAUUCGGAUAGGAUCUACAAAUUCUUAAACAUUUUAUUUUUCCAGAAUUUUGAGAUAUGAGUUCAUAGCUGUUCUUUUCCACUAAACUUUAGAUGGCUAGCAAUUUUUCCUUCAUAGAGGGAAAAUAGUGAGCGACUGAGCCCAAUAAAGAGAAGAGAAGAGAAAACAACCAAUGUUUAAACCCUCUAAUUCUUUAAAAAAGUAGACAUGUCUCAGGCCUUCAUUCCUUAGCAUAUGAACUGACAAAGUUGAGAAAGGUCGGAACGUUGGAGACAACAUUUCUUAGAUAAAGCCUUCGCAUUAACAACUAAGAACUAUUUCAAAUUUACAUAUGUACUUAAUUUUGGUACCAGCAAGCAUGACAGAUUUACUUAUUGUACUGCUUCUUUUUUUUUUCUUUCGAGUCUUUGUGCUUUACUUAUCAUCCUACCCAAUGUGGAUGCAGUGGCUAAUUAGAUAAGAUUUCCGGAUCCACAAGCAACAAACAAUUCAUGUUUAUAACUAUUUGCCAGAUAAUGUGUUCUUCUGGGUUUGCUUUGUUUGAAAAUCAACCGAACCUUUUCUCUGUUUUCUUCUUUAAGUCACAGGAGUAACAAUUAGAUCCUGCAGAACUAUAUGUUUUCAGUACACUAAUUUUGUUAGCAUUUCAAUCUAAUGGUAUCUAACUUCUAUUAUAUACAAUAGUAUGCCAAGGAUUUUUUGCCAAAUGAAUGCUAAAGCUUCAUUCUUUUAACUGUUUCUUUGCAGUUUGCUUAAAAUGUUGUGCACAGAUAAGUUGCAAUUCUGUCAUUAAUUUUAUAAUUAUUUCCCUCUUUUAUCUUACCAAAUAUUGCAUUAAUUAGUGUAUUCUAUUUACUUUUGAUAAUUUGUGUUGAUUGUAGGGAUUUGAAGCAAAAACGGAUUAAAGGCGUGAUUUUCAUUGAAUUUUUGUACUAAUCAACGUGAUCGCAUCAAAAUUUAAUUCUGCAAGUUCGGAAACUCGGAAGUUCACGUGUGAUUUUGUCAGGCCCCAGUUUCUAAGUGUUGUCGUUUGAUGUGGAGUGCUCUGCGUUUGAAGGUUUGAAGGGUAGCAGUCUUAAACGACGUAGUUAGACUAAGUCAGUUAGUUGGAGUUAGUUGCAACAGAUAACAGAAAUUGUAUAAAGGUCCCUUUCAAUUGCUGUAUUUGAUUACCAGAUUCAUAAUACAAGAAUUACUUUCUCUUUCUUCUCUGUUACUCUCUCUUGCCUUCUCUCUUUUCUCUCGAUUUCCCUCCUUCCCUAAUUCUUUUCUUCCAAUCUGUUACCGAUCGAUCUAGCUCAGGAGUGCUUGCCUGACAAUUGGUAUCAGAGCAGCCGAUCCUUGGCUGCUUUGGGCACCACUCAUGGCUGAAAACACCAGGUAUCGUUCUCUGGAAGAACAGCUCAAGAAGCAGGAAACUCGACUCCAAGAAGUAAUGGAGACCAUGGCGGCAGCUCAGGCUUCCUGUCAGAAUAGCUUGCAGCAGAAACUCCAGGAGGAGCUCGGACAGAACAACGCGAAGGUAGAGGCGAUGGUCGGUAAUUUGGAUCAGAGGUUCAGUAAGAUGGAGAUGAAACUCAAUGCAUUGUUUAAGGUGAUGAUGAAAGAAAAAGGUAUGCAGGAGACAGAGGCAAGCUCGUCAGAACCACUUCUACCGACUCCUCCGCCGCAUUGUAAGCUCAUGACGUCCACAGAGGUGCCUGGAGCUCAGCAGGAGGUGAGAACUAAGAAUUUCACUCCUAACUUGCCAAGACUUGAAAUACCUAUGUUCGCAUCUGGUAAUCCUAGAGAAUGGUUGAGGAAAUGUCAAAAAUAUUUUCUGAAUUAUCAGAUACCUGAAAAUCAAAAGGUAGAUAUGGUGGAAAUGUUCUUAGAGGGGAGGGCUGACAAUUGGUUCCAAGGAGUUAGACUAGAAAAACCUAGGUUGACUUGGGCUGAAUUUUGCGAGCUGUUGUGUGAGAGGUUUGCAGGGAAGUGGUCACGCGAUGUGGUUGAGGAAUUCAACAAAUUACAACAAAAGGGGACAGUAGAAGAGUAUGAGGAGAAGUUUGAGGAAUUGAAAACACUAAUGUUGAUCAGGAAUCCUAGGCUGGACGAAGGUUAUUUUAUAUCCAGUUUCAUUAGUGGAUUAAAGGAUGAGAUCAAACCAAUGGUCAAAAUGUUCAAACCACAAACUCUGUCCAAAGCAUUUGAGGUUGCUGAAUUGCAGGAAUGUUCACUGGAGACCAUGUCCAAGCAAUCUAAGACCUCAGGCAGGAAUGUGGUUGAACCGAAGUAUGGGAUGUUUAGAAACCACAGCACUGGUCAGAACAAUUCCAGCUCCUAUAAACUUCCUGCUAUUGAUCCUACUAACAGGAAGGGUGACUAUAGAUCCAGGGAAGUGAGCAGGAUUUCAGCUGAGGAAAUGCAGUAUAGGCGUAAGCAUGGCCUUUGUUAUAGAUGUGGUGAUAAAUUUGGAAUUGGGCAUCAGUGUAAGGCUGGGGGGUUAAACUGUGUGGGUAUAGAGGAAGAGGAGGAAGCUGAAUUCGAAGAUGCAGAAGGAGAGCAGGAUGAGCUCACUGGUAGGGUGGGAGAAAUGGCUGAGGUGUCACUGAACGCUCUAGCAGCAGCAAUACAGAGGAAAUCUAUUUUACUACUGGGCAAUUUAGGGGGAAUACCUGUCAAGAUCCUAGUAGACACUGGUAGCUCUGACAGCUUCAUACACUAUCAGUUGGCGAGAUCUCUUCAGCUUCCUUACCAGACAGUCAGGCCUUUUACUGUAACCUUGGCAGAUGGCACAGACAUUACUAGUGGCACAAUUUGUCCGGAUGUUAGGUGGUUAAUACAGGAUUACCAGUUUCAAUUCGACCUGAAGAUAAUGGAGUUGGGGAACUGGGAUAUCAUUUUGGGAGUUGACUGGAUGUGUCAAUUCAGCCCCAUUACCUUUGAUUUUCACGCACUCAGUAUUGCUCUUAGCAGCAGGGGUGACUUAUUACAUCUCCAAGGCCACAUUAAUCAACCUGUGAUGGAACUAGUAAGGGGUAAAGAUCUCAGGGCUUUUAUACAAGAAAAGCAAAGGAGUUGUGCCUUCCUGCAGAGGAAUUCCCAGGGAAAUCAAGAGAGGGAUACGCCUGAGCAAGUGGCUUCAGUUCUGCAACAGUACUCUCAGGUGUUUGAUACUCCUCAAGGACUACCCCCUGAGAGAGAACUGGACCAUCAGAUUCCCCUGAAACCUGGAGCAGAGCCAUUCAAACUUAAGCCUUACAGGUACCCCCAUGCACAUAAAUCUGAGAUUGAGAAACAGGUUGCUGAAAUGCUUACAAAUGGAAUUGUUAAGCACAGUUGUAGUCCAUUUGCUUCUCCUGUGCUGUUGGUUAAGAAAAAAGACAAUACCUGGAGGCUAUGUGUGGACUAUAGGAAGCUGUAUGUAGGGGCAGCAAAUGGAAUCAGGCACAAUCUGAUCAAGGCUUUACACGACUCAGCAGUUGGGGGUCACUCUGGUCAAAGAGCUUGUCUGCAAAGGAUACAAUCUAUAUUCCACUGGCCAGGCAUAAAAAGGGAUGUUGUACAGUUUAUUCAGGCUUGUGAUACUUGUCAAAGGAAUAAGCAUGAAAAUGUCCCUUAUCCAGGCCUUCUGCAACCUCUUCCAGUUCCUCAACAGGCAUGGACACACUUGACUAUGGAUUUUAUUGAACAGUUGCCUUUAUCUCAGGGGUAUGAUACCAUUCUGGUAGUGGUGGAUCGUUUCACUAAGUAUAGUCACUUCAUGAAGUUGUCCCAUCCAUAUUCAGCUCAUCAGGUAGCUGAGUUGUUCCUGGACCAGGUGUACAAGCUGCAUGGUCUACCUGAGUCCCUCACCUCUGACAGGGACAAGGUCUUCAUUAGCAGGUUCUGGCAAGAGCUGUUUCGUGCCAUGGGGGUUGGGUUGCAGUAUAGUUCCUCUUAUCAUCCUCAAACUGAUGGUCAGAGUGAAAGGGUCAAUCAGUGUCUCGAAAGCUACUUGAGGUGUAUGUGUAGUGAACAUCCAUCCCACUGGAGUACUUGGUUGUCUGCAGCCGAGCUGUGGUAUAAUACUAAUUUCCACACCAGUCUGCAACUGACCCCUUUUGAAGCUCUAUACGGAUACAAGCCGUUGCACCUGCCUUUAGGACCCUUCCAUGAUAGUGUUGUCCCCGCAGCUGUUGGUAUGGUGCAGGAGAGACUACAGGUUUUAGCCAACAUCAAACAUAAUCUGGCCAAAGCCCAGAAUAGAAUGAAGCACUUUGCUGAUCAAAACAGGACAGAGAGGUCCUUUCAGGUGGGGGAGUGGGUCUUCCUGAAACUGCAGCCUUAUAGACAACAGACAGUGGCUAUCAGGAAGAGUUUAAAGCUGUCUCCUAAGUACUAUGGGCCCUUCCAGGUUAUCGAGAAGAUUGGAGCAGCAGCUUACAAGCUGCAACUGCCGGAGAAGGCCAGAAUACAUCCAGUGUUCCACAUUUCUCUGUUGAAGAAGAAGGUUGGGGUAGGCUUGGGCACUGAACCUACCCUGCCUGAGUUUGAUGCCUCUGACCAGUGUAUUUUGCAGCCGGAAAGGAUAGUCAAGAGGAGGGUUGUUCUACGCAAUUCCCAACCCGUCAUUCAGUAUUUGGUCAAAUGGAAUCACUUGCCCGAAACUGAGGCAUCGUGGGAGGACAAGACGUUCAUUGACAAGCAGUUUACUGAUUUUUCAGCUUGAGGACAAGCUCAUUUCUUAUCAGGGAGGGAAUGUCAGGCCCCAGUUUCUAAGUGUUGUCGUUUGAUGUGGAGUGCUCUGCGUUUGAAGGUUUGAAGGGUAGCAGUCUUAAACGACGUAGUUAGACUAAGUCAGUUAGUUGGAGUUAGUUGCAACAGAUAACAGAAAUUGUAUAAAGGUCCCUUUCAAUUGCUGUAUUUGAUUACCAGAUUCAUAAUACAAGAAUUACUUUCUCUUUCUUCUCUGUUACUCUCUCUUGCCUUCUCUCUUUUCUCUCGAUUUCCCUCCUUCCCUAAUUCUUUUCUUCCAAUCUGUUACCGAUCGAUCUAGCUCAGGAGUGCUUGCCUGACAGAUUUCUAGUCUUGGAUUGGAGCCGUGGAAGAGACUCUUUAUCAACAGACUAGUUUUCUAUUCUUAUUAGGAGAUUAGUCUAUCUGACUAGGAGGAGUUUUCUUUGGUUUAGGAAAGUAGUUUUUUUCGAUAGGAAUAAAGAGACGGGAAGUCCGAAACAAUAGCAACAGGACUUCUUUUUCUCCUUGGUUGCAAGGAACAAACACACGCUUUUUCUUUUCUUCUUAAUUCCGAUACUUCAUCACACUCUUGGGGAGAAUGGCCGCGGCAAUAAACUCCAAUAUUUCGCUCAUGGCUUUUUCCAUGGAGAUGAACUAACUUUUUCUAGUCAAGGGUUAAUUUGAAGAUGCGGUUCCAAAUAUCUGUGAGAUCGAAUUAUUUUACUUAUUUCUUUUAUUUUUUGGUAUUCAUACGUUUUCUGGUUUAAUUGCUUAUGAUUGUUUUGUUAUUUGAAUAUCAAGGGCCCGAUAUUUGAAUUAAUCUAAUAAUCUACUGUCAUAUUAAUUGAUUGAAUCCGUAAUUGUUCAAUUGAUUAAUACCAGUGGCAACUAGCGUGAUUGGUUUCAUGUUAGGAAAAUUUAUGAUCUAACUUAAACGAACCCUCAUAGCAUGUUUGUUGGUUAGGAUUGGAUUUUUCUAAUUAUUAAUGCAAUUGAGAAACUAAAUCCUAUGGUCGUACUUAGAGUUGUUUCUUAGUUAGAAAAAUAGUCAACGGUCGUAACUUGACUAUCGAAAAAGUAAGGAAAAGCUGGUUGUUUAUCGCGUGUAUGACAACUACAACCAUUUUACUAAUGAGUAAUUGAAUUAUCUUUGUAUCGAUAAUUAGUUGAAUGGAUCGUGUCUGAAAAGUUGCACCUUUGGCUAAAGUCGUAUUGGUUAUUGAUUAAUUCUUGUUUAUUUCUAUUAGUUGUUUCAUUAGUUGGUUAAUUAGUUAUUUUAUAUUUUCCAAAAACUCCCCAUACUUCAGACUCUAGAAGAAACGAAUUAUCUCCAGUCCUUGUGGAUUCGACCCUGUUCACCGCUAUAUACAAAAUUUAUAUUUUUUUCGAGUAGAUAUUUAUUAUUGUACAGACUCGACACCUGUCAUGUACUUAAUUUUUCGUGCUUUAUCGAGUUCUCAUCAUUAGCCUUUGCAUGCAUUUAGUAGCACUCUCACUAAGAUCGGACCAGUGCUAGGUAACUAUCAAAGUUAGCCCUAUACUGUGGUUAUACUUGACACAAAGAUGUAUAGAUAUACAUGUGUAGAUAGAUACAUGUUGACUUAUAUAGAUAUACAUUCACAUCAAGAAUUUGUUAUCAAUCAAACUCAUUGAAUUGUUUAGUUACAUAAAUAGGUGAUUGGGUAGGUGAUACUGUAAAAAGGAAGAGUAUUUCAGAGUAUGUAUUUUUUAUUGGUUAUGGAGUGUUUUCUUAGAAUUCUAAAAAGCAGCAGGUGAUUGCAUUGUCUACUACAGAAGCAAAGUAUAGUGCAGUAGCUAACAGUGCAACUCAAGUUUUGUGGUUGCGUCGCAUUCUUGGUGUACUACAACACAAGCAAGUUGAUCCUACGAACAUUUAUUGUGACAGUAAAUCGGCUAUUGAAUUGUCCAAGAAUCCGAUUCUCCAUGGGUGCAGUAAACACAAAGACAUUAAAUAUCACUUUGUACUUGAGUCGGUUCAAGAGAAGGAGAUUGAGAUGGAUUAUUGCAGGACUAAAGAGUAAGUGGUGAAUAUUUUCACAAAAGCAUUGAAGAUGGAGACUUUUGUCAAAUUGAAGAUGUUAGGCAUGUCCAGUUUAGAGGUGUUUGGUUUGAGGGAGGUAAUGCAGAAAUAUAAACCGAGCCUUUAACUAUUUAUUUAUGUUGCCAUGUAACAUUUGUGGAUUGGUUAGUAUUAUUAUUUGAUUAAUAGAGUGGUUAUGUGGGAUUAAAUCCCUUAUUAGUAGUAGUGUUAGUAAUAGAAGUCCGCCACUAAGGGGAUUAGUAUUACAACCUCUGCGUCCGUUUUUAAGUAGUAGCCUCUAUUAUUCUUUAUAUUGUGCAGCGAGAGCCUCGUUUGAUUAACAGAAAUUUUCCCUUUACCUCAAUAUCGUUUUUCCUUUAAUUGUUCCUAUGGGUUUGUGUUUAAUUAUUAGUUUGGGUCCAUCAUGUUUAAUGGUCCAUAGCAGAUUACAAACUAUAUAUUAGGUUCACAACCAUAAGGGUGGAUAUAUGUAGGACAAUCCAAACUCAACAACCAAUUAUUCUACUAUUUAUUCAACUUUACUACCAUGAGAGUUUUCAUAAUGCCUAAUUCAACAUGAAAAUACAUUUCAAACAAAAAGGGUUCCAACUUUAGUACAGCAUUAGACAAAAGCAAACAGAAAUGAGUCCAUUAUUCACCUUUAGUAACUUUGAGAGAAUUUAUGUACUAUUAUACUCAAGUUAAAAGCUUAAGAAAAGAAUCAAAAGAACUUGACGAGUAGGAUAAGACAUUGCACAGAAACCGCCAGUGUUGUAUAUAGGGCAAUUGUGAUUGCUAGAGGAAAUACAGGGUUGAAAAUAUUGUUGGUGCAAGGCCUAUAUAUAUGAAGUUCUUUACUUGCAACAGUUAAGUAUUAAUCUUCUUCUCCUUUCUUGUUAAUUAUUCGGAGGUUAUCUAUCUUAAUUGCAUAGAGACUACGAAUAUAUGUAGCUUGUAUUCUGUUUCGUCAUUUUUGUUUAUGUUUGACUGUAAAGUACAGCUUUAUGCUUGUGGUUAUCUCACACACACACGCGUGUAUGUAUAUAUGUCACCAUUUGGCCUUGUUUGUAAUCAAUAACAAAAAAUUCUUGUCAAUUUUAAAGCUAUUUCUAAUUUAAAUAUUAUGCACAGAUUUCUGGUUUAUCACAGUUGGAUGCUUGACUAAAACAUGUUUAGUUGGCAGAAGAGUAACCGACAACUAGGCAUCCUGAGGCAGCAUUGAAAGCAGAAUAUUUGAUUUCAAAUUUUGAUCUUCUAGCCAUAUUUAAGAAAAAUAAUUAAAUAAUUUACAUGUGUAAGACUUGCUACAUUCUGGAUGGCCAAGUAUAGCUCACAAGUUCUUUAUACUAGUGCUCAAUGCACAUCCAAUGUAUGCGCAAUCAAAAAAUAUAUAAAAAUCAUGGUAAUAUAUUUUAAAUAAAAUUUUUAUUACUUAAGCAAACUUUAAUCUUUUAAAUAUUUUCAUAAAAUAAUUUUAUAUUGGUAGUUCAUGUUUACAGGUAAUUAUGUUGAAUAUAUAUGCAUAAAUGGUUAAAAGUAAAAAUAAUCAUGGAUAGUUAUAAAUAGUUAAAGUCAACGUAAUUUUUAUAAAGAUUAAAAAAAAGGUUCAUAAAGUAACGAUAAGUGUUAAAUCAAAUAUUAACCCAAAACUCUUCCGCAAGCUUUAUAUAUAGUAUAUAGAUAUUCUUUAUAUAUGCUAAACCAGGAUAUCUAAAUCAAGUUGCUUAUUUGCCGGCAUAUGGUACCAAGUAGAAUGCAGAGAACUAUACAUAUGUUUGCAUCAAAAUUCUUUUUCAAAAUCAUUUCUCUAUCAAGAAAAAGAGGAGGAAUAUGUCGGUGAAUGCUCAUCAUCUGGUCAGUCCUGAAGAUUUAAAUGCUCAUCAUCUCUACCAACCUCGCCCCUGGCAACUCAAAGGAACGUCUCCUUCAAGAUUUAAAUACUCAUCAUCUCUCCCAACCUCGCCCCUGUCAACUCAAAGGAACGUACCAAAGAAAUGCUCAUCAACUCUCGCAACCACUCCCUGGCUACUCAAAGGAAGGCCCCCCUGAAGAUUUAAAUGCUUAGCAACUCUCCCAACCUCCCACGUACCUGAAGAUUUAAAUGCUUAAGAAAAGAAGAGGAAUAUGUUGGCGAAUGACGAAGAUUUAAGAGUAAACGUUGAUAUAUAGACUUCCAUGGGACUUUGAAAAUCGUUUAGGGACUAACAACUGAGAAACUCGAAGUACUUUUGUGAGACUUUAAAAAUUUAGUUUCAAGGAUCAAAUACAUAAACUGCUUAAAAAAUAACAGAGAGCUACGGUUAAUUUUACAUGAAGCGUUGCACGUGUCAACACAGAUGAGCAAGUUGCAGAUACAUUCAUGAAGCGUUUAAGUCCUUCCUUUUUUUUUUCAGAGACGAUAAACCUAAUCUAUUUUAUACUAAGGGGAGGGGGCGGACCUAAGGAAACUCAGGGAUAACUCGGAGGGAACUGAACCAUCAUCGGAUCAGACGGAUGCACAGCACACUCACCUAAAUUUUUUAAAAAUAAGCCAUUUAAAUGUGACAUUUUUGGGGUGAGAGGUAACAACUAGGUGUUGGCCACCAACCUUUGGGCUGGUGGUUGUUUAAGUCCUUCCAAGUUCGUGAAAUUUCAAAAAAAUGCUCGAUAUGACUACAAGAAAAGUUAGUGCCGAGGGAGGGCGUUAAAGGUCAUCAUUGACUUGUGGCAAUCCAAUGGGCCACGUUCAAUUAUAAAUUUGCAUUUAUUAGGAGUUUGUUUCUUUCUUUAGCAUAACAGAAGAUUUGGCAAAGGUUAAUUUUUGCAACUCGGAUAUGGGAAAUGUUUUACUGCUAAGUCACGCCUGAAUCUAAAGCCAAAUUAGGGCCUAUUUGAUAACUCUACUUAAUGUCAAAAAUUAAUUUAUUCAAAACUUUUUAAAUUUAGCGUGUUUGAUAAUAGAAAUACCUUACCACACUUAAUGUGUUAAACAUUCGUAAUUUGUGUACAAACUUUUAAAUGAAAAUUUUCACUGAAUCUUUUAAAUUGACUAUACAUGUUGUACCUCUCACACGCACAACACACUCUUGUACCAUUCUUCUUGCACAUGUUACAUAGUUGUUUUCUUUAUGUUCAACGCACAUGGAUACACAUGCAUGUACCGAGCUAGCUCAAUUGGCCACCAAAAAAAGGAUUGAGUCCCUCCCUAGGCGUAGGUUAGGGGUUGCCUAACUGUGUUUCCUCUCCAGAAUUUUCUGGAGUACUAUGGUUGAAAGUUAUUUAACUCUUUUCGAGCUUCUAAAUAGAUUAGAUAGGUUCAUCUCCCUCUCAUUUCCCCCUAAUAUAGGACCAAUUGUAAUAAUGUUGUACUCUAAAAAAACAAAAAAGAUACACACGCCUGCACACACAAUCUCUUAUAUAUACACAAAUACACACACUUAUACACCACUUCUAAAUUGUUUCUUUAUUUUCUCUCUCUCACAUACACGCACACUUUUUUCUAUUUCUUCAAAUACACAAAUGAAGGCAAUUUUUUAAAAAAUAAAAAAAAACAAUAUUUGUUCUACAUUAUAAUUCAGUAUUAUAAUUCAAUUAAUUAUCAAACAAAUAUAACUUAAACAAUUCAGGAACUCAAUACUUUCAAUGCUUAACUUUUAGAAUUCAAAAUUCAGAUUUCAAAUUUCAACUUUAUCAAAUGGUGUUUUCAGGAUUCUAACAUUUAAUGUGAUAAGGAAAAUUGGUGUUGCAUGUCGAGCACCUUACUAAUAUAAAUAGUGGUUCAUUUUCUCAAUUGAAGUGCACCAGAGCUGGAGAGAAAGAAAGUUUGAGCAAAUAUCUCAAGAGUGCGACUCCAAUAAAAUUAGAGGGUGAGGCUCAAUUUGGUAUCAUCUAUUAUAAGUUUAUUUUCCGAAUAUUGUUAUUAUAAGAAUUUCCGAAUACACUUUAAAUGUAAUAAAAUUGUUCGUUUGCCCUCCUAUAUUAGUGGAUUUAAUCCAAUAAUUUGGUGUUAAACCCGCCACAAUUUCAACAUGUGCAACGGCUAACAUCUGAGGAAAUUCUUCUGUGUUAGGUACAGGCUAGUGUGUGUGUGUAUUCUUCUCGUGUAAUUAUGUGCUUUCUUGUUUAUUUAACAGCCUAAAUCUUAGUUGCACACAAACAGAUAUAUCAGUUUGCAUAGAUUUUUUUAGCUUAAUGGCAUGCCUUCUAUGUCUAUGGUACAAAGUAAAGCUUUUUCAUUGUCUUUAUCAUUUGUAUGCAUAUCCAUAUAGCCAAACGAGCCAAGAACCGGCGGAGCUACUAUGCCAAAGGAAAUUUUUAAUUUUCUGUAUACAAUUUUUUUACAAAUUUUUAUUUUAUUCCAUUAAUUUUGGUCGGGAUUAUAUAUAAUUUUUUUUUAAUUAAUCAUGUACAAACAGGUCUGAGCCUUUGCUUUGCUAAAGUCAACUCAUGAUGUUGGCAUUACGCGGGAAUCAUCUUCGAUAUGGAUACAUAACCUGUGCAAGUACGUAUAUUCUUACAUCUUUUUCUCCAACUUUGGUGAGCGGCAUCUUCAUGACUCCUAACAACAAAACUAGUGGUGUUUGUUUGGACUUCCCACAUGGGUGUCCUUUCUGGAAACAAAAAAUUGCUCGUCAUUCAUGUUUCCUCCAUCUUUUGAUAACGAAGUCUGGAAACACAGAACGGUAAUUAGUUAACCACUAAAAAUUUCUGAGUUUCAUAAACUUUUCUUCUUGGUCUUUAGUUUGCAUACAAAAUAGAAAAUCCAACAUUUAUGUCCUCAUUAUGAUUCUUAUAAGGAACAGGAACAGUUUUCCAGCUAAAACUAUACAUCCUUGGUAACUGGAAUUUGACAAAUUUUUUUCCACGUUUUUAAGGUACGGACCAUACAGGCUCAAAUUAAGUUUCGAAGCAUGAAUAGAUUCCAUUUAUAUGUAUCAUCUUGUCCAAGUGUUGAUCAUCUGACUUCUAUGCUUCAUAGCUUUCAUCUAUAUCUUGCAAAUUAACUUUGGUGUAUGAAUAAGAUUUUCCUUUUCUUUACCUAAGAGUGCUUCUGCAUUCAAUUUGGUUAGGAACUAAUUUUGAGGCUCUUCUUUGUUAUUCAGAGAAUUUUAAUCUACUGUCUGAUCAAAAGGUAUGUUGUGGUAUAAGUCAACUGUACCCAAGAAACAACAAGUUUCACCAGUCACCAAAAUGCACAAAAAAAAAAAGGAAUUUUGUGAUAGUCAUGUAGCGCUUGGUUAAGAUUCAUUCUAAUGGGAAUCAACCAAAAUGCUUAAAUUUGCUGAUCCUUCUUGCUGUUUCUCCCGUAGCAAUUUUUCCUGCUGUUUAUACGUACUCAACAAAGAUGUCCGAAGACAUAUCUGACGAAAUCUCCGUUCGCAUUGAUGAAAAGUAUUCUGUUAGGACCGGACCAGGAAAUAGACAAACUCAAGUUAGCACAAAUUAGGCGGUAUAACCGACCAUAUAAUAGAUAGGCGGUAGAUACCAGCCAUAUAAUAAUUAGGCGGUAAAACCGACCAUAUAAAGACGGAUAACAAAGCAAAUAAAAGACACAGAAGAUUUACGUGGUUCGGUCAAAUUGACCUACGUCCACGGGCGAGGGAGGAGCAAUAUUUCUACUAUGAAGAAGAAAUACAAAAGCCGUAGGAAAGUGGUUCCUAGGCCAAUAGGCACUUACAAAAGAGUUUAGAAAAUAUUCCUAAACUCAAAACAAGAUAGCCUAAAAUAUUUAACUGAAUGGGCUAGAUGACUCAAGAAGCUAAUAGCCCAUAUAACUCUUGAGUGGUGCUAAUUAAAACUUCAGAGGACCCUUCCUUUUAUAGGCCUCGAGUAGCCGACUUCUUCUUGGCUUUGUGCGAUGUGGGAGAAAAACUUAUGCCACAGUCAAACAUUGCGGCUGUGAAAAAAUCAACAAAUCUCCACCUUGGCAUAAUUUGAAUCCACCAUCGACAAUAGUAAAAUUGCUCCCCUUCUCCACAUAAGCCCAAUGGGCUUAAAUCACAACGAACACCAAUCAAGUCCAAGCACUGCUUGAACUUGUAACUGGAAGAGGUUCGUAAACAUAUCGGCUGGAUUGUCCUUAGUAUUGAUUUUCUGAAUAAGGACUUUUCCCUCAGCAAUGAUAUCCCGAAUGAAGUGAUACUUCACAUCAAUGUGUUUCGUCUCUCAUGAUACAUCUGAUCUUUAGUCAAGUGUAUGGCACUUUGACUAUCACAGUGAAUAUCAGUAACACCUUGAUAUAGACUUAGCUCGCUAAAUAAACUCUUCAACCACAAGGCUUCUUUGAUUGCCUCGGUCACAGCCAUAUAUUCUGCUUCUGUAGUAGACAAAGCUACGACAGGUUGUAGAGUAGCUUUCCAACUAACAGCACAACCGCCAAUGCAAAAUACAUAGCCUGAAAGUGAUCUUCUCCUGUCAAGAUCUCCAGCGUAGUUUGAGUCUACAAAACCAACCAAAGUAUUAUUAUUUCUUCCAAACUCCAAACAUGCAUUUGAAGUACCUCGCAAGUAUCUGAGAAUCCACUUCACAGCCUGCCAAUGUGUUUUACCAGGGCAAGACAUAUAUCUGCUAACAACACUGACUGCUUGUGCAAUAUCUGGACGAGUACAAACCAUUGCAUACAUAAUACUGCCGACUGCACUGGAAUAAGGAACCCGUGCCAUAUAAUCUUCCUCUUCAUCUGAUUUUGGUGAUUGAGCAGCAGAUAGCCGAAAAUGGCUAGCAAGAGGAGUAGAUACUGGUUUAGCAUCUUUCAUGCCAAAACGUUCCAAGACUUUUUCAAGGUAAUUUUUCUGGGUUAAAAAUAACUUCCCUACUCCUCGAUCUCGAUUGAUAUCCAUGCCAAGAAUUUUCUUAGCUGUUCCUAAAUCUUUCAUUUCAAAUUCACUAUUUAACUGCAGUUUUAAGGUGUGAAUUUCUGACAAAUUCUUGGCAGCAAUGAGCAUGUCAUCAACAUAAAGCAGCAAAUAAAUGAAAGAACCAUCAUUUAUCUUCCGGAAGCAAACACAACUAUCAUACAUGCUCCUCAAAUAACCAUGACCCAACAUAAAGGAAUCAAACCUCUUAUACCAUUGUCUUGGAGAUUGCUUCAAUCCAUAUAAGGAUUUCUUUAAUAAGCAAACAUGGUCUUCUUUACCUUCAAUUUCAAAGCCCUGGGGUUGUCUCAUAUAAAUUUGUUCUUCAAGUUCGCCAUGUAAGAAAGCUGUCUUAACGUCGAGUUGUUCUAACUCCAAAUUAUACAUGGCAACUAAAGCAAGCAAAACACGAAUAGAGCUAUGUUUAACAACAGGUGAGAAUAUAUCAUUAAAAUCAACACCUUGUACCUGACUAUAGCCCUUUGCAACCAAUCGUGCUUUAUAUCUUGCAUCUUCAACCCCUGAAAUACCUUCCUUUUUCUUGAAGACCCACUUGCAACCAACAAUUUUCUUAGCUGACGGCGGCUUUACAAGAACCCAAGUUUCAUUUUGAUGAAGAGAUUCGAUUUCUUCAUUCAUCGCAAUCAACCACUUUACAGAAUCAUCACAAGAAACUGCUUCUGAAUAGGUGGAAGGCUCACCAACUGCAUCAGUUUCUUCUGCAACAGACAAAGCAUAUGCAACUAAAUUUGCAUAUCUUUGUGGUGGUCGAAUGUCUCUCCUUUGUCUAUCUCUGGCUAUGGAAUACUCCUCUUCUUCUGAACUUUCUUCAAUAGUAGAUUCAGGUGUAUCUACUGGCAUUUGAUGAAUAGAAGAUUUGGAUUGAGAAGAACCAGAACUGCCAAUAUCAAGCUCCACCUGCUUCUGUGUACUAUCAGUAGUACAAGGACUAGAAGACUCCUUCUUGGAAGAUAACAUAGUCAAUUCAUCAAAAGUAACAUCUCUACUGAUUACAAAUUUUGGAGAUUUGGGAUCAGGACACCAUAAUCUGUAUCCUUUCACCCCAGAAGCAUACCCAAGAAAAAUGCACUUUUUAGCCAUAGGCUCCAAUUUUCCAUCAUUCACGUGCAUGUAUGCUGGACACCCAAAAACUUUUAAAUUGGAGUAAUCAGCAGGAGUACCUGACCAAACUUCCUCAGGAGUUUUGAAAUCAAGAGAUGCAGAAGGAGAACGGUUGACAAUAAAACAAGCCAUAUUGAUCGCCUCUGCCCAAAAGUCAUUUGUCAACCCUGCAUUGGGGAUCAUACAUCUUGCUCUCUCCAAAAGUGUUCUGUUCAUACGUUCAGUCACACCAUUUUGUUGAGGCGUCAUUCUGACUGUGUGAUGCCGAACAAUUCCUUCAUUUUUACAAAAUUCAUUAAAUUCACCUCCACAAAAUUCCAUGCCAUUAUCUGUUCUCAACCGCUUAACAUGUUUUCCUGCUUGUUUCUCAAUCAAAACUUUCCAUUGCUUGAAAGUUAGGAAAACAUCAUUUUUAUGCUUAAGAAAAUAGACCCAAACUUUCCUUGAAUAAUCAUCAAUGAAAGUUAACAUGUACCUGGCACCACCUUUAGAAAGAGCACGAGAAGGACCCCAUAGAUCUGAAUGAAUGUAAUCAAGAGUACCUUUUGUCUUGUGAAUUGCUGGUGAACUGAAGCUGACUCUUUUCUGCUUCCCAAAAAUACAAUGUUCACAGAAUUCCAAUGGCCCGAUACUUUGUCCACAAAGAAGUCCUCUUUUACUUAGUAUGCCCAAGCCUUUUUCACUCAUGUGCCCCAAACGCAUAUGCCAUAAUUUGGUGAUGUCUGUAUCUGACAAAGAUGAUGUUGAAAUAGCAGCAGCACCUGUCACAGUAGAUCCCUGCAAAAUAUACAAAGUACCAGAUCUGUGUGCCUUCAUAACAACAAGAGCUCCUCGAGUGAUUUUGAGAACUCCAUCUCCACCUGAAUACCUGCACCCGAUAGACUCAAGAGUGCCCAAAGAGAUGAGAUUUUUCUUCAAAUCUGGAACAUGUCUAACAUUUGUGAGCGUCCUCACAAUACCAUCGUACAUUUUAAUCCGGAUUGUGCCUUUGCCAACAACUUUACAAACGGCGUUGUUACCCAUUAAGACAACUCCACCUUCAGUUGAUUCAUAUGUUGAAAAUCAGUCCCUAUUGGGACACAUAUGAUACGAACAACCCGAAUCUAAAAUCCACUCAUUGUUAGACCUAAAAUUAUUUUCUAUUGCACAGAAAAUAGUUCCAUCAUUCUCAUCAGCUGCUAUACUAGCUUCAGUGGAUUCAGUAUUUCUUUCAACAAAUUUCCCCUUUUGCUUUUCUUUAUAAUUUAAAGCAAUCAGAGAUAAUAUGGCCCUUCUUUUUACAAUAGUUGCACACCACAUUUUUAUGUCUGGAUUUGGAUCUACUUCUAUUUUCUAUGUUUCUCUUCUCAAAUCUACCCCGAACAAACAAGCCAUCGGCUUGACUCCCACUAGUUUCCCCAGUAAUAUCCCUAUCUAUCUGCUCUUUAGAUUUUAAUGCAGAUUUAAUUUCCCGAUACGAAAUUGUUUCCUUUCCAUAUAUCAUAGUAUCACGGAAAUGCUUAAAGGAUUGGGGAAGGGAACACAAAAGUAAUAGGGCUUGAUCUUCAUCAUCAAUUUUCGAAUCUAUAUUCUCCAAAUUCAUAAUAAUGGAAUCAAAUUUAUCAAGAUGGGAGAGUAUAGAUGUACCUUCAGACAUCCGAAACAUAUAUAAACUCUGCUUUAGAUAUAGUCGAUUCUCGACUGUUUUCUUCAUAUACAAGGCUUUCAAUUUAUCCCACAUAGCCUUGGCCGAAGUCUCCGUUGCUACCUCACGCAACACCUCAUCGGAGAGAUUUAAAAUUAUGCUGGAUCUGGCCUUCUUAUCCAUAUUGGCGAAAUCCGCAUCCUUUACAUCUUCUGGCUUGUUCUCGAUUCCAUGAAUCGCUAGAUCAACUCCGUCUUGAAUAAGAAUGGCUUCCAUCUUGAGCUGCCACAUGCCGAAGUUGACAUUCCUGUCGAAUUUCUCGACAACCGUCUUUGUUAUCGUCAUUGUUGCCACAAAAUCUGUAAUUUGUAGUUUGUCUAAAAAAAAAAACUGACAAAACAAAUAUGCAAGUCUCGUGAGCGGGCCCCACAAGGUGAGCGGACCCCACGAGAUAAGCGGGCCCCACAGGUAAACGGACCCCACAGGAUGAGUAGGCCCCACAGGAUGGACAGGCCCCACCAGAUGAACGGGCCCCACCAAAUGAACCUAUCUUGCAAAAUAUAAUAACCAGCUCUGAUACCAGUUUGUUAGGACCGGGCCAGGAAAUAGACAAACUCAAGUUAGCACAAAUUAGGCGGUAUAACCGACCAUAUAAUAGAUAGGCGGUAGAUACCAGCCAUAUAAUAAUUAGGCGGUAAAACCGACCAUAUAAAGACGGAUAACAAAGCAAAUAAAAGACACAGAAGAUUUACGUGGUUCGGUCAAAUUGACCUACGUCCACGGGCGAGGGAGGAGCAAUAUUUCUACUAUGAAGAAGAAAUACAAAACCCGUAGGAAAGUGGUUCCUAGGCCAAUAGGCACUUACAAAAGAGUUUAGAAAAUAUUCCUAAACUCAAAACAAGAGAGCCUAAAAUAUUUAACUGAAUGGGUUAGAUGACUCAAGAAACUAAUAGCCCAUAUAACUCUCUUGAGUGGUGCUAAUUAAAAUCUUCAGAGGACCCUUCCUUUUAUAGGCCUCGAGUAGCCGACUUCUUCUUGGCUUUGUGCGAUGUGGGAUGAAAAACUUAUGCCACAGUCAAACAUUGCGGCUGUGAAAAAAUCAACAUAUUCUGACCUAUCGGAUGCGUGGAGAAGGCAAUCGAUCUUCAAAGUCCAUAGUAAACUACGAUGUGAAAAUGAAAUGGCAUAUGAACCACAAGCUGUGUUUUCAAACUCGGACCGGACCGGCCGGUCCGACCGGUUGAAUCGAGAACCGGCCAAGUGUCCGGUCCGAGCUAUCUUAAAAACUCGGAUUGGUCAAGACUCGGUCAAACCCCGAUUUUGACCAGGUUUGACCGGAAACCUGAAGAACCCGUACGAACCGGGUUUUUCUUAUUCUCCAUUUUUAAAUUCUUUUUUACCCUUCCUGACCUCUUAACCCCAAAUCCUUGUGAGCUCCCCCUCCUCCGCAAAUCCAUUUUCACUCUUUGAGUUCAAUUCAAGCAUGAAAAAUCAAUGUUUUACCCCUUUUUUAAAAUAAGAUAUAAUCUUAGAUCUUGUAUUCAAAAGAAAAAAAAAGACCCAAAAAUGCAAAAAAGAGCGUGGAGAAGAGAACAGUUUGCAGAAAUCAGAUAAAAGCAUGAUAUUUCAUGGGUUUGAGAACAAAUAACUAAUAAAAUAAGAAUGAAAAUGAAAUUAAAAAAAAAAGAUGAAGAAGAAGAAAGGAGUUGCAGAAUGGCGUGGAAGAUGAAGAAGGGAGUUGCAGGAAGAGGAAAUGACACCGUCAGGAGUAGAGGAAGAAAUGAGAGGUGUGGCGUGGGGUCAAACUUCAAAGCACUUUCAUCUGAUAUAGGAUCAAAACAUUUUCAAUAUUAUGUUUUGAUCCUUAAGUUGUUAAAAACUAUUAAUAUACCUCAAAUAUUUCAUACUUUAUAAAUAUUGUCCUAAAGUUUGGUGUUAUUUUUUAAUCAAGUCCAUAAUUUUAAUUCUAAACUUGUUAAUAUUCAUUAAAUAAUAUAAAUUGCUCCUUGAUUAUUCUAAUUUCUUUGUAUUUUAUUGUUAAAUACAUUUGAAACGUUAAGCAUAUAUGAAUAUACCUUUGUUAAUAUUAACAUGAUCUUAGAUAUUUUAAAUAUAAUAUUUUAAUUUUUAAAUAAUUUUUAUUUAUGACGUCAUCUGAUUUAACCCCCGGUCGAACCCGGUCGAACCCAUUGACCCCUGACCCCUGACCCUGACCGAGUCGAUACCCGGUCCGAGUCUGAAAACAUAGACCACAAGUCGUCUCCGUCGGACCUUAUCACCGCGGUAAGCCUAAACUGAAAAAGAUGGAGGAGCAUAAGGUAAGGUACUUGAACAUGCUUCUUCUUAGAAGAAAAGAGUCAAGUGCUAAGAAAUACGUCGAAGCUAUGGCUGAACUUCAAGAAGAAGCUAAAAGUUCUUACGCAGACGAAAUCAAUCUUUCAGAUGGUGAUUUUGUUGAAAUGCUAUGCCUUGAUGGCUGCUUUGUCAUUGAGUUCUUGAGGAAACUUUAUCAGCCUAAAUUAUACAGCGAGAAUGAUCCCAUUUUUCAGAUGUCUUGGCUAAUAUCAGCCACUAAGAGAGACCUAAUAUUAUUUGAGAAUCAGUUGCCCUUUGUUGUCCUGCAAAAACUGUUUGAUAUGACCAAGUUGCGGGGCGAAGAAGAGAACCUUAAUGACCUAGCUAUUCGCCGUCUGUCUUCGCUCAUGCCUGGUUCUUAUCCAGGUCAAAGUUCUCAUUCUACAAUCCCUGCAGGUUAUGAGGCUGUUCAUCUUCUUGACCUCAUGCACAAAAAUUUCACUGCCUCAUUUUCCAACACACUUACGUGUCUCAAACCUAAAGAGACUCCAACCUCAUUGCAGAAACCAGUUAUUGAGCUAGUACAUUGUGGAACCAAGUUCAAGAGGGCAAUAAACAGUGAAUCCUUGCUCCAUAUCACUUUCAAAAAUGGUGUAGUUAAAAUCCCUCCUUUAUUUGUGGAUGAUCAUACAGAAUCCAUCUUCAGAAACUUGAUUGCAUACGAACAGUAUAUGUCUAAGCCAUUUGAGACACGGAGGUAUGUAACUGAUUACAUAAGCUUCAUGGAUCUUCUCAUAGAUUCCCCGUCAGACGUUGAAAAGCUUCGCAACCGUGACAUCAUCAGGCAUGGGUUAGGCAAUGAUAAAGCAGUCUCUGUAAUGUUUAACAAGUUAAGCAGCGAUGUUUCUAUUGAACCACCUUUCUGUUACGACGAAAUUUUUGUGGAAAUUGAGAAGUACUACCGCUACCGCAUCCAUAGGGAAUACCUCAUGCAGAAAUAUUUUCAUGCCCCGUGGGCUUUCAUUUCACGUCUGGCUGCAAUCGUUAUGAAAUUAAAGGGAGCUAGUUUGUAAUUUGUUAGUCAUUGUACUUAUGAAUAUUAAAAUAGCAAUGCCCCGUCGGGGUCAUUGAGUCAUUUUAGUCAACCUGACAAUUUUUAUGAACAUGGAUCUGUCUACACAUGUAUCUUUGAGUGUUACCUAGCACUAGUCCUAUCUUAGGGAGAGUACUACUAAAUGCAUGCGAAGGCUGAUGAUGAGAACUCAAUGAAGCACGAAAAUUAAGUACACAAGAUUUUAAGCAAAUUGCAAAGAAAGAAUUAAAAAAAUGAAGCAUUCAUCUGGCAAAAAAUCCUUGGCAUACUAUCAUAUAUAAUAGCAGUUAGAUACCAGUUGAUUGAAAUGCUAACAAAAUAAGUUUACUGAAAACAUAUAGUUCUACAGGAUCUAAUUGUUACUCCUGUGAUUUAAAGAAGAGAACAGAGAAAAGGCUCGGUUGAUUUUCAAACAAAGAAAACCCGGCAGAACACUUUAUUGGGCAAAUAGUUAUAAACAUGAAUUGCUUGUUGCUUAUGGUUCCCGAAAUCUUAUCUAAUUAGCCACUGCAUCCACAUUGGCUAGAAUGCUAAGUAAGGCAUAAAGACUGAAAGAAAAAAAAAAAAAAAAAAAGAAGCAGUACAAUAAGUGAAUCUGUCAUGCUUGCUGGUACCAAAAUUAAGUACAUAUGUAAAAUUUAAGUAGUUCUUAGUUGUAUAUGUGAAGGCUUUCUCAUGUUUGUCACUUCGCGAAGCAAAGCAUAUGCUAAUGAAUGAAGGGCUGAGACAUGUCUACUUUUUUUUAAAGAAAUAGAGGCUUAAACAUUGGCUGUUCUCCUCUUUAUUGCGCUCAGUCGCUCACUAUUUUCCCUCUUCAAAGGAAAAAUUGCUAGCCAUCUAAAGUUUAGUGGAAAAGAACAGCUAUGAACUCAUAUCUCAAAAUUCUAGAAAUUAAAAUGUUUAAGAAUUUAUAGAUCCUAACUAGAUCAAUUGAGUAAGAUUGGAAGACAAAUGCCUAAACAAGACAAUAGAAUAGCCAAGAUUAUGCAUCCCUCCCAGCAAUACGGGCUGGGGACAUUGAUUUGUUUUCAGCCCUUACCUAACUUUCCAUGAUGACUAGCUUCAAACGACAAAAACUUUUAAAAGUCAGAAUCAGCACCCGGAAAUCAGUAUAAACCUGGUUCAAGCAGUUGCCAAUCAACUUAAUUAGACUGAUUUUGUUAAUCUUUCCGUGCAGCAUUUUAUUCUCCAAAGAGGAUGCCCGGAGAAAUGCUAAAAUUUAUUUCUACUGGUCUCGAUCGAAAGCUUUCUCAGAUAUCAGGAACAUCAAAGGAGAAAUGUAUAUUCAGAGUCCAUGACGGGCUACGGAGGCACAACCCUCAGGCAUACGAACCAGAAAUUGUUGCUAUUGGGCCUUAUCAUCAUGCUAAAAGUAAAUUACCAAAAAUGGAAAAGCAUAAGCUGUGGUAUUUGCAACAGCUUCUUCUUCAAAGAGGCGAGUCAAGUGUGGAAAGGUACAUUGUAGCCUCGUCACAGCUUGAAGAGCGCACUCGAAGGUGUUAUGCAGAAGAAACUAUUAAAUCUAUUCUUUAAAUGUAUAAUUGCUCCUUUUCCUAUCUCAUUUUAUUGUGAUGAUUUGAAGUGGAAAAGAUUCUGAUAUUGGUGUAUUUACUAUGUUUUUUGUUACGGGAGUUAAGUGUCUGUGAAUUCCUCAAUAGAUUUAAUAGUUUUUUUUUUUUUAAAGAUGUUGAUGUUGAAAUUUGGAUUUUUUUUUUUUUUUGCAUCUAUAUAUACAUUUAUAUAUACAUGGGAUGAUUGCAUUUAGUAAACCUAACAAGUUGGUACAGCUAAAAAGUGGCUAGAUAUACACCAUUAUUGCUGAAGUUCAUUUUCUUAGGUCCUUCCGUUCGUACUUCAUGAGAUUAUAAUAUGUGUUUAUAAUAGCACUAUAUAAGAAAGCAAUCAUUCACCUUUUUUAUAAUCAACGAAGGAAUGAUUAAUUAGCUUUUGUAAUCAUUAUUUAUAAGCUGCUUACAUACUUCUUGCUGCAUUGUUUUGUUCUGCUAGACUGCUAGUGUUUUUUAACUCUCAUGUCAAGACUAAUAGUAGUUUUCCUCUUCAAAAGUCUAUGGCUGCUAAUUAAAGUCGUGUUAUAAAUAUAUCCUGAUAUUAAUUCUCCAUUUUUUAUUAUGCAGAUUGAACAUUUAAUUUGCCAUUUUACCAGCCAUGACUUUAUGAUAUUCUUACAAUCUUAAACUUAAUGCGGAUAGUACUGGAUUUUCUCAUUUUCCGGAUCCGGAUCCGACGAGUCUCGGAUCUGGGUCGGGUCUACUCGAAAAAAUUUAUCAAAACUUACAAUUUAUAAUAAAAAUGAGAAAAAAAAUAUUUGUAAACUAAUUUCUAACUAAUACAAAAAAAAUAAAUAAGAAAAGAAAUCAAAUUGACUUUACUCAAAUACAUCACCCUAAUCAAAUUAUAUUGAUAAAUAUAUUUUUUAAAUUAUUAAUCCAUUUAUAUCCGGAUCCGGGUCUAAUACGGGUUGGAAUACUAUAUUCCGUAUCCGACCCAUUUUUGUUGUUUGACAAAACUGAUCCGGGUCCGGGCAACGGAAUUAAAUCCCUACCCGUACCCGGACUCGGACCGUUGAUAGGCCUAGAAAAGAUUAAUUAGCUUUUGUAAUCAUUAUUUUUAUGCUUCUUGCUGCAUUGUUUUGUUUUGCUAGAGUGCUAGUGUUUUUUUAACUCUGAAGUCAAGAUUAAUAGUAAUUUUCCUCUUCAAAAGUCUAUGACUGCUAAUUAAGUCGUGUUAGAAAUAUGUCCUGAUAUUAAUUCUCCAUUUUUUAUUAUGAAGAAUGAACAUUUGUUUUGCCAUUUUACCAGCCAUGACUUUAUGAUAUUCUUACAAUCUUAAACUUAAUGCGGAUUUUCAAAUCUAGAAAAGUUGGAACUUUUGUGUUACGACACGUUAGAACUAACUUUGUUACAUGAUUUAUUCAUGCUAAUUUUGAUAAAUAAAUUAUUUUGCGAUAUUUGAUGAAAGUUCAUACAUAUGUUAAUUCAAGAAAUAGACCAAGACAUCUUCCUUUAGCUCCCUAAAAAUCAUUUAGAGUGUUAUGUAUGAUUUGACAGGAUCCAUUUAAUUUUAUUUUCUCCAAAAAUAUUUUUUUGGCAAAUGUACGUCAAGUUAUAGCAAAAUUACUUCAAUAUACAUUUUUUGCCCUUUCUCUUGGCUAAUAUCCUUAAACAUGGGUCUUUAAGCUACAUUUUUUUACACUUUUUCUUUCUCAGUUUUAUUGUAUUGUUUAAAAGAAUUAUGAUUAAAAAAAUUCAAGGGCAGCUGAAAAGAAUAAGCACCCCAGCACAACGUGCACGGUUACCCCUAGAUUUAAACACAUGAACAACCUAGGAUUGACAUUAAAACCAUUAAAAGAUAGUUUUAAUGGAUGAAGGCUUCUUGAUGUGAUAAGUUACCAUGUGAAAUUGCAGAUCGAAGAAUAGAUUGAUAUGAGUUGCAAUGGUAAACUACUACGGAAAAGUGAUAUGUAUUUGUGAAGGAUUCGAAUCAUGAAUCUAACAGUAAGGAAGAAUUUAAAAUUCCUCCCCUAACCACUAAAUUCCUUUCAUCCUUAUUGAAAUAUGUAUUUGAUUUGACACUGGGACUAAUUAAAUUGUCAACAUGUUUGCAUAAAUGCUCUAGUUGAAUUCUCAGUAUGCUUCUUCAAUUGAGAAAUUAUUAAAACUCAAACUCAACUUUGUAAAUAUAUACCAUUAUGAAAGAAACCUGAAAAAGAAAAUGCGCAAAGAGAAAAAGAGUGCACAUAAAAGCAAAAAAUUGUAGUGAACCUCUACCUCAACAUCAGAAAACUGAACACUCUUUGCGGGGACUGACAGUUCAAACUCCCCAUUGUUCCAACUUUGAGAUGUGGGGGCCAACAUGAAAGUUUCACCAAAACCUUAACACAAAAACAAAGAAAUAAUGAAAUUUGAGGGGAAAAUAAUUUAAUCUCCUAGAAAAAGGGGGGAAAAACAAAAUUCAAGUGUUCACCAUAAAAAGAAAAAGGGUAAAAUACCAAAAAAAAUCCCUAUGAUUUGCUAAAUGUUCAAUUUAAAUCCCUCUAAUUUGAAGAUCUACACUAUAGCUUCCCAUGGUUUCGACGAAACUAAAGAUUGGACAAAAAGCAUCCAACCUAAUGGUUGUACGUAAAAUAUCAAUAUUGCCCCUACUAUACGUGAAAUGCUUUCUAUUCAAUUUUCAAUCCACAGGGAAUUAUAGUAUAGUUUUUCAAAAUAUAAGAAAUUAAAUUGAAUAUUCAGCAAAUCAUAGGGAAUUCAUUUAUACAGGAACAAUAUUGACAGUUCAUAUAAAACCGUUAGAUUAUAUGCUUUUCAUCCAAUUUUUAAUUUAGUUAAAACCACAAGCAGCUAUAGUAUAUGUUUUCAAAUUAGAGAGAGUUAAAUUGAACAUUUGACAAGCCAUAGGGAGUUUUUUGACAUUUUACCAUAAGAAAAAACAAAUCACGCAAUUACCAAAGUAAGGAGAAAAAAGAAAAAAAAAAGUUUCCAGCCGAAUCCUUUUAUUUGUUCCCCUUUCGUAAUAUUCUCUUCCUCCUUUCUUGGUAAAAUAAUCAAACUAAACUCCUCCUUUGUGGUCAUCCAUCAUUAUGUGCUUAUCGAUGAAUUAAUAUCGGAGGAAAUCGAGAAGGCUUCACCAAAAUAUAAAUUUUAGAAAGGUAUGUUCAGUAUUGGUAUCUGAAAUGACUUCUUUUGCUUUUCCUUUUAUUCUUCUUCUUUUCGUGUGUCCAAUAAAAGUCAGUAUUAGUUCGUCUAAUAUUUAUAUAGAUGAAGUAAUUCGUCUAGUAAUUUGAUGAAAUGCUCUUUUAUGUCAUUUAAGUAAAUUUUUUCAGUUAAAUCAUUAAUUGGUUGUUCUCCUUUGUGUGACUUUAUUAUGGUUAUUGAAUUUUCAGUUUUAAUAUGUUUUUUCUUUCUUUCUUUUCUAUUUAUUCUUUUAUUUUGCCUUUUGUUAUAUUUAUGAUUGUUAUUUUUCUUUUUUGUAUUUAAUAAUGUAUAAAGUUUUGGGGGUAGUUAUGUCCACACAAGAAUAAGUUUAACACCAUUUAGCCUCCGUUAAUUCAAAAGGGGUGAUUGUUGGUUUCAAAAGUUCGAGGGGUACAAUGGUAGUUUGGCUAAACCAUGAGGGGUGUAGAUGUAAUUAUCCCUAUACAUAAAUGGGUGUAUUUCUAGGAUAUCAUCAUGGCUUAUUUUUUGCAUGAAUGACAUUUGAUGAAUCUAUUGAGAAGGACAACGAUGGGAUUUGGUUUAUACCAAUCCCAAUUCACAUCCUUAGCAGAAUCCAUGGCUUUAUGCAGACCACGAAGAUUAGGCGGACAAAUAUGAUUAAUCCAUCCUCAAAAUCUAAAGCUGCCAUGUAUAUCCUUCGUCCUAGUCCAUUUCAAAUCACCAUCUUUGCCAAAGCUUAGAAAUUCUUAAUGCUAAAUCUUCACAGCAAAAUUUAUUUGUUCAUGGGUUUGACACUAUUUUCUUGUAAUUUUUUUUUUUAGUAAGGAAGGAGUGAAAUUUAAGAAACGGAAAGGUUGUUGAGGAAUUAAAAUCCAAAAUCUCUACGUUACCGGGUCUUAGCCUUGAAUUUGACACCAUUUACUUAUCCUAAACGAUAAGCAAAGUUACGGUGCCUUAGAAACAUGAAUCUACGUCGCACUGUGUCCAUAAAUGAGCUUUUCAACCCAUUAUAUUAGUUUGCUGCGAAUUUCCAUGUAUCUUAUUUCUUGUGAACAUUCAGAACUAAAUGCUAUCUGAUUUCUUCCAAAUGGUUUCUCAUUUUUUUCCCAUCCCGGUUUGAUUUGCAUUCCAUGAAAAGAUGCAUCCCAUUUGCUUCUAAACAAUCAUUAUUGAUUAAUUUGACCUUGACGAAUCAAAUGCCUUCUAUCUAUAAAAGUAUGCAUAAUAGAAAUCAGAAGAUCACAUACUAAUCUAUGAUAAUUGCAUAAUUCUUAAAAAAUUCAUCAUUUUAUUUUGACCAAUUGGAUGAAGAAAAGAACCUUUGAUUUCAAUCCAGAAUGUAAUGCAUAAUAUAUUUUCAUUCCUCAUUAUAGAAGCUUUUAUCCAAAUGCACUGGGUAAUCAACAAAAGAUCACAUCAGCCACCGUUUUGAACUUAUCAUUCAUAUAAUUCGUUUCAAGGUGUUAUUUCAAGCAUUCGGUCAAACCCAACCCCCCCCCCCCCCGGGGCCUUUCCCAAAAAAAAAAAAAAAAGAACAAAGAAAGUAAUUGGAAACAGCUCAGGCAAAAUAGGAAAGGUAGCUUGCGAUACACUUCUAAAAAAAAAUGAAAGAAACUGGAUCGUGAUGGAAUUGUGUUUAAAAAGACACUUGGUUACUCAAAAACGAGCCCCAUUUAUAAUGCAUAAUUAAUUCAACAUGAAAGUACAUUUCAAAUUAAAAGGGUUCCAACUUUAGUACAGCAUAUGACAAAAGCAAACAGAAAUGAUAUUCCAUUAUUCAAAUUUAGUAACCUUUAUGUACUCAAGAUAAAAGCUUAAGAAACGAAUUAAGAGAACCUGAAGAGCAGGAUGGGACAUUGCACAGAAACCGCCAGUGUUAUAUAUAGGGCAAUUGUGAUUGCUAGAGCAAAUAUUGGGUUGAAAAUAUCGUUGGUGCAGGGGCUAAAUGUACUGUAGAAAUAGAAACCAAGCUUUGGGCUAUUUAUUUAUGUUUCCAUGUGGCAUUAAGGGAUUGGCUAGUAUUAUUGUUUGGUUGGCAGAGUGGUCACAUGGGAUUGAAUCCCUUAUCAGCAAUAGAAGUCAGCCACUAAGGAGGAGUCUCGUUUGAUUAACAAAAAAUUUUCCUUUGCCUCAAUAUCGUUUUUCCUUUGAUUGUUCUUAUGGGUUUAUGAUUUAUUAUCAAUUUGGAUCCAUCAUGUACUGGGAACAGUUAAGUACUAAUCUUCUUCUCCUUUCUUGUUAAUUAUUCCUAGCUUAAUUUCAUAGAGACUACGAAUAUAUGUAUUCUGGUUUGGUCAUUUUUGUUUACGUUUGACUGUAAAAGCACAGCUUUACGUGUGUGCUAUAAAUAUAUAUAUAUAUAUAUAUAUAUUAUAAGUGUUUGUGCCUAUAUAUACGUUUGGACUUGUUCGUAAUCAAUAACAAAAAAUUCUUGUUAAUUUUAAAACUAUUUCUCAUUUAAAAAUUAUGCACAGAUAUCUAGGGUAACAUUGAAGUUGGGUGCUUAAUGUUAGGUUGGCUAGGUUCUCAAAUAAUUUACACGUUUGAGUUUGGCAGAAGAGUAACCGACAACUAGGGUAACAUUGAAAGCAGAAUAUUUGACGUUCAAAAUUUUCUCUUCUAACCAUAUUCAAGAAAAAUAAAUAAAAAUUUCACAUGUGGGGGACUUGCAACGUUCUGGCAUAUGGUACCAACUAAUUGGAACGCUGCCAACAUCAUUUCCGUCAAGAAGCAACAGUAGCAGGCAGGCACACCCGAGGAUCAACAACAAGAGGCGCCCCCUCGCCCCCCAUCAUCCCCUCGCCAAAGAUCCUUCCUCAUAAUAGAAUAGGAUUUCAAAAAAAAAAAAAAAAGAAUAAAGCUAAUUAGAACGUGGAGAACUAUAGAUAUCAUCAAGAUUAAUUUUUCAAAAUCACUUCUUUGUCAAUGAAAAAGAAAAUGAAUAUGUUGGUGAAUGGUGAAUAUACGAGGUUGGUGAGAUAGUGAUAUCUGGUCAUCAACUCUCCCAACCUCCCCCUGGCAACUCAAAGGAACUUCCCCUGAAAAUUCAAAUGCUCAUUAACUCUCCCAGCCUCCCCACCGACAACUCCAAGGAUCGUCCCCCUUGAAGAUUUUAAUCCUCAUCAACUCUCCCAACCUCUCGCCUGAAGAUUUAGAUGCUCAAGAAAAAGAAUAUUGUCAAUGUGCUUCCAAUGGGCUUCAAAAAUAGUUUAGGGACUAACAAAUAAUAAACUUGAAGUACCAUUGUGAGACUUUAAAUUAGUUUCAAGGAUCAAAUAUAUAAACUGCUUAAAAAAAUAACAGAGAGCUAAGGUGAACUUUGUUUGAGAGAAGGUGUUGCAAGGUAUAGUUGACAUGAAGUAUGUCAACACAAAUGACCAAGUUACAAAUAUAUUCACAAAGAGUUUAACUCCUUCCAAGUUAAUAAAAUUUCGAGAGAUGCUCGGCAUGAUUACAAGGAAAAUGUCAGGAUCAAGCGCUUACCAUUACACCAAAAGCUAUAGUUAUUAGCAAAGACGUAACUUUAUUUCCUUAACCACAAUGGCAGCGCAAAGCACCAUACCACGUUCGACUAGCAUGAGGGGCUGCACCCCUGAGUGCCACGGGUUGGGCGGUUAGUCCCUUCGAGUCGGGAUAUGAGGAAUGUUUCUGAUUUGGCCAACAGAAAAUCAAUGCUGAUGGGAAAUGUUAAAAGUCAUCACUAACUUAUGACAAUCUAAUGGGCUACAUUCAUUUAUGAAUUUAUAUUUAGUAGUGAGUUUGUUUCUUUCUUUAGCUAGUAGUAGUUUGUUAGGAGAAUUGGCAGAGGUAAAUUUUUGCAACUUGGUCGUGGGAACUGUUUUACUGCAAAGUCACGCUUGAAUCUAAAGCGAAGUUAGACGAGAAUUUACCAGAUUUUUAGGAAUCUAGCAUUUAAUGUAACGAGGACAAUUGGUGCUGUAUGUCGAGCACCUUAUUAGUGUAUAGAGGUUCAUUUCCUCCGUCGAAAUGCACCAAAGUUCAAGAGAAGAUAAUAAAUAAAUGAACUCAAUAGUUGUGUGAGUGUUUGAGCAAACAUCUCAAGAGUAAUGCUUUCAUAGAAGAGAGUGAAGUUGAAUUUAAUAGUGUCUAGUAUAAGCUGAUUUUGUGAGUAUUAUUAUUAUGAGUAAAUCUCAUAGAAGAGAGUGAAGUUCAACUUUAUGUAACUAAAGCGUCUGUGUUUGGAUAGGAGAUUAUUUGGGAUAAUUUUUUUGAAAUAAUACCGUAACACUUUUUUGAUGUGGUGUAUAUGAGAUAGAAAGGUGGUUGAAAAUAUGUAGAUAAUGCAAAUAAAUCAAUAUAUGUAAAUAAAGUGUAAACUAAACACACAGUAGUUAUCUAUUUUGGUACAAGUUAAUUCCGGUGCAAGUUAUCUAUUUUACACUCAAGUCAAAUGCUCAAGACUAGAAUAAAACAACCCAAUUGAAAACCUUGGAAGAGUAGGACAUUGCUAAGAAACUUCACUUAAACAAUAUUCUCAAGGAACGACGAGUAGAUGUACAGGGUAGGGGCACUUGAGAUUGGUGGAGGAUAUAGAAGAGUUGAAAACUUGGUGCAAGGCUAAUAUGUACUCAAUCUCAAGCAUGGGCAACAGAUUAGUGGUUUAGUGCGUUUGCCCUAUGUGUGUGUGUGUGUGUGUGUUCUGCCUUUGUCAUAUUUGUAUAUAUCCAUACAGCCACACCAGCCAAGCACCACGGUGCCCCCAAAAGCGAUGGGACAUUUUCAUUUUCAUCUAUAGACUUUUUCAGAAAAUUUGUUUCUACCCUACCAAUUUGCAAGGCUAAUACGUACUCACAAUCUCAAGCAUUGGCAACAGAUUAGUGGUUUAGUGCGUUUGCCCAUGUGUGUGUGUGUGUUCUGCCUUUGUCAUAUUUAUAUAUAUCCAUACAGCCAAACCAGCCAAGCACCACGGUGCCCCCAAAAGCGAUGGGACAUUUUCAUUUUCAUCUAUAGACUUUUUCAGAAAAUUUGUUUCUACCCUACCAAUUUGCAAGGCUAAUACGUACUCAAAAUCUCAAGCAUUGGCAACAGAUUAGUGGUUUAGUGCGUUUGCCCCAUGUGUGUGUGUGUGUUCUGUCUUUGUCAUAUUUGUAUAUAUCUAUACAGCCAAAUCAGCCAAGAACCACGGUGCCCCCAAAAGCCAUGGGACAUUUUCAUUUUCAUCUAUAGACUUUUGCAGAAAAUUUGUUUCUACCCCACUAAUUUGUAAAUGUUUCCCCACUUAUCAAAGGGAUUUUUUUUUUUGGGUAUUGGGUAUAAGAAAUAUUUUAAUUUUUCACUUGAUAAGGCGUAGAAAAUUAAUAAUAGAAAAUUACAAUAGAGAAAUAUCAGUUACCUAAAAACUUCAUCAUUUUAUUUGUGACUGAAUUGGAUGAAGAUAAGAACCUUUGAUUUCAAUCCAGAAAUGGUAAACCUUCCCCACCCCUAUAGCUAAAUGGUAAACCUUUCCCACCCCUGUGAUACGAAACAAACAAAAUGAAUGGGCAGUCAAUGAAUGGUCAUUUUCAGAGCUUUUGAAAAGUUUUUGUUCCUUCAUGUGCACCAUAGUUCACGUAAAAUCAAUCAAGGAAAGUCCUUACAUAGAUAUAAAAAUCUAAACCAGUUGUCAAACUCGGCCCUUGAACACGCUUUCCCAGCUCAAAACACAGCAAUUCCUCGCAAGACUAAAAAACAAGAAAAGAGCUGUUUUACCUCUGAGAACUUUCUUUGUUGCUAUCAAAAUCAACUCAAGAUCCUGCAACUUCAUUGCUGAAUUCAGAAAAGAAGAAGGAAUCGCUCCUCCAGUUUAUAAUCAAAGAUCCCCUUCUUAUUUGCAACCAUCCGAGUGAGUUUUCUUAUUAAUCAUCCCUUUUCCCUAAAUUAUAUAAACAUUUAUUUAUGUUAUUUGAGUGGUAUUUUAGCGUCUUCAGGUGGAGAAUUUAUAAAAGGAAUCCACUAGUUUGUACUAAUUGCCAACUACUAAAGACAAAGCACGAAACUCCAUUGUAGAUAUAAGUUGUAUCUGGACCCUUAUGCCUAAAAAAGUUGUCAAAUUGAAUGCAUUCAUGCAGCACAUAGAUUGUUCAGAUAGUGCUUCUGGAGCUUAUAUUUUGCUAUUUGGACUACCAGAUUGCCAUUCACAUGAUUGGUACACCAAUUUAGCUUGCUUAGCUUGAUUCUUAUUUAGAAAUUAUGAUACCGGAGUUAUUCAUGGUAUCAUAUUACAUUUGUUCUACAUCCGUAGGUAAUUUGGGAUUCUUAUUGUAUUAUCGCCCAAGUGGUAUUAAUAUUGUGUUAGUCAGAACGGUAAGUUACUCACUGAUGAUUUCUAAAUUUCAUAAACUUUUCUUAUUGGCCUUUAGUUUGAAUAAAAUACAGAAAAUUCAACAUUUAUGUCCUCAUUUUGAUUCUCAGUAGCAGGAACAGUUUUCCGGGUAAUCCUAUACAUUCUCGGUAACUGCAAUUUGACAAAAUUUUCCAGAUUAUAAAGGUACGGACUGUACAGGCUCAAAUCAUGUUUCUAAGCAUUAACAGAUUUCACGUAUAUAUGCUCGCAAUUACCUUCUUGUCAAGUGUUGAUUGUCUGACAUCGACUAUGUUUCCAGUUGGGAUCCUCUACGCCGCCAUUUGAUGUCAAAUUCAGUGUCAAUCCCACUUAUCAUAUGAUGGUUGAAGAAAUUUAAAUAAAUAGUACAUAACAAAUUAAAUAAACAGGACACUUGGCAUAAAUAUAGAAGUGGCACUGAAUUAUCACUGAAAAAGUGGCACUGAGGAUCCCGUAUGGUAUGUUUCAUAGCUUUCAUCUAUAUCUUGCAAAUUUAACUUAGGUGUAUGAACAAGAUUUUCAUUUUCUUCAUCUAUGACUGCUUCUAGAUUAAACUUGGUUAAGAGCCAAUUUUGAGCCAAAGGAAAUUUUCAAUUUUCUAUGUAAAAUUUAUUGAGAAAUUUUAAUUUCAUCCCAUUAAUUUGCAUGAGGAUUAUAUAUAAUUUUCCGAGUUAAUGAUGUACAAAAAGGUUUAAGCCUCUGCUUUGUUAAAGUCAACUCAUGAAGUUGGCAUUACGCGGGAAUCAUCUUCGGUAUAGAUACAUUACUUAUGCAAGUACGUAUAUUCUUACAUCUUUUUCUCCAACUUCGGUGAGCUCUAUCUUCAUUCUUCAGGAUUCCUAACAACAAAAGUAGCAGUGUAUGCUUGGGCAUACACUUGGGCUUCCCGCAUGGGAGUCCUUUCUGAAAACAAAAAAUUGUUCAUCAUUCAUGUUUCAUCCAUCUUUUAAACAGGAAGUAUAGAAACACAGAACGGUUAGUUACUGAUAAUUUCUGAAUUUCAUAAACUUUUCUUCUUGGUCUUUAGUUUGCACAAGACCUACCCAAAAAAGUUUGCAUAAGAGAUAGAAAAUCCAACAUUUGUGUCCUCAUUAUGAUUCUUAGCAACAGGAACAUUCUUGGUAACUACAAUUUGACCAAAUUUUCCACAUUGUUAAAGUACGGACUACACAGGCUCAAACUAAAUUUCUAAGCAUUAAUAGAUUCCAUAUAUAUGCUCGCAAUUACCUUCUUGUCUAGCUAAGUGUUGAUCAUCUGACGUCGACUGCGCUUCAGAGCUUUCAUCUAUAUCUUGUAAAUUAACUUUGGUGUAUGAAUAAGAUUUUGCUUUUCUUCAUCUUUGACUGCUUCUACAUUCAAUAUGGUUUGGAGCCAAAUUUUAGGCUUUACUUUAUCAUUCAGAGAAUUUUAAUCUACUGUCUGAUCAAAAGGCAUGUUCUGGUGCAAGUUAACUGUACCCAAGAAACAACAAAAUGUCAUUAGUCACUCACAAGGUAUUUUUUUUUUUUUAAAAAAAAAGAUUUUUGGGACAGUUAUCUUGCUCGGACCUUAAGAUUCACUCCAAUAGGAAUCAACCUUGACAGUUAAAUUAGCUGAUCCUUCCUUUUAAAAAAAAAAAAAAAAAACUUCUUUUAUGGUGUAAAUGGAAGGAUUCGAACCUAAGACCUCUUACUCACACUUCCUCUCCCAACCCAUACCUUCCCCAGUUGGCUGAUCCUCUUGAUGUUUUCUCCUGCAGCAAUUCUUCAUUUUGUUAUACGUACUCAACAAAGAUGUCUAGAGACAGAUCUCACCAAAUUGCCAUUCGCAUUGAUCAAAAGCUUUCUGACCUAUUGGAUACGUCGGAGAAGCCAUCGAUCUUCAAAAUCCAUGGUCAACUACGAAGUGAAAAUGAAGAGGCAUACGAACCAGAAGUGGUUUCCAUCGGACCUUAUCACCACGGUAAGCCUAAACUGAAAGAGAUGGAGAAGCAUAAGCUAAGGUACUUCAAAGAGAUUCUUCGUCGUAGAGGUGAGAGUGCUGAGAAAUACAUCAUAGCUUUGGCUGAUCUUCAAGAUCAAGCUCGAAGGUGUUACGCAGAAGAAAUCAAUCUUAGUAAUGAUGAUUUUGUUGAAAUGCUAUGCCUUGAUGGCUGCUUUGUCAUCGAGUUCUUGAGGAAAUGUAGACAUCCAGGAUCACACUGGCAGAAUGACCCCCUUUUUCAGAUGCUUUGGCUACGCACAGCCACUGUGAAUGACCUAAUAUUAUUUGAGAAUCAGUUGCCCUUUUUUGUCCUGCAGAAACUGUUCGAUAUGACCAAGUCACCAAGAGGAGAAGGGAACCUUAUUGACCUAGCUAUUCAUCUCUGUCUGGUUGGGAACUUGCCCAAUCCAGGUCUAAAUUCUCAUUCUGAAAUCUUCGAACUUUAUAAUGCGGUUCAUCUUCUUGGCCUCGUGCACAAAAUUCUGUCUGCCUUAUUUUCUGAAACACUUUCCUCAACCAUGAAUUCCAAUCCUACAGACUCAUCUGUGUUCGUAAAAUCAGCUGGUGAGCUCCGACAAAGUGGAAUCAAGUUCGAGAAGGCAGAGGAUGGUAAAUCCUUGUUCCAUAUCACUUUCGAAAAUGGUGUAUUUAAAAUCCCUCCUUUAGUUGUGGAAGAUCAUACAGAAUCCGUCUUCAGAAACUUGAUUGCAUAUGAAGAGUAUAUGUCUAAUCCAUCUGAGACAUGGAAGUGCGUAACUGAUUACAUAAUCUUCAUAGAUUGUCUCAUAGAUUCCCCAUCCGAUGUUGAAACGCUUCGCAGACAUGAUACCAUCGAGAAUCGGUUAGGUAGUGAUGAAGCACUCUCUACAAUGUUUAACAAGCUAAGCAACCAUGUUCAUGUUGGCGGGAGAUUCUGUUACACCAAAAUUUUUGAUGAUGUGGACAAGUACACUCGCAGGCGCUGGCAUAUUUGAAGGGCGCACCUACUGAGCAAAUAUUUUAAUAACCCGUGGGCUUUCAUUUCGUUUCUGGCUGCAUGUGCCUUGCUUCUCCUAACAAGUGUGCAGGCCAUAUUUUCCAUCCUACAGUAUACUUCGGCUUAACGAAAUAGAAGUAAGCUAGUUGUGUAAUUUGUUAGUCAUUGAACUUAAAAUACGAAUAAAGUCAUUGUACUUGUAACAAAUUCUUGAUCUGUAUGAUGUAAAGAACUCUGCUGUCUUGUAUAUUACAUGAACUCCUAAAUGCAUGUUCCGCUAAUUAAUAAUGAAAAUGAUCUUUUCUGUAAUAUAAUCUACAACCAAACAUUAGAAUGGCAACGCCACAGCUGCCUCAUGGACCAUAGUGAGUAUCUAUAGUGAGUGUGUCUGUGUAUGACCAUAGUGAGUGUUACUAGCAAAUGCAAAGGAUGAAGAUGAGAACCCAAUAAAGCACGAAAGGUUAAGCGCACAAGAUUUUAAGCAAACUGCAAAGAAAGAGUUAAAGAAUGAACCUUUAGCAUUCAUCUGGCAAAAAAAUCCUUGGCAUACUAUUGUAAAUAAUAGAAGUUAGACACCGUUAGAUCGAAAUUCUACCAAUAUUAGUGUACUGAAAACAUAUAAUACUGCAGGAUCUAAUUGUUACUCCUGCGGCUUAAAGAAGAAAACAGAGAAAAGACUCGGUUGAUUUUCAAACAAAACAAACCCAUUAAAGUGCACUUCAUUAAUUGCUUGUUAAUUGUGGUUCCUGAAAUCUUAUUUAAUUGAGAAAUUUCUAAUUUUGUGAUGAAUUUUAAAAAAAUUCUACAAAAUAGGUGAUUUUGGCAAUGAAUUCCGUCCGGGGGUCUUCGCAUUCGUAGAGCUCGCAUUUCACGAAUGCGAGAUUAGAAUAGAGCUCGCAUUCGCGAAAUGCGAGCUCUACUUAUUGAGCUCGCAUUCCGCAAAUGCGAGCUCUAAUUUAAUUUUUUUUACUAGCUCCCCCAGAGCUCUCUAGCAGCCUCUAUAUUCGUAAAAAAAGAAAGGAACUCCUGGGUCAGAGAAUGAAUUCCACUUCCCUGAUUAGCACCAAUCGUCAUGAACUGGAAAGGCUAGCUCAGAAGAUGGCUAGGCCCCUGUUAGCACCAAAAGCGUUAGGGGGCCCGCACUGGAGGCAUCAGAGACUUCAAUGUUAGUUUUCUUGAACUGCAAAUCUUCCAAAAAGAAAAAAAAAUUACACUUGACUCUAUUUCUUUCAGAAAUAGCGGGCAGGCAAAGCAAAGAAACGAAGCUGACUCUCAUGAAUGGAUGUCCGAGCUAGAGAAUUUUUUCCAGAAAAUAGUAAGAGCUAAAUGCGAGCUCCUAAAUGUUUUUUGUUUAAAUUUUGCAAAUAGCUCGCAUUUGAUAAAUUUGUCCUCCAAAAAUUGUAUUUAACUUUUUUGUUAGAUUUCGCAUUUAUAAGUAUGACUUUCAAAAAAUUAAAUUCAAACUUGUUAGGAAAAAAAUUUUAAAUGAAAUUUACGAAAUUUAAAAUGAAAUUCAAACUUAAUAUAAUUUACUAUACAUGCAUAAUUCUUUUAUAAUAAAAAAAAUUGGUAAUUGUAUGGUUGGAAAUACGUUAUUUUAUUAUAAUACAUUUAAAUAGGGGAAAAAGUACACAUGCAUAGUUCUAUUUGUUACUUUUCAUUAUUAUUAUUAUUAUUUUUUUGCUUGCAGGUGCUUAUUGUAGCAGGAACUAGUACCACAUCAAGGGCGUUGAGCUGGGUUAUCUCCUUGCUACUGAAGCAUAGGCACGUUUUGCAAAAAGCCCAGGAAGAGAUUGACUCUUUUGUUGGUAAAGAGAGAUGGGUAGAAGAAUCUGAUAUCAAGAAUUUAGUCUACCUACAGGCCAUUGUCAAAGAGACAAUGCGACUACAUCCACCAGCACUUGUACCUAUGCCACGCCAAGCCUGAGCUCGCAUUCCCGGAAUGCGAAGACCCCUAUUUGCAGAACACACUCCAAGAACCGCCCUCGUUGUAGAAUUCUUUUUUUUUUUUCCAUCAUAAACUAAGAAUUCACCCUAUUUAAUUAGCCACUGCUUCCACAUUGGAUAGAAUGCUACGUAAAGCAUAAAGACUAAGGGUCCAUUUGUUUCGGUUUCCAGAAAAAUAUUUUCCUAAUUUCCCGUGAUUGGUUGCACAAAAGUUACUGAAAACAUUUUCCUAUGUAAAAUAUUUUCACUCAUCUUAUGGAAAACAACUUCCCUUCCAAACUUACUGAAGUAGUUUUCCGAAAUGCAUGCAUCCCGCCUGUAAUAUGUUCCAAACUUACUGAAACAUCUUGUAGUAUGUUCUUUUUUUUUUAGUGUAAACAGGAGGACUCGAACCCAAAAUCUCUUCCUUACACUCCCUCCCCCGUACCACCUAACCCAACCCAACCCUCCCCCUAGUAUAUUCAAAAAAAAAAAAAAUCUCAUCCUGCUCAUCCUAUGCUAGUAAUUAAUUAUGUAUAAUAGAGACAUUCUGUUCUAGAGAAACUUUCAGCAGUGAGAGUGCAAGAUAUAUGUCACAAUAAGCAUUGCAUGUGAUUGAUAUUUGACACUAAAUGGCCAGCAAUUUGUUUAUUGCUUAAGGAGGUAUUUUUUAUUCAUAUAUACAUUUCUCCAAGAUUUUUUAAAGUUAAACAAUGAGAUAAAUUUUCUUAUUUUGCAUGAGAAGAAGUAUGUAGUUAUAAUGUGUAGAAAGUAAAGAUAGAGAUAAAAGUGAAAAUAUUUCAAAAGUUAAACAAACACCAUAAAAAUGAAGUAAGAAAAUAUUUUCAAUAAACUAACCAAACACCUGAAAAUGAUGAAAGGGAAAUGAUUUUCAUGGAAAAUUACUUCCACAGAAAAUAUUUUCCAAAGGAAAACAUUUUACUUCCAACCAAACAGACCCUAAAUGAAAAAAAGAAACAAUACAAUAGGUAAAUCUUUCAUGCUUGCUAGUACCAAAAUUAAGUACUUGCGCAAAUUUUAAGUAGUUUCUUAGCUGCAAAUGAGAAGGUUUUAUCUAAGAAAUUUUGUCUCCAAUGUUCUGACCUUUGUCAUGCUCUCACUUCGCGAAGCAAAGCAUAUGCUAAGGAAUGAAGGGCUGAGACGUGUGAACUUGUUUAAAGAAUUAAAGGGCUUAAACGUUGGCUGUUCUCUUCUCUUUUCUUCAUUGGACUCAGUCGCUCACUAUUUUCUCUCUACAAACGAAAAAUUUCCAGCCAUAUUAAAUUUAUUGGAGAAGAACAGCUAUGAACUUAUAUAUCAAAAUUCGUGAAAAUUAAAAUGUUUAAGAGUUUAUACGUCUUCUAUGAAUGAAUACCUUCAAGUACAGAUUAUCUUCUGCUGAGUACAUUAAUAAGUUCAAAGUAAUUUUUUGUACAAGUGUGGAGGAAAAUAAAUUGUUUUUGUAUAUUGUAAUAUUGGAGAAAAGAACAAAGUGGGUAGACUAUUAAUUACUAAAAAAAAAAUCAUUUUUCAACUAUUUAAAUUUGUAUACCAAAAGCAGAAAAAAAAACUUUUAUUCUUCAUCGCGAGCAUAAGAUAACAGCCAAUGUUCAAUAACGCCACUCUUAAAUUUUCUUUUAAUACGAUUUACUACAUUUUUCUACGUAAAAUUAGACUUAUGCCACUAGAUUAAUAUAUCCAAAUGGUGACAACAUGGACUACGUAAGUGCACCAUAAUAGUAUAAAGUGGUCUUACCAAUAAAAAUAACAAUAAUAGUAUAAAGUGGACUGCCUAUGAGCUUCCCAUCCCAAAGGAUAUAAUUUCCAGCGGCUUUCGCCAGCUUUUUUUCUGUGUUUCUGAUCAAGAUCGCUACACCUUAGACUCUCCUCUUGUCCAGGUAAAUUUUUCGAGUAUUUCUCUGCUGUGAAAUAUAUUGGAAAUCUGACUAGCGAUCGAGUUGAAAAAAAGGAAAUGUGGAAAAGAGAAAAAGAGUGCCCAUAAAAGCAAAAAAUUGUAGUGAACCUCUGUCUCAACAUCAGAAAACUGAACACUCUUUUCAGGGAUUGACAUAUUUCAAACUCCCCAUUGUUCCAACUUUGAAGUGCUUGAUGUGGGAGCCAACAAGAAAGUUUCACCAAAACCUUAACACGAAAACAAAGAUACAGCGAAAUUUGAGGGGAAAAUAAUUUAAUCUCCUAGAAAAGGGAGGAAAAGCAAAAUUCAAAUGCUUACCCAUAAAAAGAAAAAACAAAUCAAGCAAUUACAAAAAUAAGGGGAAAAAGAAAAAAAAAAAAGAAGUUACCUGCCAUGCCAUUAUAUUAUGGCCUUUUACAGAUGAAUUUAUUUUUGUAAACUUUUCUGCAUGAAGAUUAAGAUGUAGUUCAAAAAGUCAAAACCCCAAAGUCGAUGAGUGAAAACCAAAAAAAUAGAAUCUGGUUGCUGGAGGGUGAAGAGCAAAAACAAAAAGAAACCUAUCCCUUAUAGCUUCAUCAGUGACGAUCACUGACAAUAUGAUGAUCACCAAUGUAUUGUGCAUGCCUGUUCGUAUUUGUGUGAUUUGUGACAAGAAGUUAAAACAAUUAUAGCUGAAUUCUUUGGUUGCCAAGAGUUUAUUCUAUAUAGAUAUAUUGGUAUUUGAGAAAAAUGAAAAAUGGCUAAAAAUAUUUUCAAAACAAAAUUGCAUAACAGCUUAAAAUUGUGCCUGAUUUCGUGCUCAUCUGAGCUUCUGUAAAUCUUUUGACUCGUUCCUCCUCCUUCACCCAGCCGAAUCCUUUUAUGCGUUCCCCCUUCCUAAUAUUCUCUUCCUAAUAUCCUUUUAUGCUUAUCGAUGAACUAAUAUCGGAGGAAAUCUAGAAGGCUUCACCAAAAUAUAAAUAUAAAUUUUAGAAAGGCAUGUUCAAUAUUAGUAUCCGAAAUGACUUCUUUUGCUAUUUUUUGCUUUUCCUCCUAUCCUUCUUCUUUUUAUGUGUCCAACAAAAGUCAGUAUCAAUUCGUCUAAUAUUUAUAUAGAUGAAGUAGGUAAAGAGUAUUCGUCUAUUAAUUUGAUGAAAUGCUCAUUUGAAUGUGCUCUUUUAUAUCAUUUAAGUAAAUUUUUCCAGUUAAAUCAUUAAUUGGUUGUUCUCCUUUGUGUGACUUUAUUAUGGUUAUUUAAUUUUCAGUUUUAAUAUGUUUCUUCUUUCUUUUCUUUUCUAUUAAUGAUGGGUGCAAUUAAUGAAUGAUAGUGCUAUUUCAGUUAAAAGCUAUCUUUUAAUGGCUUUAAUUCUCGAGGUUAUUCAUAUAUAUAUAUAUAUAUAUAUAUAUAUAUAUAUAUAUAUAAGGGUUAAUUGCAUUUACCUCCCCUAUAUUUUGACCAAACUACUAAUAGACGACCCCAAAAGCUUUGGAAUAUAACAGUCGCCUCGCUUUGACUUUGCAUUCAUAUAACACAUAACCCCUUCCCGUUAGUGUACAAACGGUUGUUAAUCCAAUCGCUUAAAAGAAUAGUAUGAAAAUCCAAUAUAGCCCUUCCAGAUAUACCGUGUGUAAUUCCUAUUUAAUGUAAUUCCAUUUUAACAAUUUUAUAGUACUAUGUAUUAAACCAUAAUAAAAAGCAAAAUCUUCUAGAAAGAAAGGAAAGAUCAUAAUGAAAUACACCACUAGCCACCCUUAGAGAAUAGAUUUAAAAAUAGAGAUAUCUAGCCACCGACAAAGCACAGAUGUAGAAAUAGAGACAUAGAGUGACGAUGACAAAAAGUUGUUGCACUCUCAAUAUAAACACCAUCACCAUAAAAUUGAAAACACAAUUUCACAAAUUCUCAUUAAAUCCGGAUUUGAAUCAGAGGAUCUGGUUUGCCUGCUACAAUCAAUUCAUAUUCACUCUAUCAAUACUCAUGUUGUGGGCAUACAUAGUCAAGCACUAUAUAUUCUUCUAGAGUUUAAAAACAAAAAAGGAAGAGAAGAUAAAUCCGAUGGUUGUGGUCUUGUGGGUUAGAAUGGGGAGGAAGAAUAAGACUGGGAGAAGUGCUCAUAAUUAACAAUGGAUUUUGCAAAUUAGAUAAGAUUAGGUAUUUACAUGAGUAGAGAAUAGGUAAUUCAUGGUUAGAAGGGAUGAAUGGUAGAACAGUCAUGGUGGAUUUCUUUUGGUGGUGCUGUCAUGUACUUGUGGUGUCAUUUUUGGUGGUGUGGUGGUCUAGGCAUAAUUGGUUUUCUUUAGCCAUUUUGUUUUUAAACCUUGGCCACUUAUUUAUUCUUUUAUCUGGUCAUCAACUCUCCCAACCUCCCGCUGGCAACUCAAAGGAACCCCCCCCAGAAUGUAAUGCAUAAUGUAUUGUGUGAGUACUGUUUAAUUGGUAAUUGUGUGAGUACUGUUUAAGCAAACAUCUCAAGAGUAAUGCUCUCACAGAAUAGAGUGAAGUUCAAUUUAAUAGUAUCUAGUAUAAGCUGAUUUUGUGAGUAUUAUUAUUAUAUGCACUUUUAAGUGUAAUAAAAUUGUUCACUUGCCCUUCUAGAUUAGUGGACUUAAUCUAAUAAUUUAGUAUUAAAAACUACCACAAUCCAACCGUUGCAACGGCCAACAUGUGCUGACAUUCUCUUGUGUUGGUAACGGGUGAAUAUACAUACAUAUACAUAUACAUGUAUAUAUACAUACACACAUAUGUAUGUGUACACAUACAUACAUACACCUGUAAUCAUCACGUGCUUUCUCAGGGAAACUUGACUUACACAACAUUCUGAAGGAACCGGUGAAAUUGUUGAAUCGGUAUCGAACCAUUCGAACCGUUAAAUCGCAGUUUUCAAGCUCUUCCCCAAUGGCUCAAGUUUGGACCUUUUCCUAACGGGCCUCAAAUGUGAUUUCUACUUAAUCAAUUAUAUUGAGCAGACCCAAGUCCAAAACAAGGUGGUGUUGACUUUUAGUCCAAUUCAUAUCCCAACUACCGCUAAUGUGUAAUUCGUAACAUUAAACAAACAUAAAAGAUUUCAAAGAAACAAAUUGGAGUCAUGGUGGAAUAGCAAAGGACAUGAAUAAAUUAAAUCUAAUCAAAAUUUCGUACAUAAUACAAUUAACGAAGUCAAGAUAUUUUUUGAGGAAAUAUGUUUUAAUUCAUGGUGUAGUUUAAGUUGUAUUAGAAACUAAAAUAAUCUCUUCAUAUGUGUGAAUUUUUCAAGGUAUAAAUUUUUUUUUGCUUUUGUUUCAAUACAACUAAAAUAAAUAGUUUACGUUAAAAAAUUUACACUUUAUAAAAGUUUAACCUUAUUUUAUUUUUUAUUGUUGUUAUAAAUUUCAUAAGUAGGAUAAUAUAAGGGUAGUAUUGGAACAAAAGUUUUAUCUUUCUUGUAUUUCCUCCAAAGGGGUUAAAAUGUUACAAGAAAUAUCAAUUCAAGAAAGGUAAGUGAGAUUUUAAAAAUCUCAGGGGAACUGAAUGAUAUUAUAAGAAACCUCAGGGGAGGUUUCUGAAAUUAUCCCAUGAAUUUUUCAACUCAUUAUAUUAAUUUGCUGCGAAUUUCCAUGUCUCUGAUUUCUUGUGAACAUCCAUACUAAAUGCAUGAUGCUAUCUGAUUUCUUCCGAAUGGUUUCUAAUUUUUUUUUCCCCAUCUCGGUUUGAUUUGCAUUCCAUCGAAGAUGCAUCCCAUCUGCUUCUAAACAACCAUUACUCAUUAAUUUAACCUUAAUGAAUCAAAUACCUUCUAUUUAUAAAGUACACGCAUAAUAGAAAUCAGAAGAUCAUAAACUAAUCUAAUGAUAAUUGCAUAACUCUUGGAGCCAUGUAAUGCUAUGCAUAUAUAUAUAUAUAUAUAUAUAUAUAUAUAUAUAUAUAUAUAUAUAUAUAUAUAUAUAUAUAUAUUUAUAUAUAUAUAUUUGGUGGCACAAACGUAGUGUAAUAAUACACUACUAUUGUUGAGUUCAGUCAGUUGCCUUGCUGGUUUUUAACCACAGUCACGGCAGGACUCGUGAAUCGUGAUCUAACUUGGGGCAACUCUUUCCUAUACGUUCUUGGGACGACUCUUCCAUCAGGGUCCACGGGUCCUAGAUAGCCCUUUUUUCUUUUUCUUUUGGUACUGAAAGGAAAUUGGGUCCUAGAUAGCUUUAUUAUUUGUUAACUUACAUCAGGCUUCUUAAGAUGCAUUUUCUAAUUAAGUGAGACAACUGAAAAAUGUUCUAACAAGUGGACUAAUAAAUCAUUUUGUGACGACAUGGAAUUAGAAGAUCAUUGAUAGGGUGUAAAUUGUUGGUUAUUUUAUUGUUAAUUUUCCCUUUUAUCCUUGCCAAAUAUUGUUUUAAUUAUUAAUAUUUACUUAUAUUUGGUAUUGGACCCAAUUUCAGAGAUUGAAGCAGAAAAUUACCAAAAAGGAGGGACUUGUUGGGAAAAUGCAGACUUCUAAGGGCUUCAACCUUUGGGUCCUUGAAUUGGUGGGAACCACAAGCUAGUGCAAGGCAUUUAGUCAUUUGGGCUUUUCAAAGAAAACAACGUAGAGAGACUUGGAACAACAAGUACUUUGGAGGCUUUGUCCACAUGUGUGGGGACCACAGGAAAUAGCUUUUAGGCUUCUUUCUUUUGGCUUUUUAAGGAAGACGUACAGAAGCAAAAAGGGAUCCCUAGUUUUAGUGUAGUUUUUAGUUUAGUUUUAGUUUCCUUUCUUUCUUUCUUUUGACUGGCCUCUGACACACGCCAGGUGUUCGACAAUAUUCCCCAACGGGAAAAACAUCUUUUAUUCCUUGCUUUCUAGUAAAAACCGCCAUGCCUUUGCAAUCCAUUACUUCGUGUGGUGAUUUAAUUAUGCGGCGUGGCUAAGCCUUCCUUCUAGUCAAGGGGACAACUGACGAUUUGGUUCGACAAUUAUUGUGAGAUCGAAUCUGUUUUAAUUAUUUUCUUCAUUUAUUGGUAUUUGUAUGUUCCUUGAUUUUAAUUGCUGUGGCCUUGUGUAUGAUUGAUUAGUGCGCAAUAAUUAAUUAUUCAUAUAGGCUAUUUUCGCUAAAUAGGGGUAAUUGAAUCCGUAAUUGUUCGUUAUCUCUAUUUCAGUAGCAACUGGCGUAAUUGGGUUUAUGUCAGGGGAAUAUACGAUCUAGCUUAAACAAACCCUCGUAGCGUGUUUGUUAGUUAGGAUUGGGCCUUUCUAAUUAUUAAUGCAAUCUAGAAAUUAAUUCCUACGGUCGUACCUAGGGUUGUUUUUUGGUUAGAGAAAUAACUAACGGUCGUACCUUAGCUAUCGAUAAAUUAAGGAAAGGUUGGUUGUUUAUCGCGUGCAUGACAACUAUAACCAAUCUAUUAAUAAAAGUUGGAAUUAUCUGCGAAUCAAUGAUCAGUGCAUGAACCAUUUCUGAAGUGUACCCUUGGCUAGAGUUUCUCUUAAUUAUUUCUUUGAAUUAAUUACUUUCUGCAUUUAAUUUGUUUAAUUGACAUUUAAUCUCAAAACCCCCUAUACUUUGAACUCUAGAAGAAACGAACUAUCUCCAGUCCCUGUGGAUUCGACCCUGCUCACCGCUAUAUACAAAAUCUGUAUUUUUCUUGAGUAGGUAAUUAUUAUUGCACAGGCUGACGACCUGUCAAUCAUCUUGUCCUUUUUCCGGUGGACCGACAAAAUGCUAGCUUCAAAUUAGGACUAGGUUUUUCUUGAAAAGGACUAGGUUUGGGAUUGGGGCCAAAGAUAUUACUUAACCAAGUAAACAUUCCCCUACCUAGAAUAUAUGUUGCUUAAAAGACCAAGACAAACCUGCAAGACGUUCUUUCAUAAUAUGCUAGCCGGACGAAGUUCGUCAAAGUUCCUCUGUCUUUAAUAUACGAAUUAUCCCACACGAGGGUAGGCAAUUAAAUGGUGGACAGAUAUUACAAGCUAAAUUAUGCCUUAAACAUGUAAACUACCAAUCAGUCACAAAUGUUACCCAAAAAAAAAAAGGGAAAAACAAAAGAUGUGCAUGGAAAAGCAAAAAGCAAAGACAUACAAUUGUUUAUUACUUUAUUAACUUUUAAUGAUCAAAGACCAUAAGGGUGGAUGUAUGAGAUAAGCCAAGAGCAAAUGCAAAUGAUUGCACUGAGUACUCGACUUUAGUCACCAUGAGAGUUUUUACAAAAACCCAAGCCUUUACUUUGAGAGUCUUGAAGUAUAUAUUCCAACUUUAGCACAGCAUAAGACAAAAUCAAACACAAAAGAUUCCUCUAUUUAACUUUUUUUAACUUUAAGAUUCUUGAAGUAUUGUACUUGAGUCAGAAGCUUAAGAUAAGGAUAAAAAAAAACAUGAAGACUACAACGUCGAAAUUGCGAGCGAUUAUAUAUAUUACAUAUAGGGCAGUUGUGAUUGCUAGCUAGAGGAAAUAUAGGAGCUCAAAACCACGCAUUGGUAACAGGUUAGAGUUAAACUUAAUUGCUUGUUAAACUUAAUUAUUAAUCUAAAACAGCGGUACUAAUGAUUUUUUCCUUAAUUUCAGCAAGAGAUCGAUUGUAUUACUCAACACAAACAAAGAUCAUGUCCACCGACGCCAGAACUGCCCGAAUUUCUAAUUGUAUCCGUGAAAAGCUUUCUGGGCUAUCAGAUACUGACAUUAGGGUGGCAUCAAAUGAGCGAUGCAUAUUCAAGGUCCGUGAGAGAAUACAAAGUCAAAUUGAAGGGCCAUAUGAACCACAAAUGGUUUCAAUCGGACCUUAUCACCGCGGUAAGCCGGGGUUGCAAUUAAUGGAAAAGUAUAAGCUGAUUUACUUGAAACAGCUUCUUGAGCGAACAGGUGAGGAAAAUCUAGAGAUUUGCGUUGUGGCCAUGGCAAAUCUUGAAGGAGUAGCUCAGAGGUGGUACUCCGAUGAAAGGAUCAGUCAUGAUGGUGACGACGGCUUUGUGGAGAUGAUGCUUCUUGAUGGCUGCUUCAUACUCGAGCUGGUAUGGAAAAUUAAUCACCCCACACAAUCUACAGAUGGCAUUUUAUCGGACGCACUAUUCAUAGACCUAUUAGGAAUCGAAAAUCGAGUCCCUUUCUUCAUCCUUGUUGAAUUGUUUCACAAGACCAACUCUAACUCUGGUGCCAGCAGCAAAUUUAAUGAUUUGGCUCAGCGUCUAACUGAUUUCGUAAUUCUUGCUUGUGACAGCAAAGAGAAUGAAUAUGUUGUUGAUGAUGGUCAGGUCAUUCAUCUACUUGACCUUGUCUACAAAGCCCGGAUCUCUUCGUUUGCUGCAAAAUUUAUUGCUCUUGGUGCCAGGAUUGGUAUUCCGGAGGAUGAUCCUUUCUCACUGUAUCAUAUAACUUCUGCCAGUGAAUUACAAGAAAUUAAUGGGGUUGAGUUCGAAGAUAGUGGGAAAGGACCAUGGCUUGAGAUUACUUGGGAAAAUGGUGUGGUAAAAAUCCCUCGUUUUAUGGUUCAUGUUGAUACAGAACGUCUGCUCAGAAACUUAAUUCGCUACGAACAGCAUUACACCAGCCAUCAUGAGGGCACGAGGGAGCAUGUCUAUGAUUAUGCAAUAUUAAUGGGAAGUCUCAUAAAUUCUGCUACGGACGUCGAGGUGCUGCGUCGCAUUAAAAUUAUUAUCAACAAGUUGAAUGAUGAUCAGGCUGUGUCUACCAUGUUUCGUCGGGUCAGCGGAGGUAUUUACCCCGGCAAAGGCUUUUGUUACGCCGGUGUAUUCAAUGAAGUGGAAAAGUAUGCCAAAAGCCGUUGGCAUAUCUGGUGGACGAAGCUCAGGAGGACCUACUUCAACACCCCCUGGUCCCCCAUUUCAUUUGUUGCUGCAGUUGUUGCGCUUAUCCUCACUUUUCUCCAGACCUUUUAUGCCAUACGGCCUGCGGGAAAAAAUUAGUAGUAACAAAACUACUAAACUAGUCAUAUCGGCCACAUGCUAAGUGCGUUUGUUUGGUCUGAAUAUUGUUUGUCUUUCUUUUUCAACACAACCUAAAAGACUUCCAUCACCAUCCAUAAGUUGUGCUAUCAGUCAAGUUUCUUGCAUUUUCAGUAUCUCAUGGAGAAGAAAUAAAAAUCGUGUGUGUUUGUUUUGGUUUUGAUAAUAUGUAAUGUUUUUAUUAAUAUUAAUCCUCGGAUACAAUAUAUCUCUGCUUUCACUGUUUCAAUGUCAUCAGUUCGCCUGGCUUGGUAUCAUCAGUUACCCAAUAUGACUUUUUCUAAAGUUAUUUUUAGUUCACAGAUUGUGCAAGUAUCUCUAUUUUGCUGCAUGCAUGGAAAUCAUUUCGAUCAGAGGCAGGAGAAAAUUGAAGAAUCCUCAAAAGUUUCUGCACUAGCUCCUUAAUUUUCUAAUGUCUCUAGUUGCUUUUCGUAAAGAUUUACACCAGCUCACUUCUCCAAUAAACAAAUCUUGAUACAAUAAUGCUACACCAAAACCGAAAGCUGAUAUAUACUUUUCUUUUCUUUUUUUUGGAGCAAAGGCUGAUAUCUACUUACAACUCUAAAAAAAGAAGAAUAAUGAAACUACCUAUUUUUUAGAUUUUGUGUUUUGUUUUCCAUAUAAACACAUGCAACCCUAUAACAAAAAAGUAAUCAGUUAGAUGUUUGACAAAUACACGCUUAGUGGGCUAAGUUUUCAAAUGCUCUCCCGUCCCAUUAAAAGUGUCAUCCUUUUCAUUUUAAAAUGUCACGAAAUAUUUGUCAUGUUAAAAAAGUUAGAAUACCUUUUAGUCCUUCUUUCAAUAGAACUUUUCUUUUUAAUCAUAUGCAUAUUAUCAUUCAAAUUUAAAUUUAAAUUGAAAAAAAAGUACAAACAUCACAAUCAAAUCACUAUUUUUUAAAAAGUUAAAUUCUCGAAACAUGACUAAAUAAUUGGGACGGAGGUAAUAAUGUACAUGUUUGAAUCGAACAAGAAGGGCAACACUGAAAGCGCAAUAUUUGCUAGGAAAAGAAAAAAUAAAUAAAUGAAAGCAUUUACAUGUGCGGAAAUACUAAAAAUUAGGACAAAAAAUACUAGUUGGGAAGGUGCAAGCUCCAAUUUUCUUUAGACGUAUUUGGAAGUACUCCUACAAAAUAUAUACUAGUUGGGAAGGAAAUCCGACCCUAAUUUAUUUUACCACAAAACACAGUCAACAAGAAACUACAGCCCGUUUUCAAUUUCCAGAGAGAGAGAGAUCUUAAUUAUAGCAUUUGGAACGGAAACGCUUAAAAAAUGAAGAACUAAGCCCACCCCAUUUGUCUUCUUAUUGUCUCUCUGCUAGCCAUGCAACAAAGUCCAAUAUAAAACGAAAAUUGGAUGUCAAUGACCAAUAACAUAUUAGCGACAAAUUGAGUUCAACUGCAUUCUCAUCGUUAAAUUUCCCACUUAACAAAGAAUUACUCCUACCGAGAUUUCUGAAGAAAAUUAAGGCCUUUAUGUAGACCCCAAUUUUUAAUUUUUAUUUUUAAAAGUCUGACUAAGAAUGUUGCAAUUAUAUUCCUCAGAGAUGGCCUUGGCCUAGAAAUCUAGAGUACAACGAUCAAAAAACAUAAAUUCACCCACCCGUACAAGUUUUAUUUAUUUAUUUUUUUUGCCUUCUUCACGAAAUUAGAUCAACAAAAAGGGUUGUCCCCUCCUUCCUUAAUCUAUGAACAGGAGAAUAACAUCGAAGCCAUACUAACAAUGUUUUUUAAUUCCUUCCCCCAAAAAAGAAAAAAUUUUGGCAGUUUUUUCUUUUAAAAAUUCUUUAAACUAAAGUCAUGUUGCAUCAUAUUUUUCAUACCUCAAAUGGAUUGUGGAUUCAUUCCAAUUUAAACCCUUCAAUUUCUUUUGUAAUUUCCACUUUUCAGCAGGAGUAUUUGUUUUAGAUAUUUAGGGUCAGAAAAGGAUGCCAACUUGAGCUAGUAUUUACCUGCAUUAGUCUAAUGAAAAUGAACAUAUAGAAAUCCAUGCAAAAUAACUAUAUACGCUGCAUAAAACACCAACGAGAAACUUAAACUGUCUCAAAAUGCAAUGGAGAUAGCUGAUAAUCAAAACUCGAUUUAAGCACGAAGAUACCCAGUGAACCGGAAUUAUGAGCAAGCACUUCCAAACUACUUUGAUCCUUGUUGAUUGGUUAGGUUUGCUAAAUGUUCAAGAAGUUAAAUGAACACAAAAAGCUAUGACAUGCCACUACUAAGAAUGCAACGCAUAUUUAAGAAUUAACUGAAGCCUUUUCAAAAUUCAUCUAUAUGGGCAGAAAAUCUUUCCAUGUACUCAUACGCAACCAUAAACUCCACGAGACCACAAGGCAGAAUAUUGGUAUCAAGAUAUACCUCACCUACUGAAUGAAGGCUUCUUGAUGCGAUAAGUUACCAUGUGAAAUUAAUUAUUUGUUCACCAGAACUCUGUAAAGUAAUUAAAGUUAACAUUCCAAUGCAAAACACGAAAAGUGUUACAUAUAUUCCUAGCGUUGUCUUCCACUGGGCUAUUGGUACAUUGCUUGCUGUGAAAUCAUGAAAAGUGUUUGUAGAGUACAGCACAAACCAAAAUCACACACACACACAAUUACAAACUUGCUACUAGGUAUCCGAUUAAAUAAAGAUAAAACUGGAUCUCAAACUCGUAAAUUUCAACAACAUUACUAUGCAUAAAGAAUUAGAGUCUCGAAAAAUGCGGGGGGAGUAUUUAACUUUAUUUACCAUGACUGUCUUUACAAUCUAUUAUAUACUAAAUUCAAAUGCUCAAGAAAAGAAUAAAAUAAAGAAUUGGAAACCUUGAAGAGUAGGACGUUGCCAAGAAACAAUAUUCUCAAGGAACAGCGAGUACAUAUACAAGGCAUGCACGGGCAGUUUUGAUUGCUAGAGUGCAUAGAAAAGUUGAAAACCUUGGUGCAAGGGCUAACAUGUGCUGACAUUCUUCAGUGUUACUAACAGGUUUGUGCGUGUAUUCGUCUUCUGUAAUCAAGUGCUUUCUUUUUAUUUAAACCUAAAUCCUAGUUGCAUGCUGAUAGAUAUAUGUGUUUUUUAAUGAUUGCCACAUACUCUCUCUCUCUUGCUCAUGAACCAUUGGCAAAUCUAAUUAACCAUGGCAGCCGAGACUGCCCCCCCUCCUCCGGGUGGGGGGCUGUCGGCCUUUUCCUCCCCCUUUAGGAAGAAGGCCUUCUCUGCGUUGUUUGAGCCACAACCGACGUCCGAGGUAGUACAAGUUCAAGCGAGGAUGACAACACACCGUGGAGAGCCUGCGGUGGUCUUCAGUGCGGCUGACAUAGCAGUGGUUGCUGCUCCAUUCCGCUACACUUUGGUUGGGAAGUUCUCUAAGGGGCGGCCGCUGCUGCCUGACCUGAGGAAAUUCUUGUCGACUCUUGAUUUGAAGGAUACGGCGACUGUGGGAUUGUUAGAUGCUAGGCACGUGUUGCUGAAAUUUCAAUGUGAAGCGGAUUUCCUUCGCGUUUGGGGACGAAGUUUGUGGUACGUGAAUGGAUCCCCCAUGAGGGUUUUUAAGUGGACAUCUAAGUUCCAUGUGAACAGAGAGUCUUCCCUUGUUCCCGUCUGGUUUAGAUUGCCCAAACUCCCAAUUCACUUAUUUGCUAAGCGAUUCUAUUUCAUCUUGUCUCCUGCUUGGGUACGCCGCUAUUCGUGGAUGCGGCUACGUCUUCGUUUUCGCGACCGAAUGUGGCACGGGUAUGUGUUGAGGUGGAUCUACUGAAAUCGAUUCCGUCGAGGGUGUGGGUCGAUAUGGGAGAUGGGGAUGGUUUUUGGCAGGUUCUUAUCCCUGAGAACCUCCCUAAUUAUUGCAGCCACUGCUAUCGUCAAGGGCAUGGCGAGGAUCAUUGCCGUGUGAAGCACCCUGAUUUGCGCUUGCACAAGACGCGGGAGGAUCUGGUCACAGGGGUGAUGGGCGCAAAGGUUCGCUCCUCACCAGCUAACACGCAGCGUACAGAGGAUGAGGAGCGAAGGGGGGUGAGUGAAGGAGAUGGGGUGAAAUCUGAUGCGACACAGAAUUCGGGUAAGAGCCAUUCCGAGGGGUCACUGCACGUUGACACCCCUACUACUGCUGUGGGAGAUGCAUCAUGCUUACCGAACCAGCUUGGAGGGUCUACGGUUGUGCUUGUGGAGAAGGGGAUAGAGGCUGCUGCUGAUGCCAUUCUUCACGCUAUGGCUGACCGCGUGAUUGGCGAACCAGAGGGAGUGCUGGAAGGGACUGCUAAUACGGGAGAAUUGGCGCUAGUGGAGCUGAACGUGGUAGCAGGCCCAGGCAUGAUGGAGCCCAUAGAGGGGGCUGCUGUGCCAGGGCAAAACUGCAACGAAAAAGCUGUCAAGCAUGACCAAAGGGAGGGACCAUGCGAUCACAUUGCAGCCCACGACCAAGGAAAUGAUUGUGAGGAGUCCCAUAUUCUAGUGGAGCAAAUAUUGGGAGAUGGUCAGCAGCAAAUGGCCGACAAUACUUCAAUUAGAAAUCAAAAUGCCGAAAAUUCUAAUUGGAAUAAAAGUGAUGGGUCCCAAGCUUUUGAGAAGCAGAAUUUGGGAGACGAUAAUCAUAAAAAAGUCGACACCACUGACCCCGACAUUCUUUAUGUUGCCUUGAAUGGGGGUGAGGAUGUACCACCCCUUGUGGUUCCAGGAACAAGUACAAGAACAAAAACGAAAACCACGGUGCCUCAAAAUCUAGUGCCACCUUUCAAAGAUGUAUUCGAAGAGGUUAAAUGGGAAAAAUUACAUGGUACACUUUCCCGACCACAUCAAAUUAGUUUUAUUCGUUCAAGUAUAACAUGCAAUAACGACAAAAAAGAAGAAGAAGAAGACGAUUCACAACACGACAAACACAAAGAUCAAGACCAGAAUCUAGUACAACAGCAAUUUACCCAAGUGAUUUCAAAGAAAGCGAGGAAACAGCUUUCAAAAAAAGGUAAAACAAUGCAAACACGUCAAGAUCUCAAACCAAAUUCCAAUGCUCACUCGCAGUCACACAAAUGUGGAGCACCCUCAUGUGGAUGAUUUCUUUGGAUUGAUCUGUUAUGUCUUUACAAUUCCUUUAUAUGUGUGUUAUAUUUUCCUACAUUACAUGUUUCUUUUCUUUAACAGAGGUCAGGUUUGGCCCCCCUCUAAUUUGAUGUAUUUUUUUCUCGGUUUUUAAUAUAUUAAGGGAUGGUAUCCCUAUUUAAAAAAAAAAACAAAAAAAAAGAUAUAUGUGUUUAAAUAGAUUUUGUUAGCUUAACGGAACGUCUUCUAUGUUUACGCCAAAAAGUAAAGCUUUCUAUUUGUCUUUAUCAUUUAUAUACAUAUCUAUAUAGCCAAUCGAGCCAAUCGAGCCAAGAACUAACAGAGCUACCAUGCCAAAGAAAAUUUUCAAUUUUCUACAUAGAAUUAUUUUUUUAAAAAACCACAAAGCUUUAACUCUGUAUCUACCAAAAAGGGAUUAAAUGUGAAAAAAAUUCAAAAGCGGUGUCCAAACACUCCUUUAGUCUAAUCGAAUUUGUAUAUCUACUAAUCCUUUAUGUAGUGUUUUUAGACUUCCCUUCCCUGUAGACUAAGUUGCCCUUAUAUAUUUGUUAGCCCCAUAUACAAUCUCAUUAGAUUUUUACUCCCUAUAAAAUAGAAUAUAUUAGUUAUAGGAAUGUUAUCGUACUCGGUAAAAUAUAUAUAUAUAUUUAUAGGAAAUUUUUAAAAAGUUUUAAUUUUAUCCCAUUAAUUUUGGUCGGGAAUAUAUAUAAUUUUUUGAAUUAAUCAUGCACAUAAAGGUUGAGCCUUUACUUCUAGAAAUUCAUUUCGGCCAAUUGAACCUUCUCAAACUGUUCUUGCUAAAGUCAACUCAUGAAGUUGGCAUUACGCGGGAAUCAUCUUCGAUAUGAACACAUAACCUAUGCAAGUACGUAUAUUCUUACAUCUUUUUCUCCAACUUUGGUGAGCGGCAUCUUCAUGACUCCUAACAACAAAACUAGCAGUGUAUGUUUGGGCUUCCCACAUGGGAGUCAGAUCAUUCAUGUUUCCUCCAUCUUUUGAUACGAAGUCUGGAAACACAGAACGGUAAUUAGUUAACCACUGACAAUUUCUGAGUUUCAUAAACUUUUCUUCUUGGUCUUUAAUUUGCAUACAAGAUAGAAAAUCCAACAUAUAUGUCCUCAUUCUGAUUCUUAUAAGUAACAGGAACAGUUUUCCAGCUAAUACCAUACAUUCUUGGUAAAUGGAAUUUGACAAUUUUUUUUCCACAUUUUUAAGGUACGGACUAUACAGGCUCAAAUUAAGUUUCUAAGCAUGAAUAGAUUCCAUGUAUAUGUACCAUCUUGUCGAAGUGUUGAUCAUCUGACUUCUAUGCUUCAUAGCUUUCAUAUAUAUCUUGCAAAUUAACUUUGGUGUAUGAAUAAGAUUUUCCUUUUCUUUAUCUAGGAGUGCUUCUGCAUUCGAUUUGGUUAGGAACUAAUUUUGAGACUCUUCUUUAUUAUCAUUCAGAGAAUUUUAAUCUACUAUCCGAUCAGAAGGUAUGUUGUGGUAUAGGUCAACUAUACCCAAGAAACAACAAGAUUCACCAGGCACUCAAAAUGCACAAAAAAAAAAAGGAAUUUUGUGAUAGUCAUGUAGCGCUUGGACCUCAAGAUUCAUUCCAAUAGGAAUCAACCUAAAUGCUUAAAUUUGCUGAUCCUUCUUGAUGUUUUCUGCUGCAGCAAUUUUUCCUCUUGUUUAUACGUACUCAACAAAGAUGUUAGGAGACAUAUCUGUUCGCAUUGAUCGCAUUGAUCAAAUGCGUUCUGGCCUAUCGGAUACACCAAGGACGCAAUCGAUCUUCAAAGUCCAUAGUAAACUACGAUGUGAAAAUGAAAUGGCAUAUGAACCACAAGUCGUCUCCGUCGGACCUUAUCACCGCGGUAAGCCUAAACUGAAAAAGAUGGAGGAGCAUAAGGUAAGGUACUUGAACAUGCUUCUUCUUAGAAGAAAAGAGUCAAGUGCUAAGAAAUACGUCGAAGCUAUGGCUGAACUUCAAGAAGAAGCUAAAAGUUCUUACGCAGACGAAAUCAAUCUUUCAGAUGGUGAUUUUGUUGAAAUGCUAUGCCUUGAUGGCAGCUUUGUCAUCAUGUUCUUGAGGAAACUUUAUUAGCUUGAAGAAUACGACAAGAAUGACCCCAUUUUUCGGAUGUCUUGGCUAAUAUCAGCCACUAAGAGAGACCUAAUAUUAUUUGAGAAUCAGUUGCCCUUUAUUGUCCUGCAAAAACUGUUUGAUAUGACCAAGUUGCAGGACGAAGAAGAGAAGCUUAAUGACCUAGCUAUUCCCUGUCUGUCUUCGCUCAUGCCUGGUUCUUAUCCAGGUCAAAGUUCUUAUUCUACAAUCGCUGCAAGUCAUAGGGCUGUUCAUCUUCUUGACCUCAUGCACAAAAAUUUGACUGCCUCAUUUUCCAACACACUUACGUGUUCCAAACGUGAACCGACUAAAACCUUAUUGCAGAAACCAGUUAUUGAGCUACUGUCUAGUGGAACCAAGUUCGAGAGGGCAAAGAAGAGUGUACCCUUGCUCCGUAUCACUUUCAAAAAUGGUGUAGUUAAAAUCCCUCCUUUAUUUGUGGAUGAUCAUACAGAAUGCAUCUUCAGAAACUUGAUUGCUGAUGCGACUGCCGAAGUAAAGAUCCGAACUGAACUGGGUCUGGAGAGCGAGCUGGUGAGGCGCCCGACCUGCACGUGAACGAGCUACGGGGCUAAGUCCCCUGUAGCAACUCCGACGAUCAAGUCAGAAUGAAUUCGUAAGUUACCGAGUGGAAUUUGCACUGUGAAUAGCGUACCUUGUGUUUCCCCUUCGCGUGGUAUUUAUAGAGCCUCAGGUUGUAGUUUCCUGGUAGGACAAGGAGUCCUUAUUGGAGAGAGUUGGUUCCUAGGGCUCCAUGACCCAGAUCUGAAGACGCGGACUCCGCGGCCCAUCAGACCUCUCUGCCCGAGAGGCGGCGCCCGCAAGGGCCAGCGAGCCGACCUGACACUCCGGCCCAGCUCCUCCAGUCCGAGCUCAUGGGCCGGAUUGACGUGUGUGCGGACCGGGCCGACGUGCUCCUGGGCCCCACUACACUAGCCCCCCUUGUAGUCUAGAGUCAUCGAACGUGCGCAUGAAUCUAGCCGACUUUCUGGGCAUCGUGUCAGCUCGGUGUGGGGCCCUCGCCUGGGAGUGGUGCACACAACCAUCACGUCGGUUCGUGUCUGUCCUCUCAACCGUCACGUCGACCAGUUAUGACGGUUAGGAACGGUUCCCCAUAAACGGUUCAAUUAAUGCGCGCCCCUUCAUUUUCCCGCCCUGCGGAUCGCCUAUAAAUAGGCCUCUUGGGCGUCAUUUUCAUUCCUCCUUCCCCACUCUAUCAGUUCGCUCUUUCCAUCCUUAGCUCGCUGCUUUUAUCCUUUUCCCUUCGAGAACCCAUCGGGUCGCCCUACCUUAGGAGCCCAGAGUCAGCUCGUGCAUCACCUAGAUCAGCCUUUCGUCCGAUCUCCUACUUCCACCAGUAAGUUCCCCUUUCCUUUUAUGUCUUCUUACAAUUCUGAUAGUUCUGACGUUACCAGUUCGGCCCCUAGGCACAGAGCAGCUAGCCCCAUACUCCUAGAUAGCCCCUCUCCCGACCCUUUAAGUUCUUCUCCUUCCACUUCAUCUGGGUCAGGACCCGCGUCUUCUCCCAUCCAAUCUCCUGUCCAAAUAAUGAGCCCAGCCGAGCAAACUGCCCAACCUCUAGUCGGGGCUGCGGAACAGGCAGCUCCAGCUCAGAUGGCCGCAGGGACCUCGGGGGGACCUAGUGGCGACUUUGGAGAGGUCGACACUAUCCCCCCAGCCCUGGGACAGAAGGAUGUUGACGGGCUGGCCGAAAAAUAUGAAAUCCCAACCCAGUUUGAACCUAGGGCUGCCCAACCGGGGGAGGUCGCCAGCCGACCUCCUCCCGGUUUCGUGGCGAUCUACAGGGACCAGCUGAUGGCUGGCCUCCGCCUGCCUAUUCCCAACUUCUUCUUCUUCAUCCUCACCUUCUGGGGCAUCCGCAUAACUCAGGUCAUCCCAAAUGGUGUUCGCUCCAUUAUAGGCUUUUUCAUCCUCUGCCGAGCACUAGAAAUUCCCUUUUCCCAUGACCUGUUCCAAGCCUUCUUCCAGAUGAAGGUCAGCGGGAAGGUGCCCGGGUGGUUCUACUUUGCCCGUAGAAGUGGAGCAAAAACCCCCACCCGCGAGCUGUUCACGGGGGCACCUUCCUCCAUCAAAGACUGGAAGCGUUACUUCUUUUUUGUGAAGAACCUGGGCUUUCCCCCUCUGACCUGGAGGGCGGAGACUCAGGUUUCGAAUCCACUUCCAGAUCCGCUCCCUGUAGCCGAGCUCAGCCGCCUACUCAGCUCAGACGAGAAGCUGGAGGUGAAAGAGUUCAGCAAUGCCCAGCUUUGGGUGGCGGGGCUGAUCCGAGCUAACCCCUCAGAUCCCUCGCCAGAGAAUAGGCCGCUCUCGCCAGACGAGCUGACCUCUUGUAAACGACCUGGCCUUCCUUUUCUUUCUUCUCUUUGUUUUAUGUAUCUACUGACCUUCUGGUCUUCUGUUUUUUGCAGUGAAGAGGUUUUCUUCCCUUCUAACCAUCGGAGGAGCCAGCAAUCCAGGUGCUACUACCCAGCCCUCCUCAGCCAUUCCAGCCAGCUCGGCACCAGGUCCAACGCCUCAGCCAGCUCCUGCCCAAUCCGCCAAGGCUGUCGAGGCUGGGAAAAAGAAGAAGAAGAAGACAACUGCAAAGAGGACUAGAGUGGAGACGACCUCCUCCCCAAUUCAGGAAGAGAGGUCGACGCCUAAACCUGGUCAGGGCGGUCACUACGGCGUGAAUACCGCCGAGGAGCAAGCUGGUGCUGGCGCUCCUCCUAAUUUAUGGCAGCGCCAGAGCUCCACCCUGCUGUUCGACCCGCAGACGCGGCUGAUCACGCACCAACACCCCAUGCACUUCUGCCCCCAGUGGAAGCUUUCCAUAAACGACCGAGCUCAAUUCCCUGAGGUGGCCAGGGAGCUUGCUCAUGGGGCCAUCCUUCCACGGGACCACAGCUUGAUUAAGGCCAUGGAGGCAUCUGACCUCCUCGACUACUAUUACACAGGCGCGGCCCAAGUGAACUUGGUUGGGUCCGAGCUGGCCAAGCUGACAGGUGUCGUGCCUGUGCAAUAAUAAAUACCUGCUUAAGAAAAAUAAAUUUUCUGUGUAUAGUAGUAAGCAGGGUCGAAUCCACAGGGACUGGAAAAAAAAUUUGAUUCUUUUUAAAUUCGGGACACGGGGGAUUUUUAUCAGAAAUAAACUAAAAAUACUUAAACAAUUUAACUAAAAAUAAUUAAAUAAUUUAACAAAAAAUAAAUAAAUAAUUAAUACAAAUGUAAAUGACAAUUAAAUAAAUAAUAAAUAAAUUCUAGCCAAGGAUACAACUACGCAGACACAGUCCAUUCAUCCGAUCAUUGAUGCAAAGAAGGUUCACUUAAUUUAAUUAAUAGGCUAGUUAUAGCCGCCGAUAAACUCUAAAUACCAGCUUUUCCUUAAUUUAUUGAUAACCAAGGUACGACCGUUGAUUACCUCUAACCAGAAAAUACUCCUAGGUACGACCGUAGGAAUUAAUUUCCUAAUUGCAUUAAAAACUAGAAAAGCCUAGCCCAAAUUAAUAACACGCUACGAGGGUUAUUUAAAUCAGAUUGCAUGUUCCCCUAGUAUGUGAAAAUACUAAUUGUCACUAAUAUUAAUCAACUAAACAAUUACGGAUUUAAUUGAUUAAUUUGACAAGAGAUUAAAAAGUCAAAUUGCACAUCGGGCCCUUGAUAUCCAAUUAACAAAAUAAUCCCAUGGAAAUUAAAACAGAAAACAUGCAAAUAUUAACAAAUUAAGGAACACGUAAAAUUAAUUAGAUCUCACAGAUAUAUGGGACUGCGUCGUCGCGUUGAUCCUUGACUAGAGGAGAAAAUUAGCCACGCCUCAUAAGAAAAUUCCCACACAAUUCAAUUGAAUUUAAAGACAUCAUCUUUCUUCGAUAAUUGAGAGAGUGAAUAACAAAGCUUUCGGAAGAGAAUAAGAAAAUUGCACACUAGAACUCAACAAGCCAAAACAACUCCUUAUUCUCUCCCCCGGAACAUCCCUCGGAGAGAAAACUAAAACUCCUCUUCCCAGACGGAAGAGAAGAAGAAAAACUAACUCCCCAAAUGUGCGGCUCUCCCCCCGAAUAAAAACAAGCCAAUUCCAAACUUCACUCCAUGCUCACAAAAGAAAACAUUCCUUCCCUACCUAAUCAACUCCACCGAAAUUAAAAGCAAAGCCAACUAUGGUUUGUCGGUUUUCUUUGACCAGGUGCACACUUUCACCAACAAGAAAGCAAAAUCACAAAUGUGCAAAGAAAGCACACUUUAGACAAUACAACUUAUUUGCGGUCCCCACCAACUUUGACAUGUUGUCUAGCCAAAUUGAAUUCCCAAAUGCAAUUCCAUUCUUCUACGUUGGUUUGCACCAAAAUUGUGUAAAGCUUCACAAUAAUCUUCUCAAGAGGUUUCUGCUCCAAUUUCUGAAAUUAUAUCCAAAUACCAAAUAUAAAUAUAUAUUGACAAUUAAAGCAAUAUUUGGCAAGGAUAAAGAGGAGAAUUAACAAUAAAAUUACUAACAAUUAACACCCUAUCACAAGCGCUACGAGGGCCUCCUCCCCCUGAUGAGCGAGACGAGGGCGGCCAACGAGAAACUGCUCAGCCAGAACGAAGAAGCUGUGGCCGAAGCUGAAGGUCUGAGGAAGCAGCUCGCCCAAGCUCACUCCAACUUCGAACUGGAGCUAAAGAAGAACUCCGAUCUGACCUCUCAGCUGAAUGAGGAGCAGAAGAGGAGCGCCGAACUAUCUGCUCAAGUCGAGGCGGCUAGGACUGAGGGAGGCCAAGAGGGCGUGCGGGCCUUCCUCAGGUCGGAGGAUUUUAAGGGUGACCUGGCCAUCUUGAAUACCCCAAUGCUGCAACAUGGGUAUUCCCAAGCCCUGGAGGAGGUGCAAAAGCUGGGUCUGCCUGGGUUUGAUCUAGGCAAGUUUCCCAGCUACAACCCCCUGGCCGUGGAGCAGCUCGACCGCCUGGUAGAGGGCUACACGCGUGGACGGAAGUUGGCCGACCUGGUCGCCGAUCCUCAGCUGCCAGUGACCACUCCUGAAACCGAGCAAGAGGAAGAAGAGGGCGGGAACUAGAGCAGGGCGGGAACUAGAGCAGGGCCUUAGGAUAGGAUCUGAACUGUCAGUAGGCAGUUCGUUUUGUAUGAGCUCUGCUCUUCCUCUGUGCAAUUUCUUUUGCGCGAGUUUGGCUCCCUCUUGUACAGUUUUAUUGAAUGAAAUGAAAAAGCCUUUCCUUUGCUUCAUACUUAGUCUCAAUUGCAAAAAUCGUCACAAAAUACAUCAGUUCGGCCCUAUGCCGACCUAAGGGAGCUAUUCUCUAAGACAAAGCAAUUUAUUAGCCAAGUACAUCAAUAAUAACGAAAAAUCUUGACCUUGGAAGGAACUGAUAACGCGCGAGUUUUAACGAAAAAUCCUCAAGUUGGAAUUGUGCCAGGUACGCGGGACCUCUUCCCCGCUGAGGUGAGUUAACUUGUAGUACCCAGCUCGAUCUGCUUCUUUUACCACAUAAGGACCUUCCCAAUUCGGAUCCAGCUUGCCUGUGCCCUGAAGCCGACUCACACUGUUCUUCCUCAAGACCAGGUCCCCCGGUUUGAAGGACACUGGCCUCACCCUAGCAUUGUAGUGCCGCGCGACCUGUCCCUUAUACUUAGCCAUACGUAUGGCCGCCUCUUCUCUCCUUGCCUCUAGCAGAUCCAAAUUGAGACGUAGCUCGUCCUCGUUGUCCCGAGCUAUGAAAUUCUGAAGUCUGCCCGAAGGAACGCCUAUCUCCGCAGGGAUCACCGCCUCUGCUCCAUAGGUUAGAACAAAAGGAGUUUCCUGGGUAGCAGUUCGGGGAGUGGUUCGGUAAGCCCAUAGUAUGGUUGGCAGUUCGUCCAGCUAGGGGUGGGCACGGGUCGGGUACCCGCCCCGAACGGCAAAAGGCUGACCCGACCCUAAGAUGUCGGGUCACUAUUUUUUUGACCCUAAUCCGCUCCGAUUGUCCUCGGGUACCCGAUCCUCGGAUACCCGAAAAAUAGGGGCGGGUCAUCGGGUACCCGCCCCUAUUUAAAGAAUGCAAAUUCUGCAUUCAUAAGAUGAACCUGCUGUAGCCUGUACGUCCAGAUGCUGGGGAGACUUAUUGUGAAAAUCAAAAGCAACCUUUCUAUUGUUAUUGCUUGAGUAAAAUCACUGGGCAAAAAUUCCAAAACAACAACUUAGUUAAAUCCCCCAUAAAUGAAUACUAUGCACAAAACCUAUGAGCUAAAGCCUGAAAGUUCAACUGAAUAGAUGUUGAACAACAAGAUAUAAAAUCAAAAGUCCUCAGAUUUGAUAGCUAUUUUAGGACUAUAUUUAAUCAAAAACCAUCAUUUGCAGUUUAAGGGCAGUUUAAGGUUACUAGCAGUGACAUUUAUCAAGCACUUUUGGUACCAUCUGUAUGGCAACUCUGAUAUGAUUUAUCAUCACAGCUAGAUAGAUAGAUAGAUAGAAGAUCAUCUGGAUCAAUGGAUGGAUGAAUGGAUAAAUGAAUGAAUAAAUAAAAAGGGUUAAUUACGCUUUGCUCCCCUGAGGAAAUCAGGCAAUGGCACCACAAAAGGCUAACAAUAAAUAGCAACCAAAAGAACUGCUCUUUUGCCACAAAAUUUUUGUCACGGGGCAAAAAUCAAGAAUUAUUUAAUAGAUAUACAUGAAAAGAAUAAAUAAUCUCAAUUAUAUAAAAAACUAAAAAGAAUCAAAUGCUUGAAAGCCACCACAACUAAAUAAGAAACUAAAGCAAUAAAUAUCCCAAAAAUGCAAAAAAUUUCAAACAUAUUUCAUAAGAAGCCCUCAGAUCUCAUGGCUUCAAUGAAUCAUAGACGGAAUUUGACGGGUAAUUCAACAGAUGCCUUUUACAGAUCACCGACAAAAAAACCAGCCAAGCCAUGCACCAGUGUGUGUGUAUGUGUGUGUAUAAACUCAAGCAAUUUUCCCGGAGUAAAGAACAUAAACAAAAGGGCGGAGCCGCCGAGGGAGGAUUUUCAGCAGGGGAAAAUGAGGGAAGGCUUUAGCAGCGAGUCUAACCAUGGAGGCAAGGCUUCAAGAUCAGAUCAGGAGCGGCGCAAAGGGAUUGCCUGGACAGAGGUGGGUGGCGGCUAAUUUUUCCGGUGAAGUGCAAAGGCAACCGUUGAAUUUUAAACCCUGUCAAUCCCCUCACUAUUAACAAUUUUUUCCAUCAUUGGGCUGCAACAGAAAAUUUGAGAAAAAAAACAAUACUAAUCAACAAAAAAUCAAAUGAUAAUACAUUAUAUAUAAAAUCAAGCAAUUUUCCCGGAGUAAAGAACAUAAACAAAAGGGCGGAGCCGCGGAUGGAGGAUUUUCAGCAGGGGAAAAUGAGGGAAGGCUUUAGCGGCGAGUCUAACCAUGGAGUGAUGGAGGCAAGGCUUCAAGAUCAGAUCAGGAGCGGCAAAGGGAUUGCCUAGACAGAGGAUGAACACAGGCAAAUUAUGUUGCACUAGAUCAGAAUGUCGGCUGAACUCUUUAGGUUAGGGUUAAUAACUUAUAAAAUUAUAAAAUUGCCCCUAUAUUUUUUAAUAGUUACAUAAUAUACCCCGGGUCGGGUACCCGCGGGUUUUUGCUUUUACGAUCCGUAUCCGUAUCCGAAUAUUCCGGGUACCCGACCCUAUCUGAUCCGCUGAGAGAAAUCGGAUCGGGUAUCCUAUUUUUCGGAUCGGAUCGGAUCGGAUCUCUCGGGUUUUCGGGUCAGCGGGUAUUUUUGCCCACCCCUACGUCCAGCCACCCAGUUCGGGCGAACUCCAUCCGCGUCUUCAAGCCUUGCAGGAUGGUUCUGUUGACGUUCUAGACCUGCCCGUUUGCUUGAGGGUGGCCUACCGAGGUGAAGUGCUGCCGGAUUCCGAGCUCCGAGCACCAGCUUUGGAGAGCGCCGUCAGCGAACUGGUGCCCGUUGUCUGAGACCAGUACAUGGGGUAUACCAAAUCGGCAAACGAUGUUUUUCCAGAGGAACUUCUGCACCGACCUGCUGCUAAUGGUGGUAAGGGGCUCGGCCUCCACCCAUUUGGUGAAUUAAUCUAUGGCCACCACCACAUGCUGAUAACCCCCAGGAGCUCGGGGAAACGGACCCAGCAGGUCGAUUCUCCAUUGGAAGAAAGGCAAAGGGCUCUGAAGAGGGAUCAUCUCCUGAGUUGGGGCGUGAUGGAUCGGCGCAUGCAGCUGGCAGGACUUGCACCGAGCCACCAGUUCGGCAGAAUCCAAGAAAAUGGUCAGCCAGUAGUACCCAGACAGCAUUCAUUUCUUGGCCAAAACCCUUGGACCGACGUGGUUUCCACAGAUACUUUCAUGCAACUCACGCAGGAUGUAGUCUCCUUCCUCUGGAGUUACGCAUCUCAGCCACGGGCGGAGGUAGGAUUUCUUGUAAAGUACCCCAUUCGAGAGCUCGUAUCCCCGCGACCUGAGGAUGACCCUUCGCGCCUCCACCCGGCUUGGAGGGAGCUCUUCGCUGCUAGGUACCGUACGAUGAGAUCCAUCCAUGAGCUCGUUAUUUGAAUAACAGAAGCGUUUACCUGGUCGUACGCCCGAUUUCUGACGAUUUCCACCAAGACUUCUUUGUUCAACGUACCGACCGAGGUGGAAGCUAGCUUGGACAGAGCAUCCGCUCUCUUAUUUUGGCUUCGCGGGACCUGCUUGAGCGUGAAUAAUUUGAACUGAGCUCUCAGCUCAUGCACUUUGGCGACGUACCUUCUCAGGGGCUCUUCCUUAACCUCGUAACUCCCCCCGACCUGGUUUACUAUCAUCUGUGAGUCGCUGUAGACUUCUAUUGACUCGGCCCCCAAUUUCCGAGCUAUCUCCAUCCCCGCGACCAGGGCCUCGUACUCGGACUCGUUGUUAGAGGCCCUGAAAUCAAACCUCAAGGCGUAGGCCAGUUCAUCCCCCAUAGGGCUAGUCAAGAGAAGCCCUGCUCCGCAUCCUUCCUUGCUUGAAGAUCCAUCCACGAACAGCGUCCAGGUCGGGAUGGACUGAUCUGCCUUUUCGGCGUCUUGGCCGACUUCCACAGCAUUUCCGACCUGUUCGGCCUCCGCUGUGCUCAACCUAUCCUCGGCUUCCUCAGUAGCCUGUAUGACCACGGCAGGUUUUUCGGCCUGCUUGGCCUCAACUGCACCUACGGUCUGUUCGGCCUCGGAAGUCUUAGUGCCUUUCAUGACCUCGACAGCUUCUCCGGCCCGCCGAGCCUCAGCUGCGUCUUGGGUCGGUCCGGACUUUGCGGCCUGCGCGACCUUGGCAACUCCUCCGGCCUGCUCGGCCUUGGCUGCGUUUCCGGUCAGCUCGACCUGCGAUCCCUGUUGUCCAAAGGAAACCCCUUCAGCUAUGAAAUCUGCCAAUGCUUGGGCCUUAAUGGCCGUGCGAGGAUGGUAGCUGAGAUCGUACUCGGACAGCUCCACAGCCCAUCUUACCAUUCUUCCUGAUGCAUCAGGCUUUGAAAGGAUUUGCUUGAGAGGCUGAUCGGUCAUAACGACCACGGGAUGAGCUUGAAAAUACGACCUGAGCUUCCGGGCCGCGUGAACUAAUGCCAAAACAUACUGCUCAACCGAGGUGUACCUUGGCUCCGCGCCCUACAGAGCUCGGCUGACAUAGUAUACGGGCCUCUGAAUUUUGCCUUCUUCCCGAACUAGUACCGCACUGAUUGCCUCCUCCCCCGCGGCCAGAUAAAUAAACAAGGUCUCUCCUUGUGCGGGAGAGGUCAAGGCCGGCAACCGAGCGAUGUGGGCUUUUAGUUCGUCAAACGCUCGUUGGCAUUCGGGUGUCCACUCAAACUGGGGGCCUCUUCGCAGUGCUCUGAAGAAGGGGGAACCCCGAACUGCAGAUUUCGACAAGAACCUGUUCAGGGCAGCCAUCCUGCCAGCUAGCCGUUGGACCUCUUUUAUAUUUCGAGGUGGAGCCAUGUCCAUUAUAGCUUUUAUCUUGUCGGGAUUAGCUCUUACUCCGUCCUUGGAUAUCAUCUACCCAAGGAACUUGCCCGACCUGACCCCAAAAGUGCAUUUCUUGGGAUUCAGCCGCAUCCGCGAGCUCCGCAGGACGUUGAAGAUCUCCCUGAGGUCGCUAAUGAACUGCUCCUGAGUUCGGCUUUUUACCAGCAUGUCAUCUACGUAUACCUCCAUGUUUCGGCCGAUCUGGUUCCUGAACAUCUUGUUGACCAGUCGCUGAUAGGUCGCGCCAGCGUUCUUCAAUCCAAAUGGCAUGGUGGUAUAACAAUACGUGCCGUAUUCGGUGAUGAAGGCAGUCUUCUCUUGAUCCUUCUCGUCCAGAGCUAUCUGGUGAUACCCUUUGAAGGCAUCCAAAAAGCAGAAAAUCUCGUAUCCAGUAGUUGAGUCGACCAGCUGGUCGAUGCAGGGGAGGGGGUAACAGUCCUUCGGACAAGCUUUAUUCAGAUCGGUGAAGUCCACGCACAUCCGCCAAGCUCUGUCUUCCUUUUUCACCAACACAGGGUUAGCCAGCCAGGUCGGAUAGUAGAUCUCUUUCACAAUUCUGGCUUCCAACAGCUUGCCUACCUCCUCCUUGACGACCUCGUUGCGCUCAGGAGCGAAGUUUCUCUUCUUUUGCUUCACUGGCCGGAGGCUCGGGUCGACGUGCAACUUGUGAACUGCCAGCUCGGGAGGAACUCCGGGCAUGUCGUCAGCACUCCAAGCAAAGAUCUCAGCGUAUUCCUCCAGUAGAGACUCCAGAGCUCUCCGUGUCGGCUCGCUUAGGCCAGCUCCGGCCCUCACCACGCGAUCGGGUCGCUCGGUGCAGAUGGGCAAUUCGACCAGACUCUCAUCUGUCUCCAUCCUUUCCUCCUUUUCAGCAGGCUCCCAGGGUUCCAAACAGGUUGUCUGGGCCACCAUCUUCUCCUUACCUUUGAGGGUUGCGAUGUAACAGGCCCGAGCUACCUCCGGGUCUCCCAGCACCUCGGCCACUCCAUCGGGCGUGGGGAACUUCAUGCUAAGGUGCAAAGUCGAACAGACAGCUCGGAGCACGUUUAGGGUUGGUCGCCCAAGUAUCAUAUUGUAGGAGGAUGGCUCCUUUACCACCGCGAUAUUCACCGGGACAGUUCGGCACUUCGGCUACUCCCCUACAGUGACCAUGAGGGUUAUCAUUCCCUCGGGCCUUACCGGCGGACCUGCAAAACCUAUUAAAGGAGUUCGGACGAGGAUGAGCUGCUUAUCUUCCAGCUGCAACUCUUUGAAGGUUUUGUAGUAUAGCACAUCGAUGGCACUCCCAUUGUCGAUGUAUACCUUCUUUACCUUGUAGUUACACGUGAUGACCUCUAUUACAAUCGCUUCAUGGUUAUUGGAGGCUAGGGGUACCGCGUCCUCCGGCCCAUAGAUGAUCUCUUCGUACAUCUUUAAACGCUUGUUAGAGCUUUCCCCACUGGGGGAAGGCCGGUUGUUUCGCCGAGCCGUAUGACUGUCUCCCCCCACAGGUCCCCCUGCGAUAGUGUUGAUUACCCCAGCUAGAUUCUGAACCCCCUGCUCCGGAGUUCGAUCACGGGGACCCCGAGGUCGGUCGCGCGAGCUAGUCGCCCGUUCUCGGUUGAACCCCCCUUGCUUUUGAUCGGCUCAGCCGUCACGGAUGAACUGCCCGAGGUGGCCUCUCCGUAUCAGCUUUUCAAUCUCCUUCUUGAGGUGUCUGCAAUCCUCAGUAUCGUGCCCGACGUCCCUGUGGUAAGCACAGUACAAACCCUGGUCGCGCUGGUUUUUGUCCCCAGCCAGUGGCCGAGGAGGGCGCAAGAUCCCCUGUUGUUCCAUUACGGCGAGAACCCGAGCUCGGGGCGCGGUGAGCGAAGUCCAAGCCUUUUCCUUCUCCCAAGGUCGGCUCCGAGGUAAGCGCUCGGGUACGCUCUUCCGUGCCUGACCUGGUCGCGACUCUCCCAGGUCGGCACCCCUCCUGCGCUUGUCGUCACGCAGCUUCUCCUGAGCGCCUUUCAAUCGGUUGGCCUCCUCGGCAUUCGCCUUCUCGUGAGCUCGGUCUAGCAUCUCCCGAACGGACUUGGGAGGUUUUUCCACGAACUCCGUAUACAGCUUCUGCUUGCGCAGCCCAUUGACAAAGGCAGCCAUCACAACCUUGUCAUCCCGAUCCCGUACCUGGAGGGAUUCGUUGUUGAAGCGCACCAUGUACUCGCGCAAUGACUCCUCGGGCCCUUGAUGAACAGUCAUCAGAUGAGCCGUGGUUUUGGAAAAAGCACGCGAGGAGACGAACUGAGCCACGAACAACCGCGCGAGCUGGCCGAACGACCUAACCGACCUGGGGGGCAACCCCUGGAACCACUGCCGGGCCUUUCCUUCCAGGAACAUCGGAAAGGUCUUGCACCUGACCGCGUCAGCAGCUGUCUGCAGGCGCAUCUGAGUCAGGAACGCGAACAGGUGAUCUUCCGGAUCCGUGGUCACGUCGUAAGACUUCAUGGACGGUAUUUUGAACUUUGCGGGCAGGGGAUAGUCUUCGAUAUCCGGUACGAAGGGCGAGGCUGUGUACCUGUCCGACUCCGGAUCCAGCAUGAGGUCCAGUUCGUCCUGGAUCUGGUAUUCCUCCUUCCUGCGGGGAACCUCCACCCGCGAGGGCCUCGGGACAGGCUCCGGAUGGCUAGUUCGGGAGUUCCUGUGAGAGGGCUCGGGAACCUGGACCUGCUCACGCGUGAGCUCCUUUCGUGCCCUCUUCGGCCGAGGGACAGGGCUCCCUGAUCGGGAUUCCGAACUCCCUGUUCCGUCAGCUUUUCGCGCCCGGGGCUCCGGACUGGGGGGGGACUCCGGAUUGCUCCUUCAGGUAUUUCACAAUGGCCUCGAAGGUGGGCAAGUUCGCCGCUACGGACUGCACCAGCUGUUCUGGCGAGAUCCGUGAGAGCUCAAUCCUCUCAUUUCCCACGAUGGUAUCCUGGUGGACGUGCUGAGGGUCGCCCUGCCCGUUUCCCUCAGAACCAUCCACAUUUUUCUGAGAUCUAGUCUUCGGCAUGUUGUUCGCGAAAGAGAAGAGAAUACGUUUCCCACAGACGGCGCCAAUUGAUGCGACUGCCGAAGUAAAGAUCCGAACUGAACUGGGUCUGGAGAGCGAGCUGGUGAGGCGCCCGACCUGCACGUGAACGAGCUGCGGGGCUAAGUCCCCUGUAGCAACUCCGACGAUCAAGUCAGAAUGAAUUCGUAAGUUACCGAGUGGAAUUUGCACUAUGAAUAGCGUACCUUGUGUUUCCCCUUCGUGUGGUAUUUAUAGAGCCUCAGGUUGUAGUUUCCUGGUAGGACAAGGAGUCCUUAUUGGAGAGAGUUGGUUCCUAGGGCUCCAUGACCCAGAUCUGAAGACGCGGACUCCGCGGCCCAUCAGACCUCUUUGCCCGAGAGGCGGCGCCCACAAGGGCCAGCGAGCCGACCUGACACUCCGGCCCAGCUCCUCCAGUCCGAGCUCAUGGGCCAGAUUGACGUGUGUGCGGACCUGGCCGACGUGCUCCUGGGCCCCACUACAAUUGCAUAUGAACAGUAUAUGUCUAAGCCAUUUGAGACAUGGAGGUAUGUAACUGAUUACAUAAGCUUCAUGGAUCUUCUCAUAGAUUCACCGUCCGACGUUGAAAAGCUUCGCAACCGUGACAUCAUCAGGCAUGGGUUAGGCAGUGAUAAAGCAGUCUCUAAAAUGUUCAACAAGUUAAGCAGUGAUGUUUCUAUUGAAGUUCCUUUCUGUUACCACGAAGUUUUUGAGGACAUGAGGAAGUACUCCCGCAACCGCAGCCGUACUUGGUGGGCAAACCUCAUGCGGAAUUAUUUUCAUAACCCGUGGUCAAUCAUUUCAUGUCUGGCUGCAUGCGUUUUGAUUCUUCUCGCAUUGGUGCAGACCAUAUUUUCCAUCCUACACUAGACUUUGACUUAAUGAAAUUAAAGUGAGCUAGUUGUGCUUGUUUUGUAAUUUGUUAGUCAUUGUACUUAAAUACCAACAACAUCAUUUUAUUUGUGUUCCGAUUGAUAAAAAAUUCUUGAUGUAAAAGAACUUUCCUGUCUUGGAUAUUACAUGAACUCCUAAAUGCAUGUUCUGCUAAUAAUGAACAUGAUCUCUUCUGUAUUAUGAUCUACUACUGAACAUUAAAAUAGCAAUGCCCCGUCGGGGUCAUUGAUUCAUUUUAGUCAACCUGACAAUUUUUAUGAACAUGGAUCUGUCUACACAUGUAUUUGUAUGUCUGUGUCAAGUAUAACCACAGUACGAGGCUAACUUUGAGUGUUACAUGGCACCGGUUCGAUCUUAGUGAGAGUACUACUAAAUGCAUGCAAAGGCUGGCGAUGAGAACUCAAUGAAGCACGAAAAUUAAGUGCACAAGAUUUUAAGCAAACUGCAAAGAAAGAAUUAAAAAAAUGAAGCUUUAGCAUUCAUCUGGCAAAAAAUCCUUGGCAUACUAUCAUAUAUAAUAGCAGUUAGAUACCAGUUGAUUGAAAUGCUAACAAAAUAAGUGUACUCAAAACAUAUAGUUUUACAGGAUCUAAUUGUUACUCCUGUGAUUUAAAGAAGACAAUAGAGAAAAGGCUCAGUUGAUUUUCAAACAAAGAAAACCCGGAAGAACAAUUUAUUGGGAAAAUAGUUAUAAACACGAAUUGCUUGUUACUUAUGGUUCCCGAAAUCUUGUCUAAUUAGCCACUGCAUCCACAUUGGCUAGAAUGCUAAGUAAGGCAUAAAGACUGAAAGAAAAAAGAGAAAAAAAAAGAAGCAGUACAAUAAGUAAAUCUGUCGUGCUUGCUGGUACCAAAAUUAAGUACAUAUGUAAAUUUUAAGUAGUUCUUGGUUGUAAAUGUGAAGGCUUUAUCUAAGAAAUGUUGUCUCCAACGUUCCGACCUUUCUCAUGUUUGUCACUUCGCGAAGCACAGCAUAUGCUAAGGAAUAAGGGCUGAGACAUGUCUACUUUUUUAAAGAAAUAGAGGGCUUAAACAUUGGCUGUUCUCUUCUCUUCUCUUCUCCUCUUUAUUGCGCUCAGUCACUCACUAUUUUCCCUCCACAAAGAAAAAAUUGCUAGCCAUCUAAAGUUUAGUGGAAAAGAACAGCUAUGAACUCAUAUCUCAAAAUUCUAGAAAAUUAAAAUGUUUAAGAAUUUGUAGAUCCUAUCUAAAUGAACAUCUUGAAGUACAGAUUAUCUUCUGCUGAGUACAUUAAUAAGUUCAAAGGAACUUUCUAUAGGUUUUUAUACAUUGGACUAUUGGAGAAAAGAACAAAGGGGCUAAAUUAUUAAUUAAGUUAUUUUUCAACUAUUUAAAUUGGUAUACCAAAAACAAAAAAAAAAUUUAUUCUUCAUCGACUAUAAGAUAAAAGCAAAUGUGUCAAUAAACCACUCUUUAAUUUUCUUUUUUAAUUUUUAGUAUCUUUUCCUAUAUAAAGUUAGACGUAUGCCACUAGACUAAUAUAUCCAAAAGGUGGCAACAUGGCUGGUAUGAUGUGGUCUUACAAAAAUAAAAGUAAAAAAAUAAUAAAAAAAAUAAUAAAAAAAUAAUAAUAGUAUAAAUUGGACUACCUAUGAGCUUCCCAUCCCAAAGGACUAAUAGCUUGUGAUACAACUUCCACCUGCUUUCUCCAGCUUUUUGUUUCUAUUUCUGAUCAAGAUUGCUACACGUGAGACUCUCCUCUUGCCCAGGUAAAUUUUUUGACAGGUUGUCGAAGCCUGUGCAAUAAUAAAACCUGCUCAAACUAAAAGUAAUUUCAGUAGAUAGUGGUGAGCAGGGUCAAAUUCACAGGGAUUGGGAGUAAUUAUUUCUUUUCAAAUUCACAGUGACAAGGGGGUGUUUUUAUGCAGAAGGUGACAAUAAAAGAAGUUCAAAUAAAAUCUAAGAAACUACUAAAAAUUAAACAACAAAUUACUAAAAUCAAAUGAAUGAUAAUUAAGGAUCUAGCCAAGGAAUAACUUCAGCAAUGGUUCACCUAGUUGAUCAUUGAAGCAAAGGCAAUUCCAAUUAUUCAUCAAUAAAUAGGUUAUAACUACCAAACAAGCGAUGGCAGUCAACCCCUCCUUACUGUGUCGGUGAUCAAGGUACGCCCGUUAAUCACUGCUCUAAUUGAGAAAUAAUCCUAGGUACGCCCGUAGAAUUUAAUUCCCCAAUUGCCUUACAUAUUAGAGGAGCCCUAUUCUAACCAAAUAACGCACUACCAGGGUUAUUUUAGAUUAGCCCGCGUAUUCCCCUGACACAAAUCUAAUCAUGCCAGUUGUCACUAUUUUGAGGUAAUUAAACAAUUACGGAUUUAACACCUUAAUUGACAAUAGAUUAUCCAAUCAACUAAUUAUCUGGAUCCAAAAUAAUUAAUUAAUUAAAUAAUCAUAAACAUAGCAAUUAAGAAAUAUGCGAAUACCAAUAAAUAAAAGAAAAAGAUAAAAUUAAAUCGAUCUCACAAUUUUAGGCGAUCCAAAGCAUCCAUUGUCCCUUGACUAGGGAAAGAAAAUUUAGUUCAUGUUUGAUGAACAAAACCCGUAGGAAAGUGAAGAAACGAUCCCAACCAUUAUUCUUGUUCACGAGACUUCACCUUGAUCGACUGAAUAAAGAAAAGCUUGGAAAACAAUGAUUGAUUCAAUUCUUCAAAGAGUCCCUGUCACGCGUGGACUGAAGCUUCCUAAGAGACAAAAGAAAGGUCAAAGCUCUCUAAGAAAGCUCCUCACCUACGUGAACUGGAGCUAAAGCUAAACACUAGUCUAACUACUAUGCUACAGGACGAAAAGAGAAAAAGGUAAUGCCCUCUCUCUGCAAUUACAAUUUGCCUGUUCUAAUCCUUCGCUCUCCUGUGCGGCGGCUCCCCUUCCGGAGAGGAAGAAGAAGACCCCCGCUUCAGCACUUCGUUCCUCCUUUUAAUGUUGCCCUCUGCGAAUUACCAAAAAGAACUUGUAUCUCCUUGUUCCAAAAAUGUCCUGGAUGCCUGCUACUUGAACUCUUUCCUGAUAACUGUCAAAUCGGCACUUAUUAUGAUAUUUUCGUUCUACUCCCUGAAAUAUGUGUAAAAUACUAAAAGUGAGUAGAAUCUAAUAAUUAAUUCACAUUGAGUUAAGUAAUAGGGAAAUUAAUAGUAAAAUAAAUGAUAAAAUUGCAACAUAUCAUUUUUCAAGUAUUUCCCUUGAUAAGUGACUAAUUUACGUAAUAAUUGUAUGAUAUCACUUUGGUUACAUUAUUGGAAGAAAAUGAUUCAUUUUGGCUAUAAUUGGUGUAAAAUGCUUUUGUUCAAUUAAAUGAGGUUUUUAUCACUUUUUACUUGGAUUUUGUGUAUUUUGAUAGUUUUGACACAUUUUCAUAUUUCGGCUAUAACUUGAACUCCAAUGAUCGGAGUGCUCGUGUUUUUUACUCUCAAGUCAAGAUUAAUUGUAAUUUUCCUCUUCAAAAGUCUAUGGCUGCUAAUUAAGCCGUGUUAUAAAUAUAUCCUGAUAUUAAUUCUCCAUUUUUCAUUACGCAGAUUGAACAUUUAAUUUGCCAUUUUACCAGCCAUGACUUUAUGAUAUUCUUACAAUCUUAAACUUAGUACUGGAUUUUCAAAUCUGGAAAAGUUGGAACUUUUGUGUUAUGACACGUUAGAACUAACUUUGUUACAGCAUUUAUUCAUGCUAAUUUUGAUAAAUAAGGAAUUCAAAUUAUUCUGCGAUAUUUGAUGAAAGUUCAUAUUAUGUUAAUUCAAGAAAUAGACCAAGACAUCUUCCUUUAGCUCCCUAAAAAUCAUUUAGAGUGUUAUGUAUGAUUUGAUAGGAUCCAUUUAAUUUUAUUUUCUCCAAAAAUAUUUUUUUUAGCAAAUGUACUUCAAGUCAUACCUUUCUCUUGGCUAAUAUCCUUAAACAUGGGUCUUUAAGCUACAUUUUUUUACACUUUUUUUAACCCUUUUUCUUUCUCAAUUUUACUGUAUUGUUUAAAAGAAUUAUGAUUAAAAAAAUUCAAGGACAGCUGAAAAGAAUAAGCGCCCCAGCACAACGCGCGGUUACCCCUAGAUUUAAACACAUGAACAACCUAGGAUUGACAUUAAAACCAUUAAAAGAUAGUUUUUUCUUUUAACUGAAAUAGCAUUAUUGUUCAUUUGCACCACCAUUAAUAGCAAAAAAGAAAAACUUAUGAAACUCACUGAAACGGAAAAUUAAGUCAUAAAAGCACAUAAAGGAGAACAAUUAAUUAAUGAUAACACCGAAAAAUUAACUAAUUCAGGUGACAUGAAAGAGAACGUUCGAAAUCCAUCAAAUAGACAGAGACUUUUUACCCACUUUAUACACUUCAUCCAUAAAAUGACAAACAAUCUAAUGUUAACUUCUCUACAACAAUUUCUACUCUCUUGGACACGAAAAAGAAGAAGGACAGUAAAAAAAAGUGAUUGCAGGUACCAAUCUUAUGCAUACUUUUCUUUUCUUUUCUUUUUUUUUUUUUGGGGUCUGGAGGGUAAGGGGUAUCUUGGAAUCACCGAUUCUGAUCCCCCAGGCUGAACAGAGUUCACCCCAUAGAUGACUAACAACAGUAGCACGUGGGGGUCGAAUCUGAGAUCUUGUUAUAACUAUAAACGACUAGUUACAACUGAGCUACCCAUGAGGGGCUUAUGCAUACUUUUCUAAAAUUGAUAUUUUGGUGAACCAUUCUAUAUAUCCUCUGAUAUUCAUCUAUUUUAGAUAUUAUAUUUAUACUCAGGGCCUUUACUUUGAAUCUUUUUUAAUUUUUUUUACUAAUCAAACAGUUGCAGUUUUUUCCCAUUUCAUCUAUUUUCGGCUCCUAUGGAAACAUCACAGAAUCAGUUGAUAAGCUCAUUAAGGCCUGAUGAGAAAAUGUGGAUGCGUAGAGUCUUGCUAUUACUGAAAUUUGGCAUCGAGGCGUAUAUCGGUAAACAAAAAUCUGGAAAUCUUCAGAAGUUAAUUUUCCUAGACAGGCAGGUAAAAAAUCAUAAACUUUCACAUUUACUAUUGAAUCUAUAUUUUGCACAUUAUUUUCAAGAAAAAUUCAAAAGGCAUAUAAAAAUUCAAGCUAUUAUGUUUGAUGACAUCAAGGAAAACUGUUCCUGUUCCUUAUAGGAAUCAACAUAAAAUGAGGACUUUUCCUCCAUCUCUCUGUCUCAACCAUUUGGUCGUCACCUUCCUUUCCUCCUCUUCUAGCUAUCCUUAAUUUCCCCUCAAAUCCCAAAUUAAUUAUCUUCUCUAGGUUAUUAUGUCCUUCAUAACCAGAGCUACAAUCUUGAAUGGCUAACUUGUAUCUCCCCAUUUUUAUUUUUUACUUUUUUCUGUCUUCUGAAAAUAAUAUUCAAUUAUCUAGACAUGUACUGCACAUAGAAGAUUAAGCAACUACGGUGAUGAUUAAAGGGAUAAUUGAUUAUGCUUUGCUGGUGGUGGAUGGCUUGAGAUUUAGAUUUUUGUAAAGCUAAAUCAUGAACAUGAGUAAAAUGGUUGCUAAAGCUCACUGGUCAUCUGUCAGUAUAGUUUAUCAUCAAUGGAGUUCGGUUGGCUUUCUUGUAAGUUGAUUCAAUUGCUUAUUGGAUAUGAAUAUUUUUCAUGUAAUAAAAAGUGACUUUGAAUUUAUUAGUCUACUCAGCAGGAGAUAAUCUGUAAUUCAAGAUGUUCAUUCGGAUAGGAUACAAAUUCUUAAACAUUUUAUUUUUCCAGAAUUUUGAGAUAUGAGUUCAUAGCUGUUCUUUUCCACUAAACUUUAGAUGGCUAGCAAUUUUUCCUUCAUAGAGGGAAAAUGUGAGCGACUGAGCCCAAUAAAGAGAAGAGAAGAGAAAACAACCAAUGUUUAAACCCUCUAAUUCUUUAAAAAAGUAGACAUGUCUCAGGCCUUCAUUCCUUAGCAUAUGAAAUGACAAAGUUGAGAAAGGUCGGAACGUUGGAGACAACAUUUCUUAGAUAAAGCCUUCGCAUUAACAACUAAGAACUAUUUCAAAUUUACCUAUGUACUUACUUUUGGUACCAGCAAGCAUGACAGAUUUACUUAUUGUACUGCUUCUUUUUUUUUUUCCUUCGAGUCUUUGUGCUUUACUUAUCAUCCUACCCAAUGUGGAUGCAGUGGCUAAUUAGAUAAGAUUUCCGGAUCCACAAGCAACAAACAAUUCAUGUUUAUAACUAUUUGCCAGAUAAUGUGUUCUUCUGGGUUUGCUUUGUUUGAAAAUCAACCGAGCCUUUUCUCUGUUUUCUUCUUCAAGUCACAGGAGUAACAAUUAGAUCCUGCAGAACUAUAUGUUUUCAGUACACUAAUUUUGUUAGCAUUUCAAUCUAAUGGUAUCUAACUUCUAUUAUAUACAAUAGUAUGCCAAGGAUUUUUGGCCAAAUGAAUGCUAAAGCUUCAUUCUUUUAACUGUUUCUUUGCAGUUUGCUUAAAAUGUUGUGUACUUAAUUUUUCGUGCUUUAUCGAGUUCUCAUCAUUAGCCUUUGCAAGCAUUUAGUAGCACUCUCACUAAGAUCGGACCAGUGCUAGGUAACACUCAAAGUUAGCCCUAUACUGUGGUUAUACUUGACACAAAGAUAUAUAGAUAUACAUGUGUAGAUAGAUACAUGUUGAGUUAUAUAGAUAUACUUUUACAUCAAGAAUUUGUUAUCAAUCAAACUCAUUGAAUUGUUUAGUUACAUAAAUAGUGAUUGGGUAGGUGAUACUGUAAAAAGAAGACUAUUUCAAAGUAUGCAUUUUUUAUUGGUUAUGGAGUGUUUUCUUAGAAUUCUAAAAAGCAGCAGGUGAUUGCAUUGUGUACUACAGAAGCAAAGUAUAGUGCAGCAGCUAAUAGUGCAACUCAAGUUUUGUGGUUGCAUCGUAUGCUUGGUGUACUACAACACAAGCAAGUUGAUCCUACGAACAUAUAUUGUGACAGUAAGUCGGCUAUUGAAUUGUCCAAGAGUCCGAUUCUCCAUGGGUGCAGUAAACACAUAGACAUUAAAUAUCACUUCGUACGUGAGUUGGUUCAAGAGAAGGAGAUUGAGAUGGAUUAUUGCAGGACCAAAGAGUAAGUGGCAAACAUUUUCACAAAAGCAUUGAAGAAGGAGACUUUUGUCAAAUUGAAGAUGUUAGGCAUGUCAAGUUGCUUAUUUGCCAGCAUAUGGUACCAACUAAUUAGAGUGCAGAGAACUAUACAUAUGUUUGCAUCAAAAUUCUUUUUCAAAAUCAUUUCUUUAUCUGGCAAGAAAAAGAAGAGGAAUAUGUUGGCGAAUGAAUGACGAAGAUUUAAGAGUAAACGUUGAUAUAUAGACUUCCAUGCGACUUUAAAAAUCGUUUAGGGACUAACAACUGAGAAAGUUGAAGUACUUUUGUGAGACUUUAACUUAGUUUCAAGGAUCAAAUAUAUAAACUGCUUAAAAAAUAACAGAGAGCUAAGGUCAACUUUGUUCGAGAGAAGGCAUUGCAAAGUGAAGUUAACUUGAACGUGUCAACACAGAUGAGCAAGUUGCAGAUACAUUCAUGAAGCGUUUAAGUCCUUCCAAGUUGGUGAAAUUUCAAAAAAUGGGCCACGUUUGAGUUUGUCUAUAGGAUGGAUACGUGAAUCAUCGAAUUUUUUUUUUCCAGAAGCUGGGGUCCAAAAUCAUCUGUUUUUUCUCAAUUAAAAUUUAAUUAAGCUUGGAUGUCACCACAUUUUGGAGAUAAUUGCUUUUGAAUCCUUAAAUAAACAGCAGCAAUUUUUCCCUUUAAUACUGAGACAAAAGACAUCUGAGGAGGAAGGAUUAAUGAUUAAUCAAACUGCGCCAUGCAAAUUGCACCGGCCAAAGAUCUCAUCUCACUCACUUACCCCUUGAAAAAGUCCAAAUAUUCCUUGUAAAAUUUCUACAUUCCACCAACUCCUUUAGCUUUAGGUUUGAGAAUCGUUAUCAUCAUGUAUUAUUAAACACAAGAAAGAUAUAUAUAUAUAUAUAUAUGUGUGUGUGUGUGUGUGUGUAUGUAUAAUCUCUCUCUCUCUCUCCGUCUCCUGCAGUUUAUUCAAAACGGACUUUUGUGCAUACCAAACACUUAAACUAAACUUACAACCAACCAAUUCAUUAGCCAAACAACUCCUGACUUUGGCUAAUAAAUUAAAUUAACGAGUUCUAAUCGUAGCAGCAGUCAUCAUUGACUGAAUUGGAUGAAGAUAAGAACCUUUGAUUUCAAUCCAGAAAUGGUAAACCUUCCCCACCCCUAUAGCUAAAUGGUAAACCGUUCCCACCCCUGUGAUACGAAACAAACAAAAUGAAUGGGCAGUCAAAGGACAAUUUCAAGGCUUUUGAAAAGUUUUUGCUCCUUCAUGUGCACCAUAGUUUACGUAAAAUCAAUCAAUGAAAGUCCCUACAUAGAUAUAAAAAUCUAAACCAGUUGUCAAACUCAGCCCUUGAACACGCUUUCCCAGCUCAAAACACAGCAAUUCCUUGCAAGACUAAAAAACAAGAAAAGAGCUGUUUUACCUCUGAGAACUUUCUUUGUUGAUAUCAAAAUCAACUCAAGAUCCUGCAACUUCAUUGCUGAAUUCAGAAAAGAAGAAGGAAUCGCUCCUCCAGUUUAUAAUCAAAGAUCCCGGUCUUAUUUGCAACCAUCCGAGUGAGUUUUCUUAUUAAUCAUCCCUUUUCCCUAAAUUACAUAAGCAUUUAUUUAUGUUAUUUGAGUGGUAUUUUAGCGUCUUCAGGCGGAGAAUUUAUAAAAGGAAUCCACUAGUUUGUACUAAUUGCCAACUACAAAAGACAAAGCACGAAACCCCAUUGCAGAUAUAAGUUGUAUCUGAACCCUUAUGCCUAAAAAAGUCGUCAAAUUGGAUGCAUUCAGGCAGCACAUAGAUUGUUCAGAUAGUGCUUCUGGAGCUUAUAUUUUGCUAUUUGGAAUACCAGAUUGCCAUUCAUAUGAUUGGUACACUAAAUUUAGCUUGCUAAGCUUGAUUCUUAUUUAGAAAUUAUGAUACCGGAGUUGUUCGUGUAAUUUGGGAUUUUUAUUGUAUUAUCGCCCAAGUGGUAUUAAUAUUGUGUUAGUCUUUUUUUUUUUUUGUCGAAACGAUAAGAUGAUUUCAUUGCUUUAAAAGUAAAACAAUUACAAGUACGAGCAACGGCUCGAUCGGACUCUACACACUAGUGUUCAAAGACACUGAGGAAGCUGUCGCUCCUCAUCCACAAUAAUGCUUAAAGCAUCAACACUCAUUUUUUUGCUAACUAUCAUAUCUUCUUCCCUAUUCAAUCCAAAAGAGCACAUACGAAACAAUCUCUGUAGCUGAGAUAUGUCUUCAAGUACUGUUGCCAAUCUGCUGUCCGCUGGGCUCUGGUGUUUCAGUUGUCUCCACAGUUCUUUGUUAUCAAACCUCAGCUUAAUAUUGCUCCACUUGCGCUGCACAGCUUUACACAGCACUAGUUUCAGUGCCAAAGCUUCAUCUAGGAGUUUGUUCCCAGAACUGAUAUCUUUCAUUGCCCACCCUAUCUUCGUAUCACUUGCAAAGACUUUAACUGUGACUCCAAUUCCCAUAAAUAGCUGCCCUUGUUUCAUGGUUGUAGCCACCUCCAUUAGCACUUCUCCUUCAUUUACAUUACUCUGAUCCUGAGUUUCUUGUCUAGGGGCUGUUUCUUCUGUGCUCUCUCCUUCCCCCUUAUACUCCAACUGCUGCUGCUCUAGCCAACCAGAAUGCGCUUUCCUUAUAGAUUUGAAGGGAGUAUCAACGGUAGUGUUCUCGAAUUCUCUUUUGUUUCUAUCUUUCCACACCUGCCACAGGAUAUUCGCAGUUAAACCAAUGUGUUCCAUUGUGUUAGUCAGGAUAUUCGCAGUUAAACCAAUGUGUUCCAUUGUGUUAGUCAGGAUGAAUGCCCUUGUUUCUAAUAUUGUGUUAGUCAGAACGGUAAGUUACUCACUGAUGAUUUCUAAAUUUCAUAAACUUUUCUUAUUGGCCUUUAGUUUGAAUAAAAUACAGAAAAUUCAACAUUUAUGUCCUCAUUUUGAUUCCGGCUAAUCCUAUACAUUCUCGGUAACUGCAAUUUGACACAAUUUUCAAAUCAAGUUUCUAAGCAUAAACAGAUUUCAGGUAUACAUGCUUGCAAUUACCUUCUUGUCUAAGUGUUGAUUGUCGGACAUCGACUAUGUUUCAUAGCUUUCAUCUAUAUCUUGCAAAUUUAACUUUGGUGUAUGAACAAGAUUUUCAUUUUCUUCAUCCAUGACGCUUCUAGAUUAAACUUGGUUAAGAGCCAAUUUUGAGCCAAAGGAAAUUUUCAAUUUUCUAUGUAAAAUUUUUGAGAAAUUUUAAUUUCAUCCCAUUAAUUUUCAUCAGGAUUAUAUGUAAUUUUCCGAGUUAAUGAUGUACAAAAAGGUUUAAGCCUCUACUUUGUUAAAGUCAACUCAUGAAGUUGGCAUUACGCGGGAAUCAUCUUCGGUAUAGAAACAUCUUUUUCUCCAACUUCGGUGAGCUCUAUCUUCAUUCUUCAGGCUCAUUGUUAAAGUACGGACUACACAGGCUCAAACUAAAUUUCUAAGCAUUAAUAGAUUCCAUGUAUAUGCUCGCAAUUACCUUCUUGUCUAGCUAAGUGUUGAUCAUCUGACGUCGACUGCGCUUCAGAGCUUUCAUCUAUAUCUUGUAAAUUAACUUUCGUGUAUGAAUAAGAUGUUCCUUUUCUUCAUCUUUGACUGCUUCUACAUUCAAUAUGGUUUGGAGCCAAAUUUUAGGCCUGUCUGAUCAAAAGGCAUGUUCUGGUGCAAGUUAACUGUACCCAAGAAACAACAAAAUGUAAUUAGUCACUCACAAGGUAUUUAAAAAAAAAAAGAUUUUUGGGACAGUUAUCUAGCUCGGACCUUAAGAUUCACUCCAAUAGGAAUCAACCUUGACGGUUAAAUUAGCUGAUCCUUCCUUUUUAAAAAAAAAAAAAAACUUCUUUUAUGAUGCAAAUGGAAGGAUUCAAACCUAAGACCUCUUACUCGCACUUCCUCUCCCAACCCAUACCUUCCCCAGUUGGCUGAUCCUCUUGAUGUUUUCUCGCGCGCAGCAAUUUUCCCUCUUUUUUAUACGUACUCAACAAGAGAUGUCUAGAAUUGAUCAAAAGCUUUCUGACCUAUUGGAUACAUCGGAGAAGCCAUCGAUCUUCAAAAUCCAUGGUCAACUACGAAGUGAAAAUGAAGAGGCAUAUGAACCACAAGUGGUUUCCAUCGGACCUUAUCACCACGGUAAGCCUAAACUGAAAGAGAUGGAGAAGCAUAAGCUAAGGUACUUCAAAGAGAUUCUUCGUCGUAAAGGAGAGUCAAGUGCUGAGAAAUACAUCAUAGCUUUGGCUAAUCUUCAAGAUCAAGCUCGAAGGUGUUACGCAGAAGAAAUCAGUCUUAGUGAAGAUGAUUUUGUUGAUAUGCUAUGCCUUGAUGGCUGCUUUGUCAUCGAGUUCUUGAGGAAAAGGAGACAUCCAGGAUCACACUGGCAGAAUGACCCCCUUUUUCAGAUGCUUUGGCUACGCACAGCCACUGUGAAUGACCUUAUAUUAUUUGAGAAUCAGUU
rnacentral:lncRNA from 1 species